rnacentral:lncRNA from 1 species
AACAACCACAACAACCUUUUCCCCAGCCCCAACAACAAUUUCCGCAGCCCCAACAACCACAACAAUCAUUCCCCCAACAACAACAACCGGCGAUUCAGUCAUUUCUACAACAACAGAUGAACCCCUGCAAGAAUUUCCUCUUGCAGCAAUGCAACCAUGUGUCAUUGGUGUCAUCUCUCGUGUCAAUAAUUUUGCCACGAAGUGAUUGCCAGGUGAUGCAGCAACAAUGUUGCCAACAACUAGCACAAAUUCCUCAACAGCUCCAGUGCGCAGCCAUCCACAGCGUCGCGCAUUCCAUCAUCAUGCAACAAGAACAACAACAAGGCGUGCCGAUCCUGCGGCCACUAUUUCAGCUCGCCCAGGGUCUGGGUAUCAUCCAACCUCAACAACCAGCUCAAUUGGAGGGGAUCAGGUCAUUGGUAUUGAAAACUCUUCCAACCAUGUGCAACGUGUAUGUGCCACCUGACUGCUCCACCAUCAACGUACCAUAUGCCAACAUAGACGAUGGCAUUGGUGGCCAAUGAAAAAUGCAAGAUCAUCGUUGCUUAGCUGAUGCACCAAUCGUUGUAGCGAUGACAAAUAAAGUGGUGUGCACCAUCAUGUGUGACCCCGACCAGUGCUAGUUCAAGCUUGGGAAUAAAAGACAAACAAAGUUCUUGUUUGCUAGCAUUGCUUGUCACUGUUACAUUCACUUUUUAUUUCGAUGUUCAUCCCUAACCGCAAUCCUAGCCUUACACGUCAAUAGCUAGCUGCUUGUGCUGGCAGGUUACUAUAUAAUCUAUCAAUUAAUGGUCGACCUAUUAAUCCAAGUAAUAGGCUAUUGAUAGACUGCUCCCAAGCCGACCGAGCAGCUAUCAGUUACGGAUUUCUUGAACAUUGCACACUAUAAUAAUUCAACGUAUUUCAAUCUCUAGAAGUAAAAGGGCAUUUUAGUAGCAAAACAAGCGCCUGAUUAGAAACCAUUCAUCACUCUAAAUGUUAAUCUGGAUAUUUUUGCGUUGGUACAAUUUUGAGUUUGGUGGCACCAAAGCAUUUUUCAAAAGCAAUUCUUUAGGGGACUCCAAAGAGGUGAAAAUCAAACUAAAGUUGCCAUUGCACAAUUUUAUCUAUAUUUUCUUUCCAUUUUGCAAGGUUGCACCGGAGUGAGCACCGGAAAGCAACCGGAGCCGGAAAAUGAAGGUUUCACAAGAGAGCAACACUUUUAUAGAGCGAGGAAAAAAAUAAAGCAAACAUAUAUCAAAGGUUUUUAGAGCAAAAUAGCCCCAACUACCAAAAACUGGCCCUAGGGGUGGCCUAUAUAUAUGGCCCACAUGCCUGACCACCUGCCUUGGGUCCCGGGCAUGGCCUAGGAUGCGUAGGGCUCACAGAAGCCCCAUGCCUCCAUCCUUUUUAUAUACUAAUAUCAUAUGCGCGAAAAACACCCUUGAUUUUCACUUAUUUUUCUGUUACCCAGGUACAGAGAACGUUAUUAUCUUCCUCGCGCUAGUAGGGAAACCCCUUAUAGGAUUUUACUAUUAGGAGCAUCCACAACUAUAUGGACGCUCCUGCUAACUCGCCUAACAGCGAGCAGCGUGCGGGAAAAACCAGAACGCGGCAGUAGUGAGGGACUUAGUGGCGUUCAUGCAUUCGAAACACUGCUAGUUACAUACAUGAAGGUAGACGGUUUGCCAUAGUCCCUGGCAGCUUGCGGAUGGAGGGAAUGCCACCGGUGUCACCUCCUAUAGCAGGGUGUGGCUCUGCUCCACAUGCUGCUACUGUGAUGUCUAACACUCUGUGCACUGACGGGCAUGUGGGUCUUAAAAACUAGCGGCGUUUAUAUACCCGCACGCUGCUAAAUUGUAAACUUUAGUAGCUUUGAGCGGAUGGCAGAAACUGCUAAUUGUUUCGCCCAAUAAUUGAGUACCCCCUUCUUCUCCUUCCACCCCUCUCUCUACUUUUUGUCAGGCAUAAUUUCAUCAGUAGAUCUUUUUCUGCCUUUACUUUCGUGGAUGUUAGCAGCGUGUUCUCUCUAUGGCACACUACUAAGCCGUUUUCUAUAUUCAAUCCCCUUGAAAUUGAAAACAAUAGUGAAUAAAUCCAUAAGUGUACAUGUAAAUGUAAAAUGGUGCAUAUGAUUAGCCAACAAAAUUUUGCAGGCACACUUUUCAGCACUAUUCAGAUUACCGGUGGUGAUAUACCUACCUUCGGUUUGGGAGGAAUCUAUACUAAACUUUGGUUUAACACUUUGUAAUUUUAAGCGCUAGUUCAAGUGGUCAUAUAAUGACAAUACACCAAGUUUCAAGAAUUUUAAAAUGCAUUUUUUUAAAAUUCAAAUGAAAAACUGUUUGUAGCGUUCGCCUGUGUAUGCCAGGCUGCCAGUCCUCAACAUCAUUAGCCAUGUGUCAUUCUUGCACAUAUGGCUUGUGUUUGGUAUACAAACCGUCGUGUAAGCUAGCAGUGUCCCGCGGGCGCACACGCUGCUAGCUUGUAUGCAUACAAACUAUCCUGCCCGGGUUUUAUUAACUUGUUCCUCUCCCCAUCUUUUUGCGCCCUCUCCUUGCCACACCCGGAAUUCUCAUCUUGAAAUCUAUGGCCGACAAUUAUUGGUGGCAUUUAUGCCGCCGGCCGUCAUGCACAUGUCUAAUUAGUGGUUAGUUCAAUCUGGCCACCCUCCUCCUGUUGAUCUGCUCCACAGGUGUGGUGAAUUCAUCUGACCACCCUCAAUCCUACGAAUGUGUAUACCUUAGAUCAUUUAAGUACCAAGUUAAAUUUAGUUUAUUUCUCCACUGUACCUAGUUUAUUAGAUUAGUUAGAUUGAUUAAUUAGUGUCAUAUAUAGUGUAUUGAUUAAUUAGUAUGUAUAACUUGAUUUUAAUUAUCACAACUUGAGUUUAAAGUAGUUUACCAGAACUUGAGUUUAGUAAUUAUUUUACAUAUGCAUUAGCGAGGAAGGUAACAAGUUCAUGGCCGUUUUCCAAAUGGAGCAGGAUGCUAACCUAGUCCUCUUCAUGCGUGCCAUCUUAUACUAGGAGGUUGACGAGUAAGCUUCAUAUAGUCCUCUUAAUGCGUGUUGUUAUUUAGUCUACUUUGUUGUGAACAUAUUUCAUAUCAUGAACGUUUUUCAAAUUCAUGAACACUUUUAUACCUUUUCAAACAUUUUCUUAAAUUGAGAACAUAUUUUAAAUUCAUGAACACUUUAUACUAUUUUCAAAAAAAAUUAGAAAAUUGUGAAUAUUGUUGAAACAAUUUUGUUGAAUCUGUGAACAUUUCUAGAAUCGACGAAGAAUUUGUUUUCACAUAGGUGGAACAUUUUUUGAAAUUCAAAAAACAUUUUUUGAUUUAGCGAACAUGUUUUAAAUUGCAUGAUCAGUUUUUGAAUCACCGAACAUUUUAUGAAUGAAAAAGCUAGUUUGUAAGUCGCAGACAGUUUUUGAAAUUUUAGGAUAUUUUUCCAUUCGGGAACAUUCUUUGUCUGGCGAAAUUUUGUCUUAAUUUACAUAUUUUUAAUAUACAAACUUUUUCAAAAUGAUAAAGAUUUUUUGAUUUCCCGAAUAUUUGUUUUCAAAAUUUCAUAAGUGCCCCACCAAUGGUACCUAUAAGUGAUAAAAAAAACAUUUUACACAGGGAAAUCCCCCGCCUGGGAGAAGAUGUAGCAUAACUCUUUGGGCCGGCCCAUAUCCGGGUGGACAGUUUUUUAUUUAUUGUUUUGAUUGUUCUUUUUAUUUUACGUUUUUGUUUUUUCGACUUAAAUAAUUUGGUACUUAAAAAAGUUCAGAAAUUUAAACAAAAUGAGAUUUUUUUUUAAAAAUCAUAUAAUGUUUGUGGAUUCCAAAAAUAUUUCAGAUUUUGUAAACAUUUUGUUUUGAAAUUUUGGAAAACCAAAUUUUGGACAAUUAAAAAAUGUUCAUUUUUUUUAAAACUUCUAGUAUUAGAAACUGUUAAUGAAAUUGCACAAAAUACAGCCAUUACAGAAAAUGUUAAUUAAUGGAAAAAUAUCCUAAAAGUUUACAAAAUAGUUUUUCAUUCAUUCAUAAAAUGUUCGCUGAUUCAAAAACUGAUCACGCAUUUCAAAACAUGUUCGUUAAAUCAAAAAAAUGUUCCACCUAUUUCAAAAAAAUUCUUCCACGAUUACUAUCAGUAUCGUGUGGUGGUUGCUGGGGACUACACCUGUGGUAGUCUUUAGUUCCGACGAUGCUAAGCCACACCAAUGAGACUUCCAGGCAAAACAAGCAAAAAGCACAAGCAGGCUGAGAGACUCCUUUUUUUUUGCCAGAAACAGAAACACACGGCUCUACAUAGAUGGCCGGAACGCACAACCGACCAAUGGAGGUCACCGUAGGGUUUCGUCUACCCUCCCUCUACUUUGUGCCGGCCACCUUCAUCCAGAUCGCAGGCUCCGUGCUGCGGGUUUGGGCGGGUGGGUUUCGGUGUAGAGGCUGCUAGGGUUUUACCAGGGCACCCGAUUGAAUCUUAUCUCGGGUCAGAGAAAACAAGGAUGGAUACAAGAGCUUCGAGUUCCAGAACAGAGCAGGACUUGGAGGCGAUGAUGAGUGAGUUGGGCCUCCAGGAGGAGGACAUGGAUGAUGUGGUGGUUGAAAAGGAAGAUCCGCUGUAGCCGGCGGCGAGUCGGUGGAUGGCCAUAGCACGUGUCCACACAGAGAAAAGCUAUAGUCAGUACGGUUUCUUCAAGACCAUGCGAGCUGCGUGGGAUCUAGCCAAGCCAGUACAAAUUCGUCCGCUUGAGAAUAAUCUUUAUACUUUGCAAUUCGAGUGUCUAGGAGACUGGGAGCGUGCCAUGGAUGAAGGCCCAUGGAAUUACAAGGGCAACACAGUGGUCCUGGCAGAAUACGAUGGUUUCACAAAACCAUCGCUGAUCAAGCUUGACACAAUGGAGAUUUGGAUGCAGAUCCACGAUCUCCCGGAGGGUUUUUAUCCACUGAUCAAACCCCUAGCAAGGAAAGUGGGCGAAUUCAUAUAUGCAAAACCCAAAUCCCAGGACUUUGAGGGGAAUUUUUUUAGAGUUAGGGUUGGCAUUAAUGUGUUUAAGCCUCUCAGAAACGCUGUCAGCCUGGUGUACGAAGGGAAGAGGCAGAUUUACAAGGUUAAAUACGAGAGGCUUCCAGAUUAGUGUGCUGUGUGUGGACAUCUGGGGCAUCAGUACAAGGAACAUGGAGAUGGAAUUCAUGCGAAAUCAGCGCUCGUUUUCAGAGAUCUACGUGCAGAGUGGUUUAGAGGUGCAGGGCCGGGUCCCGGGCAGAACCGCUACGGCGGGAGAGGCAAUUGUGGAGGCCGUGGAAGAGGUGCUGGGAGAUCUGGACAGGGGGGAAGAAACACUGAACAGGAAGAAUACUCUGAACCGGCGGCAGAGCGAGAGGAGCCCAUGAUGGAUGCUGAAGGUAACCGGAAAAGAACCCAGGCGGACAGUGUUGGAAAAUGUUGGGGAACAUAGUAAUUUCAAAAAAUUUCCUACGUACACGCAAGAUCAUGGUGAUGCAUAGCAACGAGAGGGGAGAGUGUUGUCCACGUAUCCUCAUAGACCGUAAGCGGAAGCGUUAGCACAACGCGGUUGAUGUAGUCGUACGUCUUCGUGAUCCGACCGAUCCAAGUACCGAACGUACGGCACCUCCGAGUUCAGCACACGUUCAGCUCGAUGAUGAUCCCCGGGCUCCGAUCCAGCAAAGCUUCGGGGAUGAGUUCCUUCAGCACGACGGCGUGGUGAUGAUGAUGAUGUUCUACCGGCGCAGGGCUUCGCCUAACUCCGCGACGAUAUGACCGAGGUGGAAUAUGGUGGAGGGGGCACCGCACACGGCUAAGGAACGAUCCGUAGAUCAACUUGUGUGUCUUAGGGUGCCCCCUGCACCCGUAUAUAAAGGAGCAAGGGGGGGGGAGGCCGGCCGGCCCUAGAGGGCGCACCAGGAGGAGGAGUCCUCCUCCUAGUAGGAGUAGGACUCCCCCUUUCCUACUCCUACUAGGAGGGGAAAGGAAGGGGGAGAGGGGGAAGGAAAGAGGGGGGGCGCCGCCCCCCCUCCUAGUCCAAUUCGGACCAGAGAAAGAGGGGGCGCGCGGCCCACCCUGGCCGCCCCUCUCUCUUUCCACCAAGGCCCAUGUUGCCCAUUGUCUCUCCCCGGGGGGUUCCGGUAACCCUCCGGCACUCCGGUUUUCUCCGAAAACGUCCGGAACACUUCCGGUGUUUGAAUAUAAUCGUCCAAUAUAUCAAUCUUUAUGUCUCGACCAUUUCGAGACUCCUCGUCAUGUCCGUGAUCAUACCCGGGACUCCGAACAAACUUCGGUACAUCAAAACUUAUAAACUCAUAAUAAAACUGUCAUCGUAACGUUAAGCGUGCGGACCCUACGGGUUCGAGAGCUAUGUAGACAUGACCUAGAACUAUUCUCGGUCAAUAACCAAUAGCGGAACCUGGAUGCCCAUAUUGGUUCCUACAUAUUCUACGAAGAUCUUAUCGGUCAAACCGCAUAACAACAUACGUUGUUCCCUUUGUCAUCGGUAUGUUACUUGCCCGAGAUUCGAUCGUCGGUAUCCAAUACCUAGUUCAAUCUCGUUACCAGCAAGUCUCUUUACUCGUUACGUAGUGCAUCAUUCCGUAACUAACUCAUUAGCUGCAUUGCUUGCAAGGCUUAUAGUGAUGUGCAUUACCGAGAGGGCCCAGAGAUACCUCUUCGACAAUCGGAGUGACAAAACCUAAUCUCGAAAUACGCCAACCCAACAUGUACCUUCGGAGACACCUGUAGUAAUCCUUUAUAAUCACCCAGUUACGUUGUGACGUUUGGUAGUACCCAAAGUGUUCCUCCGGUAAAUGGGAGUUGCGUAAUCUCAUAGUUACAGGAACAUGUAUAAGUCAUGAAGAAAGCAAUAGCAAUAUACUAAACGAUCAAGUGCUAGGCUAACGGAAUGGGUCAUGUCAAUCACAUCAUUCUCCUAAUGAUGUGAUCCCGUUAAUCAAAUGACAACACAUGUCUAUGGUUAGGAAACAUAACCAUCUUUGAUUAAUGAGCUAGUCAAGUAGAGCCAUACUAGUGACUAUAUGUUUGUCUAUGUAUUCACACAUGUAUCAUGUUUCCGGUUAAUACAAUUCUAGCAUGAAUAAUAAACAUUUAUCAUGAUAUGAGGAAAUAAAUAAUAACUUUAUUAUUGCCUCUAGGGCAUAUUUCCUUCAGUCUCCCACUUGCACUAGAGUCAAUAAUCUAGAUUACAUAGUAAUGAUUCUAACACCCAUGGAGUCUUGGUGCUGAUCAUGUUUUGCUCGUGAGAGAGGCUUAGUCAACGGGUCUGCAACAUUCAGAUCCGUAUGUAUCUUGCAAAUCUCUAUUUCUCCCACUUGGACUUGGUCCCGGAUGGAAUUGAAGCGUCUCUUGAUGUGCUUAGUCCUCUUGUGAAAUCUGGAUUCCUUUGCCAAGGCAAUUGCACUAGUAUUGUCACAGAAGAUCUUCAUUGGUCCCGAUGCACUAGGUAUGACACCUAGAUCGGUAAUGAACUCCUUCAUCCAGACUCCUUCAUUUGUUGCUUCUGAAGCAGCUAUGUACUCCGCUUCACAUGUAGAUCCCGCCACGACGCUUUGUUUAGAACUACACCAACUUACAGCUCCACCGUUUAAUAAAAAUACGUAUCCGGUUUGCGAUUUAGAAUCGUCCAGAUCAGUGUCAAAGCUUGCAUCGACGUAACCAUUUACGACUAGCUCUUUGUCACCUCCAUAUAUGAGAAACAUAUCCUUAGUCCUUUUCAGGUAUUUCAGGAUGUUCUUGACCGCUGUCCAGUGAUCCACUCCUGGAUUACUUUGGUACCUUCCUGCUAAUCUUAUUCCUAAGCAUACAUCAGGUCUGGUACACAGCAUUGCAUACAUGAUAGAGCCUAUGGCUGAAGCAUAGGGAACAUCUUUCAUUUUCUCUCUAUCUUCUGCAGUGGUCGGGCAUUGAGUCUGACUUAAUUUCACACCUUGUAACACGGGCAAGAACCCUUUCUUUGCCUGAUCCAUUUUGAACUUUUUCAAAAUUUUAUCAAGGUAUGUGCUUUGUGAAAGUCCUAUUAAGCGUCUUGAUCUAUCUCUAUAAAUCUUGAUGCCCAAUAUGUAAGCAGCUUCACCGAGGUCUUUCAUUGAAAAACUUUUAUUCAAGUAUCCUUUUAUGCUAUCCAGAAAUUCUAUAUCAUUUCCAAUUAAUAAUAUGUCAUCUACAUAUAAUAUUAGAAAUGCUACAGAGCUCCCACUCACUUUCUUGUAAAUACAGGUUUCUCCAAAAGUCUGUAUAAAACCAUAUGCUUUGAUCACACUAUCGAAGCGUUUAUUCCAACUCCGAGAUGCUUGCACCAGUCCAUAAAUGGAUCGCUGGAGUUUGCACACUUUGUUAGCUCCUUUUGGAUCAACAAAACCUUCUGGCUGCAUCAUAUACAACUCUUCUUCCAGAUAUCCAUUCAAGAAUGCAGUUUUGACAUCCAUUUGCCAAAUUUCAUAAUCAUGAAAUGCAGCAAUAGCUAACAUGAUUCGGACAGACUUAAGCAUCGCUACAGGUGAGAAAGUCUUAUCGUAGUCAACCCCUUGAACUUGUCGAAAACCUUUUGCAACAAGUCGAGCUUUAUAGACAGUUACAUUACCAUCAGCGUCAGUCUUCUUCUUAAAGAUCCAUUUAUUCUCAAUGGCUUGCCGAUCAUCGGGCAAGUCAACCAAAGUCCAUACUUUGUUUUCAUACAUGGAUCCCAUCUCAGAUUUCAUGGCUUCUAGCCAUUUUGCGGAAUCUGGGCUCAUCAUCGCUUCCUCAUAGUUCGUAGGUUCGUCAUGGUCAAGUAACAUGACUUCCAGAAUAGGAUUACCGUACCACUCUAGUGCGGAUCUUACUCUGGUAGACCUUCGAAGUUCAGUAGAAACUUGAUCUGAAGUUUCAUGAUCAAUAUCAUUAGCUUCCUCAUUAAUUGGUGUAGGUGUCACAGGAACCGGUUUCUGUGAUGAACUACUUUCCAAUAAGGGAGCAGGUAUAGUUACCUCAUCAAGUUCUACUUUCCUCCCACUCACUUCUUUCGAGAGAAACUCCAUCUCUAGAAAGGAUCCAUUCUUAGCAACGAAUGUCUUGCCUUCGGAUCUGUGAUAGAAGGUAUACCCAACUGUCUCUUUUGGGUAUCCUAUGAAGACACAUUUCUCCAAUUUAGGUUCGAGCUUAUCUGGUUGAAGUUUCUUCACAUAAGCAUCAUAGCCCCAAACUUUAAGAAACGACAACUUCGGUUUCUUGCCAAACCACAGUUCAUAAGGCGUCGUCUCAACGGAUUUUGAUGGUACCCUAUUUAACGUGAAUGCGGCCGUCUCUAAAGCAUAACCCCAGAAUGAUAGCGGUAAAUCAGUAAGAGACAUCAUAGAUCACACCAUAUCUAGUAAAGUACGAUUACGACGUUCGGACACACCAUUUCGUUGUGGUGUUCCGGGUGGCGUGAGUUGCGAAACUAUUCCGCAUUGUUUCAAAUGUAAACCAAACUCGUAACUCAAAUAUUCUCCUCCAUGAUCAGAUCGUAGGAAUUUUAUUUUCUUGUUACGAUGAUUUUCCACUUCCCUCUGUAAUUCUUUGAACUUUUCAAAUGUUUCAGACUUGUGUUUCAUUAAGUAGAUAUACCCAUAUCUGCUUAAAUCAUCUGUGAAGGUGAGAAAAUAACGAUAUCCACCACGAGCUUCAACUUUCAUCGGACCACAUACAUCUGUAUGUAUGAUUUCCAACAAAUCUGUUGCUCUCUCCAUAGUACCGGAGAACGGUGUUUUAGUCAUCUUGCCCAUGAGGCACGGUUCGCAAGUACCAAGUGAUUCAUAAUCAAGUGAUUCCAAAAGUCCAUCAGUAUGGAGUUUCUUCAUGCGUUUUACACCGAUAUGACCUAAACGGCAGUGCCACAAAUAAGUUGCACUAUCAUUAUUAACUCUGCAACUUUUGGCUUCGAUAUUAUGAAUAUGUGUAUCACUACUAUCGAGAUUCAACAAAAAUAGACCACUCUUCAAGGGUGCAUGACCAUAAAAGAUAUUACUCAUAUAAAUAGAACAACCAUUAUUCUCUGAUUUAAAUGAAUAACCGUCUCACAUCAAACAAGAUCCAUAUAUAAUGUUCAUGCUUAACGCUGGCACCAAAUAACAAUUAUUCAGGUCUAAAACUAUUCCCGAAGGUAGAUGUAGAGGUAGCGUGCCGACCGCGAUCACAUCGACUUUGGAACCGUUUCCCACGCGCAUCGUCACCUCAUCCUUGGCCAGUGCUCGCUUAUUCCGUAGUCCCCGUUUCGAGUUGCAAAUGUUAGCAACAGAACCAGUAUCAAAUACCCAGGUGCUACUGCGAGCUCUAGUAAGGUACACAUCAAUAACAUGUAUAUCACAUAUACCUUUGUUCACCUUGCCAUCCUUCUUAUCCGCCAAAUACUUGGAGCAGUUCCGCUUCCAGUGUCCAAUCUGCUUGCAGUAGAAGCACUCAGUUUCAGGCUUAGGUCCAGACUUGGGUUUCUUCUCUUGAGCAGCAACUUGCUUGUUGUUCUUCUUGAAGUUCCCCUUCUUCUUCCCUUUGCCCUUUUUCUUGAAACUAGUGGUCUUGUUAACCAUCAACACUUGAUGCUCCUUCUUGAUUUCUACUUCCGCAGCUUUUAGCAUUGCGAAGAGCUCGGGAAUUGUCUUGUUCAUCCCUUGCAUAUUAUAGUUCAUCACAAAGCUCUUGUAGCUUGGUGGCAGUGAUUGGAGAAUUCUGUCAAUGACACUAUCAUCAGGAAGAUUAACUCCCAGUUGAAUCAAGUGAUUAUUAUACCCAGACAUUUUGAGUAUGUGUUCACUGACAGAACUAUUCUCCUCCAUCUUGCAGCUAUAGAACUUAUUGGAGACUUCAUAUCUCUCAAUCCGGGCAUUUGCUUGAAAUAUUAACUUCAACUCCUGGAACAUCUCAUAUGCUCCAUGACGUUCAAAACAACGUUGAAGACCCGGUUCUAAGCCGUAAAGCAUGGCACACUGAACUAUCGAGUAGUCAUCAGCUUUGCUCUGCCAGACGUUCUUAACGUCGUCAGUUGCAUCAGCAGCAGGCCUGGCACCUAGCGGUGCUUUCAGGACGUAAUUCUUCUGUGCAGCAAUGAGGAUAAUCCUCAAGUUACGGACCCAGUCCGUGUAAUUGCUACCAUCAUCUUUCAACUUUGCUUUCUCAAGGAAUGCAUUAAAAUUCAACGGAAGAAUAGCACGAGCCAUCUAUCUACAACAAACAUAGAUGAGCAAAAUACUAUCAGCUACUAAGUUCCUGAUAAAUUUAAGUUCAAUUAAUCAUAUUACUUAAGAACUCCCACUUAGACAGACAUCUCUCUAGUCAUCUAAGUGACCACGUGAUCCAAAUCAACUAAACCAUAACCGAUCAUCACGUGAGAUGGAGUAGUUUUCAAUGGUGAACAUCACUAUGUUGAUCAUAUCUACUAUAUGAUUCAUGCUCGACCUUUCGAUCUCCGUGUUCCGAGGCCAUAUCUGCAUAUGCUAGGCUCGUCAAGUUUAACCUGAGUAUUCUGCGUGUGCAAAACUGGCUUGCACCCGUUGUAGAUGGACGUAAAGCUUAUCACACCCGAUCAUCACGUGGUGUCUGGGCACGACAAACUUUGGCAACAGUGCAUACUCAGGGAGAACACUUCUUGAUAAUUUAAGUGAGAGAUCAUCUUAAAAUGCUACCGUCAAUCAAAGCAAGAUAAGAUGCAUAAAGGAUAAACAUCACAUGCAAUCAAUAUAAGUGAUAUGAUAUGGCCAUCAUCAUCUUGUGCUUGUGAUCUCCAUCUUCGAAGCACCGUCGUGAUCACCAUCGUCACCGGCGCGACACCUUGAUCUCCAUCAUAGCAUCGUUGUCGUUACGCCAUCUAUUGCUUCUACGACUAUCGCUACCGCUUAGUGAUAAAGUAAAGCAAUUACAGGGCGUUUGCAUUUCAUACAAUAAAGUGACAAUCAUAUGGCUCCUGCCAGUUGCCGAUAACUUCGGUUACAAAACAUGAUCAUCUCAUACAAUAAAAUAUAGCAUCACGUCUUGACCAUAUCACAUCACAACAUGCCCUGCAAAAACAAGUUAGACGUCCUCUACUUUGUUGUUGCAAGUUUUACGUGGCUGCUACGGGCUUAGCAAGAACCGUUCUUACCUACGCAUCAAAACCACAACGAUAGUUCGUCAAGUUAGUGAUGUUUUAACCUUCGCGAGGACCGGGCGUAGCCAUACUCGAUUCAGCUAAAGUGAGAGAGACAGACACCCGCCAGCCACCUUUAAGCACGAGUGCUCGUAACAGUGAAACCAGUCUCGCGUAAGCGUACGCGUAAUGUCGGUCCGGGCCGCUUCAUCUCACAAUACCGCCGAACCAAAGUAUGACAUGCUGGUAAGCAGUAUGACUUGUAUCGCCCACAACUCACUUGUGUUCUACUCGUGCAUAUGACAUCUACGCAUAAAACUAGGCUCGGAUGCCACUGUUGGGGAACGUAGUAAUUUCAAAAAAAUUCCAACGUACACGCAAGAUCAUGGUGAUGACAUAGCAACGAGAGGGGAGAGUGUUGUCCACGUACCCUCGUAGACCGUAAGAGGAAGCGUUAGCACAACGCGGUUGAUGUAGUCAUACGUCUUCACGAUCCGACCGAUCCAAGUACUGAACGUACGGCACCUCCGAGUUUAGCACACGUUCAGCUCGAUGACGAUCCCCGGGCUCCAAUCCAGCAAAGCUUCGGGGAUGAGUUUCGUCAGCACGAUGGCGUGGUGACGAUGAUGAUGUUCUACCGGCGCAGGGCUUCGCCAAAACUCCGCGACGAUAUGACCGAGGUGGAAUAUGGUGGAGGGGGGCACCGCACACGGCUAAGGAACGAUCCGUAGAUCAACUUGUGUGUCUUAGGGUGCCCCCCUGCCCCCGUAUAUAAAGGAGCAAGGGGGGAGGCCGGCCGGCCCUAGAGGGCGCGCCAGGAGGAGGAGUCCUCCUACUAGUAGGAGUAGGACUCCCCCUUUCCUACUCCUACUAGGAGGGGAAAGGAAGGGGGAGAGGGGGAAGGAAAGAGGGGGGGGGGCGCUCCCUCUCCUAGUCCAAUUCGGACUAGAGGGAGACGGGGCGCGCGGCCCACCCUGGCCGCCCCUCUCUCUUUCCACCAAGGCCCAUGUUGCCCAUUGUCUCUCCCCGGGGGGUUCCGGUAACCCUCCGGCACUCCGGUUUUCUCCGAAAACGUCCGGAACACUUCCGGUGUCUGAAUAUAAUCGUCCAAUAUAUCAAUCUUUAUGUCUCGACCAUUUCGAGACUCCUCGUCAUGUCCGUGAUCAUACCCGGGACUCCGAACAAACUUCGGUACAUCAAAACUUAUAAACUCAUAAUAAAACUGUCAUCGUAACGUUAAGCAUGCGGACCCUACGGGUUCGAGAGCUAUGUAGACAUGACCUAGAACUAUUCUCGGUCAAUAACCAAUAGCGGAACCUGGAUGCCCAUAUUGGUUCCUACAUAUUCUACAAAGAUCUUAUCGGUCAAACCGCAUAACAACAUAUGUUGUUCCCUUUGUCAUCGGUAUGUUACUUGCCCGAGAUUCGAUCGUCGGUAUCCAAUACCUAGUUCAAUCUCGUUACCAGCAAGUCUCUUUACUCGUUACGUAGUGCAUCAUUCCGUAACUAACUCAUUAGCUGCAUUGCUUGCAAGGCUUAUAGUGAUGUGCAUUACCGAGAGGGCCCAGAGAUACCUCUUCGACAAUCGGAGUGACAAAACCUAAUCUCGAAAUACGCCAACCCAACAUGUACCUUCGGAGACACCUGUAGUAAUCCUUUAUAAUCACCCAGUUACGUUGUGACGUUUGGUAGUACCCAAAGUGUUCCUCCGGUAAAUGGGAGUUGCGUAAUCUCAUAGUUACAGGAACAUGUAUAAGUCAUGAAGAAAGCAAUAGCAAUAUACUAAACGAUCAAGUGCUAGGCUAACGGAAUGGGUCAUGUCAAUCACAUCAUUCUCCUAAUGAUGUGAUCCCGUUAAUCAAAUGACAACACAUGUCUAUGGUUAGGAAACAUAACCAUCUUUGAUUAAUGAGCUAGUCAAGUAGAGGCAUACUAGUCACUAUAUGUUUGUCUAUGUAUUCACACAUGUAUCAUGUUUCCGGUUAAUACAAUUCUAGCAUGAAUAAUAAACAUUUAUCAUGAUACGAGGAAAUAAAUAAUAACUUUAUUAUUGCCUCUAGGGCAUAUUUCCUUCAGAAAACUCCAGGAGGUACACUCCCAGGCACAGAUGGUGCCUGCUGGAGCGAACCAUUCGCCGGCGACGACCCAACUCCUGUUAACUGCACCCCCACCCCCAUCAGCCCGUCCUCAAAGCAAGAUCUGAAGCGAACAAAGACUAGAACUGUGUCGGAAAAGGUGACGAAGAAUGUGAUCGAGCGCAAGAACCAAGACCCAAGAACGGCUUCCUCCACCUCGGAGGGUCGCCGGACGCAAUGAAUACCAUAUGUUGGAACUGUCGUGGCGCGGGCAACGCUGCGACAGUCAACGAGCUUCGCGAGCUAGCGAAGAAAUUUGCCCACCCUAUUCUCUAUAUUGUAGAAACUCAAAUAGAAAGAGGUAGGGUAGAAGCACUUGCAGGAACUUUGGGUUAUGACAAUUGUUUUGCUAUAGACAGCCAGGGUAGAAGUGGAGGAAUAUGAAUCUUUUGGAACAAUCUAAUAAACAUUGAUAUUUUGGGUUACUCGGUUUGCCACAUUGACUGCUCAGUUCUUGAUCCUGGUACGGACCCUUGGAGGCUAACGUGUGUAUAUGGAGAGGCUCAAACACAUCUCCGGCACCAGACGUGGACGGUGUUAAAAAACAUAAGCUUCUUGAGCACUUCACCUUGGCUAUGCCUAGGGGAUUUCAACGAAGUAUUGCGUCCGGAUGAACAUGAAGGUAUAGGACAACGCAACAAUGCACAAAUACAGGGAUUCAGGGAUACAAUUGAUGUGUGCAUGCUGAUGGACAUGGGAUACAAGGGGCGCUUUUGGACCUUUGAGAAAAAAGUUGUGGGAGGAACCUUUACAAGAGUCAGGCUGGAUAGGGCUUUGGGAUCAGCGGAGUGGAGUGCACAAUUCCCACGGGCUAGUCUGUCUCAUCUUACAGCAGCAAAUUCAGAUCAUUGCCCCAUUUUAUUAGAAAUCAAUGAUCAAGAAAGACAGCCCUGCAAUCGUGUUUUCAGGUAUGAAACCAUGUGGGAAAAGCAUGAAACGUGGCGUGAUACUAUCCUGGAGAGGUGGUCAGCCAAGCACACCGGAAAUACAGUUGAGCAUAUGAGGCAGAAGCUAUCAGAUUUGGCUACCGAUCUAUCUAGAUGGAAUAAUGACACUUUUGGCAGUGUUAGAAAGGAGAUUAAAUCACUCAAGCUUGAAUUAGAGAGGUUGAGGGGAGCGCCAGGAAGGGCAGGUCCGUCAUAUGCAAAGAUCAAGAUCAAUGAUAAACUGGUUGAACUAUACCAUAGAGAAGAACUAAUGUGGCGACAAAGAUCGAGAAUUGAAUGGUUAGCGGCCGGUGACAAGAACACAAUUUUUUUCACCUGAGAGCUAGUAUACGGAGGAAGAAGAAUAUGGUGAAGGCGUUGGCCAGCUCCCUUGGUGUCCUCAUUGAUGACCCGACUGACCUCAGGGAGAUGGUCAAUGACUUUUAUCAGAGUCUAUACACGUCAGAGGGGGUACAUGGAGUCAGAGACGUUCUGGUGCAUGUACCACAGAAAGUCACUGCGGGGAUGAAUGACAUUUUAUGUGCUCCAUAUACAAACGAGGAGGUAAAAGUUGCUCUCUUCCAAAUGUUCCCAACAAAGGCACCCGGCCCGGAUGGCUUCCUGGCACAUUUUUAUCAACGUCAUUGGUCGUUAUGUGGAGAGGAGAUUUCUAGAGCUGUUCUCAGAAUAGUCAGAGGAGAGGAGAGUGCGGAGUGCCUAAACGACACAGUUCUGGUUUUAAUACCGAAGGUAAUGAACCCAACCCAACUCUCUCAAUUCAGACCUAUAAGCUUAUGCAACUUUCUAUACAAGAUUGCUUCCAAGGUGGUUGCAAACAGGCUUAAGCAGAUCCUGCCAGACAUAAUCUCUGAGGAACAGUCAGCCUUUGUCCCGGGAAGGCUCAUAACUGACAAUAUUAUAUGUGCGUAUGAGUGCUUGCAUUUUAUGAAGAGGUCAAAGGCAAAAGCAAACAGCUCCUAUGCGCUUAAACUUGAUAUGAUGAAAGCUUACGACCGUUUGGAGUGGUCGUACCUGAAGGCUAUCAUGGAAAAGCUUGGCUUUGCUCUGGCGUGGAUUGAUAUUGUGAUGAACAUGGUUUCUUCCAUAUCCUUCUCAGUCCUUUUUAAUGGAGAGAAGCUCGACCAGUUCAAACCGUCAAGAGGUAUUCGACAGGGAGAUCCUAUUUCCCCUUACUUGUUUUUGAUUGCAGCGGAGGGCCUUUCGUGCCUAUUAAAAUCCAGUUCUCAGUCAUCGGUGCUUGGAGGAAUCAAGGUGGCAACCACAGCUCCGGCUGUUAACCAUCUUCUAUUUGCAGAUGACAGCCUGCUGUUUUUCAAGGCAAGUGUUGAGGGUGCGAAUGCGGUAUCAAACCUGCUGAGUACAUAUUGUGGAGCCUCAGGUCAGAGAGUAAACAAAGAGAAAUCUUCUAUCUUUUUUAGUAGAGGGUGCCCUCAGGUGGUUCGAGACAGUGUAAAACAGGCUGUCAAUGUGCACAAGGAGUCUUUGAGUCAUAAAUAUCUGGGCAUGCCAACUGAUGUGGGACACUCCAAGAAUGGAACGUUCAAGUACCUACGUGAUCGUGUGUGGGAGAAGGUCAAGGGGUGGAUGGAAAAACUACUUUCAGAAGCGGGAAAGGAAGUAUUGAUCAAGUCGGUUGCCCAAUCAAUCCCCGUCUACUCAAUGGCUUGUUUCAGACUGCCUAGAGGUCUUUGUGAGAGUGUCACUUCCAUUAUCAGGCAAUUCUGGUGGGGCAGCAAACAGGGACGGCGGAAACCAGCUUGGGUCUCAUGGGAAAUAAUGACUCGACCAAAGCAUAUGGGAGGACUAGAUUCCGAGACCUCGAAAUCUUUAACCUAGCACUUUUAGCCAGACAAGCGUGGAGGCUUUUGAACAAUCCUGAUACACUUAGCUCUGCGAUCUUGAAGGCUGCAUAUUUUCCGGAUUGUGAUAUUAUCCAGGCUGAGCUGGGAACGCAUCCAUCACAGAUUUGGCGUGCUAUCUUGGAUGGGAGGGACAUAAUGAAACAAGGAGUGAUACGGAGGAUAGGGACCGGAGAAGAUACUCUCAUAUGGGAGCAUAAUUGGAUACCGAGGCAUGAUAUACUUCGGCCGAUUACAUCCCUCGUUACUGAUCCACCAACGAGGGCUCAUGAACUGAUAGAUCAAACCACUUCGUCUUGGAAGGAGGAUCUAGUUCGAACAGUUUUCAUACCACUAAACGCUGAAGAGAUUCUCAAAAUACCCUUGUGUACAAAGAAAGUUGAUGACUUCUGGGCCUGGAGUAAGGAGAGCAGAGGCAACUUCACUGUUGGGUCUGCUUAUAGAAUGAUACAGAACACCAAAAUGAUGAGAGAAAGCUGGUUGUAUCAAACAGAAGGCCCAUCGAGCGUUGCUGAGAGCAAUGGAUGGACUUCGCUAUGGCGCACACAAGUCCCAAGCAAAAUUCGAGUGUUCCUCUGGCGGCUAGCAAGGGAAUCAAUGCCCACUAACGAUCUCCUUCACCAUCGCAAUAUGGCGGACUCGCCGGCAUGCCGUUUGUGUGGAGCGGCCAACUCAUGGAGGCAUCUACUGUUGGACUGCAAUAUGGCAAGAAGUACCUGGGCCUUAGCACCUGAAGCGCUGGUGGAAGUUAUGAGUACUAAUUCUGAUCCAAAUGGAAGAAGUUGGUUGUUUAAUAUGCAAAGCCUGUUGAACCAUGCAGAUUUCACCGUCUGGGAGUCACUCUCUGGGCAAUUUGGAGUUCUAGAAGAAAAGUGAUAUAUGAGGACAUACGCCAGACCCCAUAUUCGACCAAUGCAUUUGUUAACUCUUUCAUCAGUGAUAUGGAUGUGUUGGUACAGCCUCGAGGUGCGCAAGUGGCAGCCCAGCCGAGACCCACACGCUGGAUAGCUCCCCCUGAGAACUUGGUGAAAAUCAAUGUAGAUGCGGCAACUGGGAGGAGCAGGAACGGCGGCACUGUCGCAGCAAUAUGCAGAGACCAUGAUGGCCUUUUCUUGGGCGCUUCCACUGUCACUUUUACCGGAACCGCUGACCCUACGACGCUGGAAGCUCUUGCGGUCCGUGAAGGACAAGCAUUGGCGGAUGACUUAUACGAACGCAGCAUCUUCGUUGCUUCUGACUGCAAGACGGUUAUUGAUGAUAUCCAGAAGGGAAGUGCGGCUAGUUAUGGAGCUAUAAUCAGAGAGAUGGUUGAUCGAUCUAGUUCUUUUUUAAGUUGCCCUUUUGGUCAUGAGUUUAGGACCUCGAAUACCGAGGCUCACAAUUUAGCAAAGCAUGCAAUAUCACUUGGGGUUGGCCGCCGUGUGUGGUUAGGCAAUCCGGGUGAUCUCUCGUUCGUCCCUAUAAACGUUGUGACGAGUUAAAUAAAAGCUUUGCGAGGUUGUCUCAAAAAAAAAAGACCAAUAGAGGUCAGACCUCGCACACAAAAAUGACACGAUAGCUUGCUCCACUUCCCCACUUCCGCGGCAUGGACGGCCUCCUUCUAGCGAGCAACCUAGGUGUCCUGUAUAUUUUACGUAUAUCUUUCCCUACUAAUAAAGCACGGAGUGCUUCUGGUCGUACGUCGUCACCAAUUUACAAAAACGUCCCUCUAUUUCUGCAAAAUCAACCCGCAAUCCCUAUUAAGUGGAUUUGGGAAACUAUUCGUUUUAAAAAGCGUCGCGGCGGUGGCCUUGGCCGGCAUGGAGGUGAGCUUGCGGGCGCGCUUGCGGUAGGCGAGCCUAGCCCGCAAGCCCUCCCGUUGCUUGGUGAGGGCCUUGGCCUUCCUGCGCGCCUUGUCGGCCUCGGCGCUGGCCUUGGCGGGCCGAGGCGUCGCGUAACGGGCGGCGGAUCUCGGCUGCUCCGCCGUGGAUCCGGCGGCAAACGGAUCGAGACAGGAGAGGCGGCAACCUCCAUGGCGGGCCCCUGGAGGAGACCAUCGUGGAUUGAGAUGGAGAGGCGACGACCUCCAUGGCGAGCUACGGGGCAGAGGAGGCAGGGUCUUGUGGCGGCGCUCGCCUGAGCUCCUGGCACCGGGAAGAUAUCGGGAACGGACGAAGGACGGCGAGGCAGGCCGGAGAGGGGCCGGAUCCGGCGAUUCCCGACAACGGAUGGGCGGUGGCGGUCUCCAUGCUGCGGGGUCGGCUCGAAGUUCCUGCAGUGGGCAUGGUGGUCUUCCUGUUGAAGAAAAUAGAGAGGGUUCAGAGAGAGAAGAGAGAGACAGGGGAGAGAUAGAGAGGGAGAUAGGAGGCGGGGCAACGUCGCAGUGCAGCUACUGCUCACCUAGGCGACGACGUCGGCAGGGCCGCCGGGGCAUGGGUCGGAGCGGAGGAUCUCGGGCGUCCAUGGCGGCCUCGUGCAACAGAGAGCAAGAGAGAUAGAGGGAGAUGAGAGUAAACUGGGAAAAGAGAAUAAGGGAAGAGGGAGAUGGCGGGGAAAGGAAUGCAGGGGGACGACGGGGGCCCGCUCGGUGGCUUCGGUCAUCGGCGGAAGAAGGAGCUCAGGGACUAGGUGGUUGUGCUCGGGAGCAGCAGAUCGAGCAGGAGAAAGGAGGGGAUAGAAUGAGGUGAUGGAAUAAGAAGGAACUCAGAGAAAGGAGGGGAUAGAAUGGGAUAAGCUUCAACGGCAGAGGAAGGGCUCAGCAAAUUUGACGCCUUAAGACGAGACAUACACGUGACGGUGUACGUGACCUCCACUUUUUUUUAAUUGGGUACGUGGCCUCCACCCGCAUGACAGUGAUGGGCAACAAAGAAAAUUUUGCUUUUUUAUGGUGAUGAUGGGAUGGGGGUGCGUGGUCUUUGGGCCAAGUUUAAAUAGAGCAAAAGAAAAAGAACCAAACAUAAUUUGUAAACCCAACAACCAGCAUUUUCUGAAAAAAUAAUCAACAUAGUAAAAACAUGUUUGAUUUUGAAUAUUAACAACAAAUAAUUCUUUAUAAAUAAUCCCACUUGAAUGCACCACUACUCUUCCAUCCAAAAGAAAUCCUUCUGCAUUUAAAUCCUCUGAAAAUCCGAAGAAUUAAUUUUGAACUAUUUAUUAAACCUCGAAUGGUAUACUAUUAUUUUGUCUGUAUAUCCCGCUAAAAACACUUACACCAUUCCUUUUCCACCUGAUGAUAGUGGUAAGCUGAAGGAGGAGCCAUCAAAGGACAUCCCUAUGACUUUCUCAACUUUAUACUACAUGGUCUAGACACCAACAAUCAUGUUUUAUAUUGCGGACAUUGAGCGUGUAUGUGUUUUUUAAGAUAAAGGGUGUUUCAAAAUCUUCUUGCUUUAAAAAAUCAUGCUUUUAAGUAUGUUCACGUUUUUUAACGAAUGCACAAAAUCCCAAAAGAUCCAGCUUAAACAAAUAUUUAAAAUUUAUCACAAAAUUUUAAAAUUUCAUAUUUAAAAAGACAUGCGGUCAAAACAUGUUCAUCUUCAAAACAUGUUUCAAUUCUAAUAAAAAGAUAAAAAUUUCAAAAUUGUUCAUUUAUUUCAAAAUAAAUAAAUAUUAGUGUUUCCCCGAAGAGUAAAUAAAUAAAACCGAUUACUAGACUACUCCAUGCACCACUACCAUCAUAUUACUCCGAAAAACAAUAGCAGUAUAAACUUAUUACCGAUGUUUAUGAGAACUGCGUAUAAGAAAUGGCGUGUACUGUCACACGGAGUAGGCUUUACGAUAUUUUUCGCCCGUUGCAACGCACGGGCAUUUGUACUAGUAUUAAAAAUAUGUACUGAGAACCAACCAGUGGUCGGAUGGUUUAAAAAAUUGUUUACAUAUAUUGCCUCUGUCUAGAAUUACUUGACGCGAGGGAAAUAAAUUGAGUGAAUAACUACAUUUUACAUUAAACCCCUUCAAUUCAAAAAGUAACACAAAAAUCCGCAGUCCCUAUUAGAUACGAACCCCUUCAAUUUAAAGAAUCGAGGUGGGACUAUUAGAUACGAACCCUGUUUUGUAGCAAAACUGAACGUUAGCUCAUGUGGUUGUUGCCUUCCCUACGGGAGUGGAUGUCCUGAGGUGAGGUCCUGAGUGAAAACCCACUAUACAUAGUCAGACCCCUCACAGAUGCCCCACGGGAAGGUUGUAAGAUGAAAAUCAUCUAAACUUGAAGCAAAACCGCAUCGACAUCACGGACUGAGCAUCAUUCCGCACCCAUCAAGGACGGGGAUGGCGUGCCUUGUGUAGUUCAUGGGACCCUCGGACCAAUGUCUAGAUUCCAAGAAACCCCACAGGUAAGACGACACGCCCUACUAGUGAACAGUGUAUGCGAGAUUAUCUUUAAUCACGUAUGUUGAAAAAUGUCUUCCGCCAUUGGUACCAACAGAUUAUGGUUAAUCAUGUACCUGAAAUAUGUCUUCUUCCAUUGCUAUCAGUAUCUUCUUGUGGUUGCUGGGGAUUAGGCCCACUACUGUGUGGAAGUCUUCAGUUCGACGAUGCUAAAGCACAGAAAUGAGACAUGCAAUCACAUGCACUCUAAUCACAUGGGGUAAACAAGCAAAAAGCACAAGCAGGCAGAGAGACUCCCAGCUCCCCAGAAACACAAACAUACAGCUCCACUUCCCCGCUUCCGCGGCGUGGACGGCCUCCUUUGAAGUUGACUCGAGGGGAUGAUUGACAAAACUUCCGCCAUCAAGUUUGGAACCUAGCGAGCAACCUUGACCACACCCAAAAAUAAUAGAAGUCCUACCGACUUCCAGACCACAAGUCACAACUCACAACAAAGCCUUCUAUCCGGUUCGCACAAUCAGACAUGUAGAUACCUAGUGACUCCAAAGUCUACAGGAGAGCACCCGAGGUGGCAACGAUAUGUAUGGGGGCGAUGCUCGCGACAUACACGAGACUAAAGAGCAGGGCCCUAUUUAGCCCUUGGUUAAGAGUUCCAAUAGUUGAACGUUGUCGGUGUCAAAACCGGCAGAUCUCGAGUAGGGGGUCCCGAACUGUAGGUAUGAGGAUCGAUGGUAACAAGGGACGUUGGGACACAAAGUUUACCCAGGUUUGGGCCCUCUUAAAGGAGGUAAAACUCUACGUCCUGCUUGAUUGUAUUCAAUGAGUAAAGGGAUUACAAGAGUUGAUCUACCAUAAAAUCGUAAUGGCUAAACCUUAGCUAUCUAGCCUAUGGGAAUUCUGAUACCCUACGUCAUGCUUGAUUGUAUUCAAUGAGUAGAGGUAUUAUAAGAGUUGAUCUACCAUGAGAUCGUAAUGACUAAACCUUAGCUGUCUAGCCUAUGAGAAUUCUGAUAGCCUAUACAGACUAAAUCCUCCAGUUUAUAUACACAUAGGAGGGACCUAGGGUUGUACAGAGUCAGUUUGUGAGGGAAGGAAAUAACUUAUCCGGACACUAAUCUUGCCGUCCACGCAUAAAGGAGUCCAACCCGAACGCGGGGGGAAGUCUUCUAUUUGUACCUUCACGGCCCAUCAGUCCGGCCCAUAUCGAAUAGCCCGGACACUCGAGGGCCACCUAAUCCAGGACUCCCUCAAACAUCCACACGUUUUUAUUAAAAGAUAUAUUUCAAAAAUAUGUUCUUACAAAAAUUGUUAAAUCAAGUUUAUAUGCCCAAGCACCUAGGUGUCUCAUAUAUUUUACCUAUAUAUUGAGAAGUGUGUACCAAGAACCAACCAAUGGUCGAAUGGUUUUAAAAAAAUGUUUGACAUAUAUUCCCUCUGUCUAGAAUUACUUGACACGAGGGAAAGAAAUUAAUUGAAUAAGUACAUUUUACAUUAAUUCCCUCCAAAAUUCAAAAAGUAACAUAAAAAUCUCCGAUACCCUCCGUGCGAUCCCCUCCGCGUGGCCCGCCGCGAUCGCCUGGACCUCAAGCUCCUGCCCUGACACUCAGCACCUCCAGCUCCGGUCGUGCCUCCGACAGGUGGUCCCGCCGCCAGACUGCACCUCGAGCUCCCUUCGCGAUCCCCAACACCUCCAGCUCAGGCAAUGUCUCCGGUAGCUGGUGCCGUUGCCGACCAACACCUCGAGCUCCCUCCGGCUAGCACCUCAAGCUCCCACCGGCGACAGCCAACACCUCGAGCUUGUUCUCCAACACCAGGCUCCCGCCGCCGCCGCCACCGCCUAUGCGGGCUCAAGGAAUCCCUCCUGUGGUUAGAUCUUCACCUAGCUUCAUUGUCUCCGAGACGGGUCUGCUGCCGGGCUCCCCACCGAGUGACACCCCUGGUGUAUUACACCGUCACCAUCCACCUCUCCUACUCUCAGGCCCGGGCAGAGGGGUGUGCAACUGGUGCGGCCAAACAGGGCCCCUAGCUCGGAGGGGCCCCGAAUUUCGUCCUUAAGUAUAGGCCCAUCGAUCCAACUGUUGAGUUGGACCUGGACAAGGUGUUCAUUCCUCAGACGGGCCUGCUCUGUUGGGUGUAAGUGGCUGCGUCCAAGCCCAUGUUGGUGCCGCGUCCUGCGAGUGGACGGCAAAUGAACUCAGCGCCCCAACGCCUCUUCGUCUGUUCCCCAAUCAACACAUGAUCUUCUUCAUCCGCACAAAAAUAGGCUAUGGCGGCCGCCGAUCGACCUUGCCCUGCCGAAGCCACCGUUUCAUAGUCGCCUGUUCCGUCCAAUUCGUCAAAGCUCGGUUCGGGCAGACUUCCAACCCGCAUGGACCACCGGUGAGAGUAUGUCAUGGGGGCACCACCGACGCAACCGAGCCACCUUCUCGUUUGCUGUAGACUUGGAACUGUUUUUCUUUUAUAAAAUCAAACUGAACUGUUUUUCUAUAAAAUCAAAUUGUGCUCGGUUCAGCUCUCAUAAAGAUGAUGCUAUGUUUUGUUAAGCGACAUCUUAUAUAAAGAUUUAUAUACAUUAAGCGACAAAGAAAACUAUAUUUUUGCAAUGAGAUAGACCCUAUUUUAGAGUUUGGCACAGGGCCCUGAUUUUGCCGGCCAGGCCCUGCCUACUCUGUUGCCUGCCAAACACUUAGAGUUAAGUACAAGACAAAUACAAACACAAUAUGAACAUAAUCAUUUGCAUGUAACUCAGGGAAACAAGGAAUUUAUAAAGAGAGGGUUGAUUGAGGUUGAAAGAAAUAGUAAGAAGAAUCGGGAAAACAUUUUCAAAUACUUCACCAACCUUCUUGGUUGCAUUUCGUUUUUGCCCCUUCCGCCGUGUUGUCCGUCCAAAGCCGACGAAUGGCUGGGGUGCCAAACAAUAUUCGGCUGACUCGAACGGUAACAACAGGCUUGUUGUGUACAUUGCCUUCUAAUCGCGCAUGGUUCAUGUUUUUUUUAGUCUAAACACACGCUUUAUUGCUCAAGAAUGUUCUGAGGAAUACAUCUCAAGUCUGGAGGAUGUAGCAGCCAGACAUGGCGGCCAAUAGGGAGAUUAAGCGCGUAUCUAGCGAGGCUAUGUGCCUCAACAUUCGAAGCUCUAUUUUCGUAAAUAAAAGAGCAAGACUGUUUUUCUAACUCCAUUAACUUGAUCUCUCGAAUGAUAUGAGCAUCUUUUUUCCUCCGUUGCCUUCAGAGAUAUUGGAUACAACUUCCUUGCAAUUCGACGCAACGACCACAUGUGUCUCCAUGAGAUCCGAUGCCAAAGCCAGAGCUUCUCUGCAAGUUAGAGCUUCAAGAGUCGCCGGGUCUGAAACUCCUUCAAAAAAUAUAGCUGACGCUCCCAAAUAAGAACCAUCAACGGCCUGGCAAAUGUCACCCACUGAGCCGCGUCUAGCUGAUUUGGUUGUGGCCCCAUCCACUUUGAUCUUGCAAUGGCCUAUCGGUGGAGGGAUCCAACGCGCGAGGCCGACGCACAUUCGCGAACAAAGAAGCGUCGCCCUUGGUGACGAGCACGAAGCUGACGACUGGAUGCUUCGAUGGUGGUAGGUAACCAUCCUGAGAAAGUUGAUUCAGCUGGUCUUGGCUCACUAUGGAGGGCCUCCACUUCCCUUUCGUCUUAGACGAGGCCUUGGUUUUCGCUGCAGGCCUCUUGGUGGCACUUGUCUCCUUCACCUCAUGGCUCUGCCUCCCCUCUCCGGACAUGUCAGAAGCAUCGGCAGGGUGAAAUGCAUGACCUCUUUGGGACUAGGCAUGAGAAAAACGCUUGGGUGCUAGAGCUUGAGGAGGAAGAUGAAGGCAGAAGGAGGAUGAUAGCGUAAAGCCCUCCUCCUCGUACCUUCCACGGACGAGCGAUGGCUUACCCCUCGUGCCCACACAUGAAUGUGCAUGAUGAUGUCAAAAGUAGCAGUAGGGCAUUCCAGAAAAAGCGCUACUGCUACGUUGAAUUAUUAUUAUGUGCAAUGUUCAAGAAAUCGGUAACUAAUAGCUGCUCGGUCGGCUUGGGAGAAAUAACUAAUAUCAAUCGGCCUAUUAAUUGGAUUAAUAGGUCAACCACUAAUCGGUAGAUUAAAUAGUAACCUACCAGCACAAGCAGGUAGCUAUUGAUGUGUAAGGCAAGUAUUGCAGUUAGGGACGAACAUGGAAAUAAAAAGUGAAUGGAACAGUGGCAAGCAAUGCUAGCAAACUAGAACUUUAUUUGUCUUUUAUUCCCAAGCUUGAACUAGCACAGGUCGGGGUCACACAUGAUGGUGCACGCCACUUUAUUUGUCAUCGUUACAACGAUUGGUGCAUAAGCUAAGCAACGAUGAUUCAUCUACCUAUUAGCAUAACUCUUGCAUUUUUCAUUGGCCACCAAUGCCGGCGUCUAUGCUGGCAUAUGGUACGUUGAUGGUGGAGCAGUCAGGUGGGACAUACACGUUGCACAUGGUUGGAAGAGUUUUCAAUACCAAUGACCUGAUCCCCUCCAAUUGAGCUGGUUGUUGAGGUUGGAUGAUACCCAGACCCUGGGCGAGCUGAAAUAGUGGUCGCAGGAUCUGCACGCCUUGUUGUUGUUCUUGCUGCAUGAUGAUGGAAUGCGCGACGCUGUGGAUGGCUGCGCACUGGAGCUGUUGAGGAAUUUGUGCUAGUUGUUGGCAACAUUGUUGCUGCAUCACCUGGCAAUCACUUCGUGGCAAGAUUAUUGACACGAGAGAUGACACCAAUGACAUAGGGUUGCAUUGCUGCAAGAGAAAAUUCUUGCAGGGGUUCAUCUGUUGUUGUAGAAAUGACUGAAUCAUCAGUUGUUGUUGUUGGGGGAAUGAUUGUUGUGGUUGUUGGGGCUGCGGAAAUUGUUGUUGGGGUUGGGGAAAAGGUUGUUGUGGUUGCUGUGACUGGGGAAAUGGUUGUUGGGGUUGUUGAGGCUGGGGGAAUGGUUGUUGUGGUUGUCGGGGAAAUGGUAGUUGGGGUUGUUGGGGCUGGGGAAAUGGUUGUUGUGGUUGCUGGGGCUGGGGAAAUUGUUGUUGUGGUCGAUGGGGGAAUGUUUGUUGAGGUUGGGGAAAUGCUUGUUGUGGUUGAUGGGGGAAUGUUUGUUGGGGUUGGGGAAAUAUUUGUUGUGGUUGCUGGGAGAAUGGUUGUUGGGACUGGGGGAAAGGUCGUUCUUGUGGCCAUUGUACUCGGCUGCUAGGGUCGACCUGCAUAUUGGCAGUGGCGAUUGUUGUUGCCAUCGCAAGGAUUGUUAGGAUGAGUAAGGUCUUCAUGGUGGAUUUGCGUUAAAUACUACUUACUUGGAUUUGAUGCUUGUGCUCUAGUUGUGUGAAGGAUGGAUGAUGGUAUGGAGUCUACAUAUUGUAGGCUUUUUAUAGCUACCAUGGUUAGGUUUCUUUUUAUUAUUGCUUUCCUUUUUUAAAUGAUUCGAUGCUUAUCAAACCGGUUAUUUGGUGUGUUGUGUUUGGUGGCACUACAUACAAAAGUAGUUUGGGAGUGGUCAUCAAAGAUGCCUUUUUAUUGUACAUAUCAUCUAAGAGUGACGAAAACCUGAUAAUUGGCACUGACUCAUCUUAUCGACUUUACAUGUCAAACAAUUAUCUGGAUUGCAUUCCUUUUGGAUCUAAGUUUAUCAUGUUGUACAAGUUGUUAGACAUAACCAAAUCUUUAUAGCUUGCGGGGGACUAAAUUUGUAUCCUUGUGCAUGUUGUUAAAGACAGGUCAGGGAAUUCUAAUGUUCAUUUUGGACUCUUAUUCUUUUUCAAAACUAGCUUGCAGUAUUGUAUAGUAUGAUGGCAAGAUGACAAGCUGACACGACUCAUCAAAUUCUCCUUUUAUGUCAAGGGUAGUAAUGUUGUACACGUUAUCAAUACAUGACUUAUCAUAUUCCGUUUUUAUGUUAAUGGUUGUAAUUCUGUGCAAGUUAUUAAUUAAUAUUGGACUAGUACUAGCUUUACUUGUCUUAAUUGAUUCACUCUUUAGUACAUUUGAAGGUUUGUUCUCGCUUUAAUUAAUUAAUUUAUUGAACUAAGUUUGUAUGUAUUAUGUGUAACAUUUGAUGCAUUUAGUCGAAGUUGUUCAUGACAACCAUUGUUACUAAGAUUUCUGAGAAUGAUUUAAAGCAUUUAAAAAAUAAAUAAUUGCAUAUUUGUAUCCUUAGGGCAUUUUCAACCGAUCCUUUAAAAAUAGGGACAAUUAGAUUUAUGCCCCUAGUUGUGUCACACUCGUCUGUUUUACCCCUAAUUCCCAAAAGUCACCGGUUCUGUCCAAGUCACUUUGCUCCUCUUAUGCUUUUGCCCUUUGACCGUUUGACCGUCAUUUUGAAAACUUCGUAACUAAUUCAUAUUAAAUCAGAAAAAUGUAAAUAAGAUACCAACAUGUUUAGAAAAACAUCACCUAUAUGUCACUGUCAUUUGCAUUCAUGAAAAAAGUGUUGAAAGUGCCCAUCCGAGUUUUAACUCUUAUGCUACCACCAUGAAUAGUAAAAUCUAAAACAAUUCAAAAAAAAUUGGUGGCAAAGAAUGACAAAUGUUUUAAGUGCCUGCCAAGUUUCAUCAGGGAAUAACAUUCGUGGGUGUCGCGACAAAAAAAACAAUCAACACUCCAAAAUAGAUUAUUUUUUUGCCACGACUUCCACGAAUGUCGUUCCCUAAUGAAACUUGACAAGCACUUAGAACAUUUGUCAUACUUUGCCACCAUAUUUUUUUGAUUUUUUUAUUUUUUUUAGAGUUUACUAUUCAUGGUGGUAUCAAAAGAGCUAAAACUUGGAUGUGCACUUUCUAACAGUUUUUUCAUGAGUGCAAAUGACACUGACAUAUAGGUGAUGUUUUUCUGAACAUUUUGGUAUCUUAUUUGCAUUUUUCUGAUUUAGUAUGAAUUAGUUAUCAAGUUUUCAAACUAACGGUCAAACGGUCAAAGGGCAAGAGCAUAAGAGGAGCAAAGUGACUUGGACAGAACUGGUGACUUUUGGGAAUUAGGGGUAAAACAGACGAGUGGGACACAACUAGGGGCAUAAAUCUAAUUAUCCCUUAAAAAUAACGCAGGAUCCGACUGACUAAACCUAUAAUGGAGUAUUUUUACUCCAUUAACUUUUGGUCGGAUCUAACCAAACUCUGAAAUUUAACAAAGUAAAUACAAAAUUUGCAUAAGUUAAAACUAGAUUCAAUUGAAACAACCGAAAUUCGACACAUUUGUCUUGACAUCCCGCGGGAGAACCGAAAUUGAUUUAAACAACCUAAACCUAAACCUAAACUUGAAAUUAAUCUAAACUACUCAUCAUCAUCAUUAUCAUCGCCAUGGUAGAGGUCGAGCCAAUCUUGCCUUAAAAUUCAACACCCAUUGGGUCCGGGCCGGUGUCAUCAUCGUCAGAGUUGGGUAAGGUGCCCUGCCAGUCCUUGGCGUUGAACUCCUUCUCGUCAUUUCCGCUUUCAUCGCUGCCUUGCACCUCGUCGUCGGAGGUGACGAUGACCUCCCCAUUGACUGCCCACGCCGCCUCCACGAGCUUGGGGUAUGGGCGGCGGAGGUCUACCAUGUACUCCUCGCCAGCGGCCUCUAUCACUAUGUGCUCCCUCGCCACCCGGUCCUCCUGAGCCAUCGCCGCAUCCACCACCCCCGGUGGCAGCGGGUUGAGGUGGGAGAGCGUCGUCCCCCAUGGAAAGUUGAGACGCGUGUCCGUGCCAUGGAACCGGGCCUGCCACCGGUCAUAUUCCAGGGCGGCGAGCUCUGUCAUGUGGAACAACCCGAUCCACUUAUUCUUGUGGGUUUCCUGGUCGGUGAUCUCCGCCACCCACGUCCCCCAUGCUCGUUGGUGAAGGCCAAGGUAUUUCCUCUCCGGCUAUUGCGGUAGAGGAAGGUCCAGGAAGUCGGAGAUGCAGGUGGGGGCCGCAUCGGCCGGGCGGCGACGGCUCGAAGACACGCGGCGGGCAUGGCGGCGUGGAUCCGCUCUACGGAUUGGCUGUGAGGAGUACCAGUCAUGCGGUAAGGCCAUUGGGAAGAGGGGGAGGAAGAGAGGCAGAGGAGGCGCCUAGAGAGGUGAGGAAGUUUUACUUGGCCGUCGAAUGGUGGAGUAAAAAUAGACAUGUGAGAUGCGGCUAAGGAUAUUUUUUUACUCCACUAGCCCCGAUCGGGGAUCGGCCAGGUCCCGGUUAGAGGAGUAAAACUUGGUUUUUACUUCUCCGACCGGUUAUAGUGGAUUGGCUAGAAAUGCCCUUAGAUCACUAAAAGCAUAUACUAAUUACACCAUCUUCUAACAUACCUUUAAUCUACACAGACUUGUCAAGAAGUCCUUCAUUCGUGUGUUUAUCCACCUGAACAAAAGCCCGUCAAGUUCUAGUGUUGUAAAAGGAAGCAAGAAGAGGUGGUAAAAUUGCUCAACAAGUCAAUCUUCUUGUUUGUUCAUUAAUACCCUAGAACCGACGGUUGACUCCUGAUCUCUUGUGAGCAUAUAUAUUUUUCUAAAAUAAAAACUGCACUCAACUUUUAAUAUGUUUCAAAUGGUUCACAUUUUUCUCCGAGGGUGGGGGUGAAAUAUGAACCUAUAUGUUGCCUGGUCUUGGUGUGUCUUCAGCGGUUUCUCUUGCGACGGGAGCACGCGGUUGCAGCACUUAUCUGCUAGCAUCAGCAUGGCCCUUGCUGCUGGAUUCCGCGCCAGCGCUCAGUCUGCUAUGGCUUAUGGCGUCGACAUCACCCCUUGCCUCAGCGUGCUUCCUAGCUAAUCCGUCGCCCUUCUGUUACCUUGCUGGCAUUUCUGUUGACGACCAAUGUAUGUAUUUUCUGUUUCUACUAGUAAGAUGCCCGUGCGUUGCACGGAACAUCUAAAUGCAUUCAUCCAGGUGUAGUUUCAUGUUGGGGUCACUCGUGUAUAACAAAUAUUGAUAGGCUUCAAUUCUUCAGAUAUUCAUUCUGCUCACAAGUACCCUUGUGAAUAGUAAAUGCAGACAAAUAGCAAACAAAAAUAACUAUCUUUUGCACACAAACAUGUUUGAGUGUUCAACCUGCAUGCAAAACUUCAUGAAAAAAUAACACUCGUGGUGCUUUGAAAAGAAAAUGCACAAAAAGUUUUUUAAAAAGCUUUUUCAGUAUCAAUUUUGUUUAUUUUCUAGUAGAACACAGUGAGGGUCCCUACCUCGACGGCGUUUUCUCCUGACCUUCUUUGCCUCCCCUGCAGGUGGUGGUGUCCCAUCCCACUAAACAUAGAUACUGCUCCGAGAGGCUACUAUGUGAAUUAGUACACAUUAUUGUUUCAGAAACAGAUGAUUAAUAUGUAUCCAAAAUUCCAAAUACAGAUGAGAUUCUCUGCAGCGGCACAAUAGACGCAGAGUCCCUGAAAUUCCUGUUUAUGAACCCAUUCCUCUAUUCCAAAAGGCUCCAAAAAUAGUUCCUCAACAGAUUACAAAUAUAGCAUUACAGUGACAUGCGUGAAUUUACACUUUUGCAUAAGAAUGUAAUUAAAAUAGAUUAAUCUGUAGGAUGUAAAUAUACAAGAAUCUGGGCAUAAAACAUUAAAUAGAUGGAGAGCACGUGUUGAAAUCAUGAGAAAGCAACCGUGCACUGGCUAUCAUUAUUCAUCCUUCUUAGACCACAUAUCAGAUGGUGAGAUGGAUAUUAUACUGUUGCACCCAUUUCUACAUGUCAUUCUCAAUUAGAACUUCUAGAGAAGAAACCUUCUGCAAGUGGAUACUAUAGAGACAAUUUUGCCGCAUGCCCUCCUUGCUCCAUUGUUCUCACAAAACUGUACAAAGAUAUUUUUUUAAAAAGGAGAUUAUUUCAGUUUGCAUUCAAUCUAGUGACAACAUACGACUACAUACUUGAGUUGCAGUUUUCAUGUAUCUGUACAGUUUUUAUCAUGUAUCCAGUGACAACUUCCAACUGGUAAUUCACACUAAAAUUGAAUUGUACAGCUAAUGGACUUAUUCUCUACACACAUCACAUUUUCAUGUAUCCGUGCAAAUUUAGACUCAAGUUGUAGCCUGAAAAAAUAAUCUUUGCUGGGAUCUAGGCGGCUCCUGACCAUUGACAAGGCGGAAGAUUGAAACUACUUCUCUAUAUAUAUUUACAAAAUGGCAUGGUGUAUAUUAUCUCUGUUAAUGUCGAUGUCAAGAUCAAGGUCUGUGUUAGCAAUAAAGAUCCUUGAGAUAAGGUCACGUCACUCUAGAGAUAUGUGAACAUAGUCCGGAAUCGAGUACUGAACACCCAUUAUUUUUCAGCAAUUUGAGCUCAGUACUUAGUUGUUUGGCUAGAACUACACCUUAUGGAAUUACUAAGCUGAACGACUGACAACAUACCUGCAUUGUCAUUUGAAGUUCUUGGGAUCUUCUGGAUCCUCGAAAGGGUAGGCACCAACCAACAUCACCGAAAGGGUUACCACACAUCCACACAUUGGGUAUGCCCAUUCAAAUAAAAAUUAUUAGUGCUUGAGCAGAAAACAUAAGGUAUUGAAAUAGUUACUCCUCAAGAUCAUGCAUCACUUAUGGCAACAAAUGUGGAUGGAAGAUUCAGAAAGCAAGUAAAGCUUCUAUGGCCGAGCAAAAUGAAUUAAGUUAGGAGUAGUAACCUCCAUAGUCAACCCUGCAGCAGUAACCGCAAAGCAACACCUUGCCGAUUCCUACAUUCCUUGCGAUCGCCCAUCUUUGUGUGACGCUCAUGCACCUCGCCCUUGUUGUCGCAACCCCAUAAUUUAGAAAUAGUUGAACCCUACAAUGCAGAUUUCUUUGAGAAAAUUCAGAAGUACAAUUGCCCUACACACAUCAAAAUUGAUGGGACGCUCUUAUGCAGUAGUUUGCAAUUACCAUCUGACACAUCAAGCUGCUCAAAGAUUACCAUUAAUCCUAACCAAAAUUCUAGCUUUGCAUAAGUAAACCACCCAGCAAAAAUUUGUAGCCAAAUAAUUUCCACUACUCUUAAAAGGUGGCAAAUUCCAUUUGGUCAGUUUGAUAUCAUACAGGGAACUAAGUACUUGGUCGGUUUCUUUCUGGCAUGAAACAUCAAGCCUCCUGACCAUCACAGCAUGCGCAUAAAGGAAGGAAUAAUUAAUAGUUUUACCUUGUACCAGAAUACACAAUUUUUAUGCACGUGUAAAUGUUUGAAGUAUGAAGCAACCUUAAUAUGCAUUGACAACCACAUUGCAAAGAUAAUACUUUCUCGCAAAUUAAACUAUCCUGCAAACCAGCCACUAAAUCACUUCAGUAUGAACACAAAAAUGACCAAACAACACACUUAUCAAGUGAAAGCAAUGAUCCACUCACAUUCAGGGCUGUAACAUUUUGGCGUAAGACAUGCAUGCUUUCGCCCAAAAACAAAAGGGAAGGUUAACGAAAAAAGAAUCAAAAUCUUAAAAUACAAAAGCAUUUCGGAGUAUUUGCCAAGAGCCUGUCACAACAAGCAGGCCUAAUAAUAAGGUUCAAAACUUGUAGUAGCUAGUAGUGGGAAAAUAAUAUACACCGACAACAUGUCAAACACCAUGAAGUAUGAAGCAUGCUGCAGUUAUGCAGUAGAUGACGCCACCAACACCAAGGAUGAGCACCGCGCAGCCGGCGGCAUACUUGUAGAGGUCGCUGUCGGCUCCUGCUGUAAGAAAGGGUAGAAGCAGGGGAGGCGUUGGGGCACGGACGACGCCCACAGCGUACGUACGUGCGGUGGCUGGUAAUACAGGGGGCGGUGGAGGGGGUGGAGGGGAUGAAGACGAGGACGGGGAGAUGGAGGUGGGAGCGCUGGAACGGAGGCAUCAGUAGAGGAUGCAGGAGAGGCAUCGGCAGGCGGACGACAUCGGCGCAUGCUUGCCGAGGUCAGCGCCGAAGGAGACAUGCAAGGGAUGGAGAGGAUGUCGAGCUGGAGGGCCAUCAUGGUGGUGGGCGGUGGAGUUGAGGGGCAUGAGAGGCACUGGGGAAGGACAUCGGCGGCAGCGACCACCCAGCCAGAUCGAUUCCAGCGCUGUCGAUUUGUUUCCAGAUGGUUGGAGGACUUGGGAGAGAGAGGGCCGAACGGGAAAGAUGGGGCUGAGAGGGGGUUAUCUGCAAAUGAGCGGCGGGCAUCUUUUUGCAAAAUUGCACAGAUUGUUUCCUGUGCGUUCGAUGGAGAUCCGACGGUCGUAAGCGACGGAUGGCAGGCACGCCAUCACCACCAACUCGUAUUUUUAUAGGAGUAGAGAGUAGAGAUAUCCAGCGAUUCUACAGCAUCCCACAACUUUGUCUUAGAGACCAAAGCGCAGGGCAAGUUUCAGGAUUCUGCACUCCAGGUUUGUUCCAGUGUACAAAACAUCAAACAGUUACACUGUACCAAACAUCCCACAAUCGGUUACACUGUACCAAACAUCAAUCAGAAUUCUGAUUCUUAUAAAUGUUGCUAGAACAUGUGACUGGUGAUUGGUAGUCAGCAUUCGAGGAGCUUUACUCGUUGUUUGGUUACGAACACUCGGAUGUGAUUCACUAUUCCACGGAUCUCUAGUGAGAAGCUGAAUAUCUUCAGCUUAUAACUAAUUAGUACUCCCUCUGUAAACUAAUAUAGGGAAUGCUUAUCAUGCUAAAUCUCAUUAUGUGUUGUGCUAUUUUCUAAUAUUCUGUUCCCUGAACUUAAUAGCUUCUUUUUCUUUUCUGAAGGAGACAUAUUCUACGCCCAUCCUUCUGUUGGAUAUUCUCACUGAGAAACCUCCGCAGCAGAAGUUUGAAUUGGUUAGUUAUCAUAUCACUGCAUUCAGUCCAAAACGAUGAUUCUAAUGUUUGGAUGCUAUAUCUUUGGUGCUGACACUUCACAUCUGGGUAUCCACCUUAAUUUGGCACAUGGAACUUUUCAGGCUAAGGUAGUUUCACUAUACUCUGUUCUUGGACCAACUUAUCUAGUAUUACAUCCAAAUAGGAAGCCUGAGUCAACCAUCAUUUAGCAACUGAUGGAUCGACCUUUCCUCUGCAGAGCAUUGUUGGGAAAUAUGGGCUGCUGGCAUCUGUUGUUUCCUUUGUUGGCGUGUUUAUCUACCUGGUGGCAAGCCCAUCGAAAUCUGGUGCUGCAAAAAGCAGGCAAGAAGAGGCGCUGAAACUGUCUAGUUAUACUCAAUGUACCCUAAAAGCUAAUGUAACCAGGAUCGUACCAGCAACGCAAUUUUGGCUGUUCUACUUAUACUCAAAAUUUUGGCUAAAUUUAGACAGAGUUAUGUUCUGUAGAACAUAGAUUUUUUUUUAAUGGACAGUUGCACAAUAUCCUUUCAGUAGUGAACAGUUGCACAAGAUAUGUGACAUGCCGGGGAUAUUUUCUGUCCACUUAAGUUUUUUUUUUGUGGAGAAAUUUUUAUUGAACACAUUUUCAGAAAGGAAGAUGGUGGAGGAUAAAGAUAGACGCAGCUCAUCUUUACCAAUGUAAAUAUUCAAUAAAAUCUAACAUAUACUACUCCCUCCGUCCCAAAAUUCUUGUCUUAGAUUUGUCUAAAUACGGAUGUAUCAAGUUACGUUUUAGUAUUAGAUACAUCCGUAUCUAGGCAAAUCUAAGACAAGAAUUUUGGGACGGAGGGAGUAUUUGUUUAGAAUCAGAUACAAGAUGCAGAUCAGUCAAGAUGGUCACACAACUCGUUAGCAUUGCCAUCAAAGAGUUGAAUAGCAAGUAGUCUUAUACUUUAAUAGUACAAUAUUUAUAUAUAAAAAAGAUUGCUACAGACUUACCUAUAUGCACUACAUUCCUUCCUAUUGCGUGCAAUAAAAUCAACUAGUAUAUACAGGCUGAUUAGUGUAGAGUAAAAUUAACUAGUACAAUCAUCAAGAGGGAAAUUAGAUGGGGAAGAUGUGCAAAAGAAAAAUGAUGGAUUGUAGUUUCUAUUAGAGAAUACCACUAGACACUAGGUUGAUUUUUUUUGUAAACGUAGGUUAACCUCUGCGUCAUUGCGAUGCACACAACCAUAUUAUUAAUUAUUCAAAAGAGUACAAAACAAAGGCAACCAUGGUUCAACCGUUACAAGAUAUGAAAUAAAACAAAGUCGACUUCCUCGGCGGUAGCGCCUUCAAGAAGGGAUAUAUGUCCUCCCUAUCGUCGCCAUGUCCGACCGGAGAGGACCUAGACAAGAAUUUUCAUCAGGGUUGGCAAUACUAGCCAAUGAGGACCAGCACAUUAGCAAGUAGAGAAAGUCUUCAACAAGGUAACGACGCAAGUUCAUCACCACGGAGCCUGACCAAUAAAGGUCACUUGACGAGUUUUCACCACCGACAUAAAGCAGGGUUCGGGUCAGCAUCCUGAACGCAGAUCAUUCCAUAGCCUCCUCCGGCAGUACUCCACGGCAGGGUUAAAAGGCACUAGCAGAUUGGUGAGAUUGCUUCCCACUUUAGACCGCUGUCAUCACCGUAAACCGGACAGGACACCCAUGUCUCUGUGGGGGUUAGUCCACUGCCACUCAACACAGAUACGAGUCACACUGCAGCAUCCACCAUAACGCAAGAGCUGCUGCUAUGGAGCUAGAAGUUGAAGGAGAACCAUGAGUACAUCCCUUGCUCGUCAGUGCGAGACUCUGUCGCUGGCACCUCAAGCAUCCUCGUGCGAUGGCCACUGCCCUCACACCGGAAAAAAAAUCGCUCUUUGCGCCGCCAGCAAGUGCCGCACGCGACCAUCACCUAUGCCGACGCUCCUGCAGGAUAUGUACUGUUGCAACGCUUGAUCUCCUUACCGCAGUCCUCAAGGGCCUCCACCUCCACAGCAAUGAGUAAUGGUGGCCACCGCAGCCACCUCCAUGACUACCAACGCAUCCGUUGUUGUCACCACCAGCUUCACCUCUGUCGCACUACAAGAUGACGUCCACACUGAAGCGGCAUUGUCCAGAUCUUCACUGUCCCUGGGCGCCCUCGAUACAACGAUCAUAGAUGUCUGUGCACUAUUCUAUUCCCUGGUCACCUCACCCGAGUGGCCGAGUCCAACGAACGCACCCUUCACCAUAGGUGCCCGUCAGCAGCACCGGCGUAGUCGCAUGUCGGCGAUGGCUUCAGAUCUAAAACGAAAGCCGCAUCCAAGACGACGGCAUCAUGGUUUGUCCAUGUGACCUCCACAGCCACGUAUGACAAAGUGUCAAGACGCGGUGUUGGGAUCUUCAUGGCUGCACACACACGCUUUGACACACUGGUGACGAUAUCCUUCAUCAAGGAACUCGCCUCCCAUCGUUCACGGGUCGCGGUAAUGUUGGCGCCGCCCUCCUCACAGCGCCGCUUCUUCUUCCUCCUCCUCUCGACAACUCUCUUGUUUUCUCUCACAAGCACACAUAUGAAAAACUCAAAAGAAACACACACGCACACAUGCAUUCAACAUCUGAUGGAUGCCCGUGCACCCUCUUUAUUUUAACCAAGACUAUCUCAACUAACUAAACUUAGCACUAAUAACAAGAUUAAUUCCAACAGGCAAUGUAUUGGAGGCGGCCAGCACGGUGGUUCAAUCAGGAGACGCCCUACGACAUGACCCCCACUCCCGGCCACAGCAGUUACGGGCGGCCAUGCCAAUGGCUGCAUGGGUGAGGAUGGGUUGGGGAGGAGGAGGUGCCUAGGCUAGCGUAGCAGCCAGUACUGACGAGGGACGGCUCAGUACUAGACGUACACGAUGACGCACACGAGGAUGGGUUAUGGACGCACACGAUGACGCCGUAGCCAUGACCACGCUCUCCACCACAAAUCCGCGAUUGAGCCAUUGUGAGCCCCUAGACGUCUCCCUCCGCUCCAUCGCUGAGUGUCACGAUCGACCCGGUAAUUGGAUGGAUCGAGGUCGCACAAAUGAGCUCAGUAUUGGGAUAGAUUUGGGAUAUUUUGGGACAUUUGGGGUGAGGAAUCAGAGGNNNNNNNNNNNNNNNNNNNNNNNNNNNNNNNNNNNNNNNNNNNNNNNNNNNNNNNNNNNNNNNNNNNNNNNNNNNNNNNNNNNNNNNNNNNNNNNNNNNNNNNNNNNNNNNNNNNNNNNNNNNNNNNNNNNNNNNNNNNNNNNNNNNNNNNNNNNNNNNNNNNNNNNNNNNNNNNNNNNNNNNNNNNNNNNNNNNNNNNNNNNNNNNNNNNNNNNNNNNNNNNNNNNNNNNNNNNNNNNNNNNNNNNNNNNNNNNNNNNNNNNNNNNNNNNNNNNNNNCAGAAGAACACGACAUGGGAUUCAAAAUCUGAAGAAGCACAUGGUCCUGGACUUUAAAGCCGUUUGCGCACGCACUGCCCUCUGGGCCCCAUUCCUAUGCACUGAAUCCACACACGGACAUUUUUUUUCAAUGGCUAGGGGCGAUUAUGGGCACGAGAUCUCCGAACUAAAUUUUCCGGACUAGGAGGUUCCUUUUUUCACAUUGCAUGAUAUACUUGUGAAAAAUUGAUAUAGAAUCGAUGGAUUCCUAUCGAAUUAGAUGGGCAUGACGUGCAACAUUUUAUUUGCCUUUAUUCCCAAGUUUGAACUUGUAUUGGUUGGAGUCACACAUAUGAUGGUGCAUGACAUUUUAUAUUUUUUUCAUUGCUACAUCGAUCGUCCAAUCGAGUAAACAAUGAAGGUCCAUCUAUCUAGUAGUACAACUGUUUUCAUUUCACUGUCCACCGUUCAUGGCAGUCAUGCUACCAAAUGGUGCACUAGUGGUGUAGCAGUCAGAUGGGACAUGCACGUUGCAUAACAUAGGCAGGGUCUGAAUCACAAGUAACCUAACCAACUUGAACUGGGCUAGUUGUUGAGGUAGGAUAAAGCCCUGGCCCAAUUGAUAUUGAGGCUGCAUGGGCAUUCCCUGGCCCAACUGUUGUGGUUGAGGCUGGCCGAAACCUCUAUCCACAUGUUGUUGUUGCAUGACGAUGGCAUGCACAAUGUUGUGGAUGGCCGGGCAUCGGGACGGUUCAUUGAUACGUGCAAGUUGUCGACAACAUUGUAGACGCUUCAACUGGCAGCUAUUCUGUUGCGAGGUCUUUGGUCGGAGGAACGGGAUCACUGACUGGAUUAAUGACAGUUUCUCCUCCGGGUUGCACUGUUGCAGGAGGAACUCCUUGCACAAGUUCAAUUGUUGUUUUUCCUCCACAGAAGGUUGUUGUUGUGGCAAUGGUUGCUCUUGCGGGUAUGGUUGUUGUGUUAAUGGUUGUUGAUAUUGGGGAAAUGGUUGUUGUUGCGGGAAUUGUGGUUGCUGUUGCUGUUGUUGCGGGAAUGUUUGUUGUUCAUAUGGAAGUGGCAUCUGCUGCGGAAAUUGUUGUUGUGGUGGCUGCUGCGGGAAUAGAUGUUGCUGGGGAAGUUGUUGUUGGAGAAGUGGCUGUUGUGGAUAUGGUUGUUGUUCCUGGGGUUGUGGUUGCUGCAGCGAAAAUGGUUGUUGUGGCUCUUUUUGCGGGAAUAGUGGUUGUUGUGGUUCUUGCAGCGGCAAUGGUUGUUGCUGGGUAAGUGGUUGCUGCUGCAGAAAUGAUUGUUGUGGCCUUUCUUGGACAUGGACACUAGGGUCGAGCUGCACGAUCGCGGUGGUGAUGGUCGUUGAUACAACGAGGAGGGCAAAGACCAAGAGGAUCUUCAUGAUGGAUUUGUGGUUACUCUGUAUUGUUUAGUUUGAAUGUUUGUGCUCUAAAUGUGUGAAAGAUGGAUCAUGGAAGGGGGUCUUCACGGUGUAUGGCUAUUUAUAGAUGCCAUGAAAUGAUUUCUUUUCGUCUUCAUAUUUUCUUUCUUGUAAAGUUCUGAUACUCUUAUCAAACUAUCUUCGCAGGGCUACUUGCAAGUGUAAUUUGGAUUAAUCGCCAAAGUUGCUUUCUUGUAGCACACAUCCAUGGAGUGUCAGGAAAGCUUGAUAAUCGUAAUGACUCAUCAUAUUCAUUUUACAUCGGAAACACUUAUCUAGAUUACACCCCUUUCAAAAACUAAGUUUGUAAUUUUCUACACAUUGUUAGGCACAUCCAGGUUGGCAUAACUUGUGGGGAACUAAGUUUGUAGUCUUGCUUGCGUUGUUAAGAUAGAUCAUACUAGUAAUGUGAAGAUUGUUCUGGACUCCUUCUUCCUAAACUAACUUCGUAGUUUUGUGUAAUAUGAUGGUAAGAUGAACAAGCAUACAUGACUCAUCAAUUCUUUCUUUAUGUCAAUGUUAUUAAUGUCAUAUGAGUUGUUAAUACACACUAGGUGAUUCUCACGCAUUUAUGCAGGACCACCAUGCACAUGAUAUUAAACCCUUUGAAGAAACUUUAUACUUGGUUCGAUAGUACAUAUAUAGUCACCAGAAAAAAACAUAUUGCACACGGUGUAUCAAAUACAACGACACCUACAAUAGCAUGCUAUGUGAAUUAUAGAGUGCGUUGAGUAUACUAUGGAAUAGCAUACGGCCAACUCCAAUGUAGUGACCCAAGCAGACGCGGAUUUUAUCUGCAUUUUUCCAUUUGGGUUGCCAAAAUGGACAACGGACGCAGACGAAAAGCCGGACACCACCGAUGUACACAACAGACCCAACUGAAAUGGACACCGUUGUUGAAGGCUCGGUGUCACUCGUCGAGAGGAUCAACGCCACCGCGCCGGCCAAUGACCUCCAGUUCUACGGACACCUCCGUGUGCCCGCAUAAUAGCUCGAGCCACCCGGCACCGCCGCCUUGGCUCCUCCUGUGACCCGUAGCAGCACCAGGCUGUCGUCGCCUGCUCGCUUCUCCUCUGCUUCCUUCCAUCUCUCUCUUCCUACUCAUCUCACCUCCCUCUCACUUCUCUUCUCGAGCAGGAAGGGGCACGGCCGCUAACCAUAGGACGCCUCCACUGGUCGAAGCCGCCAUCGAUGCACUAGCAUCCUCAACCUCGCCGCCGCCAACCGUAGACGCAUAGUUCAUGCAUAUAACAAACAAUAAACAUAAUUGGCGAUUGUUUGUUGGGAGAGGGGUGUGGCAAACAAAACUCUUUUGAUGGCAAUUUUGGUUCUGAGGUGAAAUCAAACGAUGGCAAUUUAAAACGAAAACUUUCCCUCUCAAUCAGAAACUGCCAUUUCGCUCUGAAGAAAACUGUCAUCCCUCAAACUAAAACUGCCAGCGAAAUAAUUCGCAAAUGCCACCCGCUCCUGGGGACUAUUUGCUAGCUAAGGGGAUCCAUAACAAAAGUGUUCUGCCUGCAGGCAAGUAGAAGUACACUAUUUCGGAUAAUGGAAAGGCAGCUUGUGUAUAAAUAUUUGAUAAAUUACAACAUGAGAUCUAGCAGACGUGUAAGGGGGUAGGAAAAACUUUGUCCGUCAAAAUUGACAUUAUUACAUGUAGGAGAGUGGCACUAGUAGAAAAACCCCUAUUAGUCCCGGUUGGUGAGGGCCUUUUGUCCCGGUUCUUGAACCGGGACUAAAGGGUCGUUACUAAUGCCUCCCCCCUUUAGUCCCGGUUCUAACACGAACCAGGACAGAUGGGCCUCCAUGUGGCCGGUGCGCCAAGCCCAGGCAGGAGGGCCUUUGGUCCUGGUUGGUGGCACCAACCGGGACCAAAAGGCAUCCAUGCGUCAGCAUUUCAGUGGCUGAGGUUUUUUUNNNNNNNNNNNNNNNNNNNNNNNNNNNNNNNNNNNNNNNNNNNNNNNNNNNNNNNNNNNNNNNNNNNNNNNNNNNNNNNNNNNNNNNNNNNNNNNNNNNNNNNNNNNNNNNNNNNNNNNNNNNNNNNNNNNNNNNNNNNNNNNNNNNNNNNNNNNNNNNNNNNNNNNNNNNNNNNNNNNNNNNNNNNNNNNNNNNNNNNNNNNNNNNNNNNNNNNNNGGUUAAUUUAGGUGUUUCAUAUAUUGUGUUAGCUAGCUAAUUAAUAGAGAGAAGUGUCAUCUCUUAUGUCCGUGCUUGGUCGAUGCUACGUACUAUACAUAGAGAGGCCCUCGACACGCUAGCUAGUAAGAAAAUGAAGGGAACCAUUAAGUACAGAAGUUCGUCAUGCAUACCGAGAGAAGUGAUCGAUCGACCUCGCCUUCUCCGAGAGAUUGGUCGAACAACAAGUUUUCAUAUUAUCUAUCCGACGCUAUUGGCUACAUACAUAUACAAUAUGUAAGAUCUCUUAAUUACAAUCCCCUAGCAAUUGAAAUCAACUUCCACAUGGUAUUCUCUGGCUUUAUUGAUGACGUGGUCAAGAAAGAAUCCCGCCAAUUCCUCUUGAAUUGCUUUCAUGCGAUCUUGUUCUAGGAGUUCAUUCCGCAUCUGCCACGUCUAAUUUGAAGAAGGGGGUUAAUUAAUACAUAUAUAUGAAUGAAACUCAACAGAAAUGAUGGUGUAAUAAAAUGAAAUUGUGAAUAUUAUUGCUUACGCCCUUCAUAUUGUCUUUGAGAGUAGCCCCGCUUAUUUUUCAAAGUCACGUUGUAGAUAAACUCGCACACGUAGUAUCCACAGAAAUCAUUCCCUUGUUCCUGCCACAAGCACUUUACGAGAAAUAGAGGUCAAUCAAACUGAUAAUGAAGCAUUAUAAAUGGCAUUGAUAAAAGUAUAGCUAUAGAAUCAACGGAAGAUGCGCGCAACUAGCUAGCUAGCUAGUAGUACUUACUUUCGGGUAUGUAUAUCGCAGCUCCUUGGGCAGUCCCGGAGCUUCUGCUGUGAACUGUUUCCAAACCCUACAAGACAAAGAAAAUAAUUAUUAUUACUUGAGAUAUCAGGAAAUGAACAAAAAGUUACCGAUAUGGUGCGAAAAUGAUCGAUUGAACUUACUUGUUGAGCAAUUUAGUCAUGUCCGCAUAGGUUUCGGGAUCUUUUCGUCUCGAGUUUAAGAUGGUUACUAGUCCCCGCUCAAGCUUAAUCUCCAGAAGAACAUAGUGGAAGCUGCGCACGCAUGCAUAACUCAUCAAUUACAUUACUAUAACCUCGCUCGAGUAAUAAGGGAAACCGAAUAUGCACACAACAGUUACACUCACUCGAAGUUGUAAGGAAAGAGUAUUAAAUCUUUGUUUUUAUUUUUGAUCAACGAUUGUAGCAAGUUGGCCUCGGCCUCGUCGGCGUGCUUUUUAACCUAAAUUUCAUCUAUGAUAUUUAUGUUAAUGAACCCAAUAUCAUAUAUUUCUUGUUUUCUGCACUCGACGAUCUUCAAUCUGCAUAAUAUAGUAAGGAUAAUUAAUUAUAAAUACAUGCAAUGAAAGAGCUGAGCUAUAUAUAGAGACUUAAUGACAGCAAUAGUACUUACAGACAGUAGCAAAAGACCGUUAAUUUAUCGAGGGCCUCUUGAUUGAAGAACUCGAAGAACUCCUCAAAUGGAACAUGCAACAGAUCAGUUCCAACGAGGCCGUGCUCCUCUUUAAUGUACAGAUACAAAGUAUUCGUCCCCCAGACUCUCUGCAGGUUUUCAUGUACCAAUUAUGGAAUCUUCGCAUCAUCGUUGUUAGAGAUUUUUCAUCUUUGACAAGAGGCUUCCCGUACUCGUAUCUGUGUUCGUCCACCUCCAUGAAAUCAGGAAGUUGAUCGUCAGGCAGGUAAUCUGCAUGAUUGCCAUAACCGGCCACCGGCCCCGGAGCAUUAGCGACGAUGUCACCGCUAGACACAUUGAGCGGGGGGCACGAUUGAUUUGCUUGUUUGCCGAGCUGGACAAGUUUUUUCGCAGCUGCUCGUUCUCUUGACCUUUGAUGCCUGACAGUACUUCCCGACCGCUCCGCUUGGAGAUAUGUCUGUUCAGUAAUGUGCUCAUAGUUGCUUCUCGGCGGAGACUUUACUGGUUUCCUCAGGGCAUCGAGAGUGCGCUUUGCUUUCACCGGAUCUACCUUCUCCUCCGGAGGUGGAUGUCUCUUUUCUUUCAACCCUUCAAAGAAGUCGUCCACUUUGGCCCGCACGAUCUUCGUGUUUUCCUCCUCGGUCCUCUCGUACGGUAACUUCUCUAGAGGCUUGAGAGAAGGACCGUAUCUGUAUUGCCUCCCGCCUCUGGCUGUACUGCUAGAUGUCGGAGUAGACAGAGCGGCCGCGGUGUCUGUCUACUUUCAUGCUUGCUUACAAGGCGGAGGAGAAGGACUACGACGCACCGGAGCAGCCGGGGCGGCGGUGGGUCUCUUCCUGCCCCCUUGCUUGCGAGGCGGAGAAGGAGGAGGCUGCUGGCUGCUCGGGCGCACCGACGCAGGCGGAGAUGGAGGCGGAGUGCCGCUACGCGCUGGAGAAGUAGGCCCAGUGCCCUGAUCAUCACUUGCCGGAGGAGGAGGCGGUGGAGGAGGCAGAGUGCCCUGACUCGCCGGAGGAGGAGGAGGAGGCGGAGGCGUCCAGUUCGGAAGGUUGAUGAGCUCCUUCCGCCAUAGGCAUGGAGUCUUCAGAGCAGAACCCAGCCUAGUCUCCCCUUCACCGGUAGGGUAGUCAAGCUGGAGGUCCUCAAAUCCCUCCGUUAUUUCAUCCACCAUAACCCUAGCAUAUCCUUCUAGAAUCGGCCAGCAGUGAAAAGUUGUGCCGUGUUCAGUAGGAUAAACUGAGCCAACAGCGGCCUUGACCUUCAAAUUCAUCCAUCGCGUAAUAAUGUGGCAAUUUUGAGACUCCGUGAUAGCAUCCACGGGAUAGCUGGCAGGAGCCGUUAAGACAUGUUCCGGCUGAAGCAGCUCGGUGGAAGCCACGCUGCUUCUCCGCUGAGAUGGCGGGGUAGCUUCGGGGAAAGCUUCGGCCGAUCGUUUGCUGCGAUCUGCUUCUCAUUCCUCUAGCCCUUGUACCUUUUCGUGCAGCGCCUGCAGUUGGCUCUGCUCCAGUUUCUUCCUCCUCUCCUGAGUUUUAUAACCCCCUGCGUCUGGAAAACCAACCUUCCACGGAAUGGAGCCUGGCAUGCCUCUUGUCCGUCCAGGGUGCUCAGGAUUCCCGAGGGCCAUUGUGAGCUCGUCCUUCUCCCUGUCUGGAAUGAACGUCCCUUGCUGCGCUACAUCGAUAUACUGCCGAAGCCUUGUGACUGGUGUUUUCAGUUGCUCGUUCGUCCGAUGGCACUUCCCUGAUACAGGGUCCAAGGUUCCGCCAGCCCCGAAGAACCAAGUCCGGCAACGGUCUGUCCAUCUCAUUGUCUCUGGUUCGAUCCCUUUAUCAAGCGGAUCAUUCUCAGCCUUGGACCACUUAGGCCGGGCUUUGAGGUAGCCACCUGACCCCGUGCGAUGGUGAAACUUCUUCUUCGCAGCAUUUUGCUUGUUUGUCGCCGACAUCUUCUUACUCUUUUCUGAUGUCGUGUGGGCCACAAAUGCAGGCCAGUGAUCUCUGAUCUUCUCAUAUUUGCCGAUGAAUUCUGGUGUCUCUUCUUUGUCGACAAACUUUUUCAGCUCUUUCCUCCACCUCCUGAAUAGGCCUGCCAUCUUCUUAAGAGCACAAGACUUGAUUAAUUGCUCUUUGACUGGAUUCUCCGGAUCCUCCUCUGGCGGUAGGGUGAAAUUUGCCUUCAGCUCAGUCAAAAGAUCAUCUUUCUGCAUAUCAUUGACAUAAUACACCUGAGGUUCCUCCUCCUUAGGCUUAUACCAUUGGUGGAUGCUGAUCAGGAUCUUGUCCCUAACAAGAACCCCACACUGAGCAGCAAAUGCGUUCUUUGUCCGGAUGGGUUCAAUCGGUUCGUCGUCGCGCGCGAUUGCUGUGAUCUCAAACCUUUUCAUCAGAGCUCAACUUUUUCUUCGGGCCUCGUCUCCUUACCGAAGUUGUGCUCGAUCCGGAGGGCUAGAAAAAAGAAGAAAGACGAGAGUUAAUUAAUAUGUGUACAUAUACCAAAACAAUGAAUGCAUCAAUUAGCUAGUCAGCACAGGCUUAACUAAUAUAUAUACCUGGCCAGACUCGGUUCGGUCAUCGGAGCUGUCAUCACGGUCUCCUUGCACCGUCAUUGGGUCAUCGGAGCCGUCCUCAUGGUCUCCUUCUUGCACCGGCAUUGGGUCAAAGGAGCCAUCAUAAUUUCCUGCUUCUUCACUCUGUCCUUCCAGACCAUCGGUGUCGUUCAGAAACGAUAAGCCGGCACCACUUCCAUGUGCGAUUAUCUCCUCCAACAUCACUUUUGUUGCUUCGUCUCCGGGGGUGUCCAUAGUUUCUACAAAUAUGUACAACAUGGCAAUUAUUAUUCAAACAUGAAAGAUAUGGAUAUAUUAGUGGCAAACGUAGAACUAGCUAGCUAAUCACAGUAAGGAAUCAUAUUAAUUAGUGGCCUCGACGCUGCCUCGAGAGAGUUUGUCGGGUAGGGGCGCGGCGGGAGGGGGUAGUAGACCAACAUCGUUUUUUCUCUAGGGUUUGGGUGUCCUCGAGAGUUUUGGUCGAGCGAGAGGGCCGAGGGGGGUGUUGCCGUGGUAUAAGUUAUCACGGUCGAGAGGGGGUAUAUAUAUCGACCGCCCCUCAUGUCGAAGUUAUCCGGGAGGGGUUAUAUCGACAACGACGACAUACAUACAUAGGAAAAUAAAGUUAUCGGGGAGGGGGUAUAUCGACCCUCCCCCCUCAUGUUGAACUUAUCGGGAGGGGGUAUGGACAACGACAUACCCGAUAAAAAAUAAGAAGACAAAAGAAGAAAUAAAAAGAGGAGAAGAAGAAAGGAAUAGAAGAGAAGAUCGAAGAAAAAAACAAGAAAAAAAAGAGGAGAAGAAGAAAGGAAUAGGGGAGAACAAGAAAAAAUAGAAAAUAUUCUAUUUUCUCUUCUUCUCCUCUAUUCCUUUGUUCUUCUCCUCUUCUUUUUCUUCUUUUUUCCUCUUCUUAUUUAUUUCUCCUCUUCUCCUCCUUUCUUCCUCUUCUUAUUUUCCUUUUUCCUCUCAUUCUUUUAGUAUUGCUUGUUUUUAAAAAAAAUGUUCAAAUAGAAAAUUUCGAAAAAGUAAAGGUUUUGCCUAAUGCAUUGUUCAUAUGAAUAUACGAACAUUUGUAUAUUCUACAAUAAUUAAUAUCACCAAAAAAAAUCUAUGAACAGAAAAAAAUCCUAACUUUUCUAAAAAUCUAUCUUUUGCAUAUAUGAAAACAUUAAUACACAUAUGAACAAAAAAUACAUAUAUGAACAAAAACAUGCUCUGAACAAUUUAUUUAUAGAUUUUGAACAUCUACAUACAUACACAUGUACAUUAUAUAUAUAUGAACAAAAAAACUAAACUAAUAAAAAUGAAAAAAACAGAGCCGCAUAGCCACAUACAUAUACAUAUACAUUAUAUAUAUAUAUAUAUAUGAACAAAUAAUUAAACUAAUAAAAAUGAAAAAAAUAGAGCCGGGGCGGCGUGGCGGCUCACAGCGGAGGCGGCUAGCGAUUACGAUGGCGACAGCGGGGGCGGGACGGGGCAGGGGCUUGGGGCGGCACGCGGUGACGGGGACGGCGGUCUCGGGCGGCACGCGAUGACAGGGACGAGGAGGGUGGGCUCGGGGAGGCAGGCGGCGAUGGGGACGAGGACGGCGGGCUCGGGUAGGCCGGCGACGAGGACGGCGCGGUCUCGGGGAGGCCGUGACUUGGACGGCGCGGGCUCGGGGAGGCCGGCGACGAGGAUGGCGCGGGCUCGGGGUGGCUGGCGACUUGGACGGCGCGGGCUCGGGGAGGCGACGGCCUUGGCGGCAGCGACGGCGACAGCGAGGUGGAGCAGCUUGACGGCAUCGAUGAGCUCGGCGUCGUCGGGGGAUGGGGGCAACUGGCAAUGAAAACUGAGAAUUUUUCACAAGUGUUUCUUAUAUAGUCGAAGCAUUGGUCCCGGUUCGUGGCACCAACCGGGACCAAUGCCCCCUUUAGUCCCGGUUUGUGCCACCAACCGGGACCAAAUGCCAGUUUUCGGCAGCCCAAAGGGCGGGAAGCUGCGGCCUUUGGUCCCGGUUGAUGGCACCAACCGGGACUAAAGGGGGGGCAUUGGUCCCGGUUGGUGCCACGAACCGGUACCAAUGCCCCCUUUAGUCCCGGUUGGUGCCACCAACCGGGACCAAAGGCGCCUAUGCUGCCCGCGUCGCGGCCAAAGUUUAGUCCCACCUCGCUAGUUGAGAGGGCUCGAGAGUGGUUUAUAAGCGCUUCUGCGCCCAUCCUCUCGAGCUCCUCUCAACUGCAGGCUUUCGGGCCUAAUCUCACACUAUGCUGUUGUGGGCCUAUUGGGCCUUCUGCGGGCCUGAAUCCUGGCCCUGGUUAGGUUUCUAGUCGUAUUCAGGCCGUGGUGGCCCAAUAGGUGGCAGUUUUUUUUAGUUUUUUUCCAGUUUUUUUGUUUUGUUUUUUGCAUUAUUAAUUUUCUUUUGUUUUUUGCUUUAUUUUUUAAUUCUUUUUGCUUUUAGGUCAAAAAAAUUAUAAACUUUCUUUUAGUGCCAUUAGUUUUCAAAUUUGAAUAGUUAAAAUUUGAAUUCUUUGAAAUUUGUGUGAAUCACCAGUUUGUGAUUAACUUUACUAAAAAAUGAGCAUAGAUGUGCCGAUAGAGAGUGAUGGAGUUCCGGACUAGGGGGUGUCCGGACAGCCGAACUAUCAUGAUCGAUCGGACUCCAAGACUAUGAAGAUACAAGAUUGAAGACUUCGUCCCGUGUCCGGAUGGGACUUUCCUUGGCGUGGAAGGCAAGCUUGGCGAUAUGGAUAUGUAGAUCUCCUACCAUUGUAACCGACUUUGUGUAACCCUAGCCCUCUCCGGUGUCUAUAUAAACCGGAUGGCUUUAGUCCAUAGGACGAACAACAAUCAUACCAUAGGCUAGCUUCUAGGGUUUAGCCUCCUUGAUCUCGUGGUAGAUCCACUCUUGUAACACACAUCAUCAAUAUUAAUCAAGCCGGACGUAGGGUUUUACCUCCAUCAAGAGGGCCCGAACCUGGGUAAAACAUCGUGUCCCUUGUCUCCUGUUACCAUCCGCCUAGACGCCCAGUUCGGGACCCCCUACCCGAGAUCUGCCGGUUUUGACACCGACAUUGGUGCUUUCAUUGAGAGUUCCUCUGUGCCUUCACCGAUAGGCUCGAUCGCUUCUUCGAUCAUCAUCAACGACGCAGUCCAGGGUGAGACCUUCCUCCCCUGACAGAUCUUCCUAUUUGGCGGCUUCGCACUGUGGGCCAAUUCGCUUGGCCAACUGGAGCAGAUCGAAAACUACACCCCUGGCCGCCAGGUCAGAUUUGGAAGUUUGAACUUCACGGCUGACAUCCGCGGGGACUUGAUCCUCGAUGGAUUCGAGCCACAGCCGAGCGUGCCGCACUGUCACGACGAGCAUGAUUUAGCUCUGCAGCCGGACAGUACCCUGGAGGCCGCACUCGAACCCGCUCCGAUCUUCAAUUCGGAGCCGGCUGCGCAGAUCGAGGACGGAUGGCUAGACACCGCCUCGGGGGCUGCAACCUCUACGGCGAUAGAGCCGAACACUGACCUUGUCCCUCAUAAAGCUCGUGACUCCGAGGUGCCGGACUCCGAACCUCCCGCGCCCCCUCCGAUCGAAUCCGAUUGGGCGCCGAUCAUGGAGUUCACCGCGGCGGACAUCUUCCAACACUCACCUUUUGGCGACAUCCUGAGUUCGCUAAAGUAUCUCUCGUUAUCAGGAGAGCCCUGGCCGGACUGCGGCCAGGACGGUUGGGAUGCGGACGACGAAGAAAUUCAAAGCCCACCCACCACCCACUUGGUAGCCACUGUCGACGAUCUAACCGACAUGCUAGACUAUGACUCCGAAGACAUCGACGGUAUGGACGACGAUGCCGGAGACGACCAAGAACCAGUGCCUACCGGGCACUGGACAGCCACCUCAUCAUAUGACAUAUACAUGGUGGAUAUCCCAAAGGAUGGGAAUGGCGAAGGAGCAGCGGAGGAUGACCCCUCCAAAAAACAGCCCAAGCGCCGACGUCAGCGGCGCCGUUCUAAAUCCCGCCAUAGCAAGAAUGGCGAUUCCGGCACCGGAGAUAAUAAUACCCCGGACAGUGCCGAAGACAACCCCCUCCAGCAAGAUUCAGCGCAGGAGGACGGAGACGCCAGCCCUCAUGAGAGAGCGGCAGAAGCAGAGGUAGAGGAUUAUAUGCCUCCCUCCGGAGACGAGGCGAGCCUCGACGGCGACGAAUUCGUCGUGCCUGAGGAUCCCGUCGAACAAGAGCGUUUUAAACGCAGGCUUAUGGCCACGGCAAACAGCCUCAAGAAAAAGCAGCAACAGCUUAGAGCUGAUCAAGAUCUGCUAGCCGACAGAUGGACUGAAGUCCUCGCGGCCGAAGAGGAUGAGCUCGAACGCCCCUCCAAAGGCUACCCUAAACGCAAGCUGCUCCCCCGAUUAGAGGAGGAGGCAUAUGAACCUGCAUCACCAGCAGACAAUACGGCUGACCGACCACCCCGUGGUCGCGACAGAGAGGCCUCUAGGCCCUUCACUAGAACCGUACCCCGGCAUCGCUCGAAAAGCACAAGGCCACAGGGGAACGCUCCGGACUUGCGAGAUAUAUUGGAGGAUAAGGCAAGACAAUCAAGAUCGAUCUAUGGAUCGCGUGGGCACCCCAUGAUACGUGACGACAACCGUCGCGCCGGACACAGCAAGUCCGGCUGGGCCGAACAAAAUAGACAAAGCUCUCUUGAGCUCCGUCGUGACAUCGCCCAGUACAAAGGCGCUGCACACCCGCUAUGCUUCACAGAUGAAGUAAUGGAUCAUCAAAUCCCCGAAGGGUUUAAACCCGUCAAUAUCGAAUCUUAUGAUGGCACAACAGACCCCGCGAUUUGGAUCGAAGACUAUCUCUUUCACAUCCACAUGGCCCGCGGUGAUGAUCUUCACGCCAUCAAAUAUCUCCCCCUCAAGCUUAAAGGACCAGCCCGGCAUUGGCUUAACAACAUGCCAGCAGAGUCAAUUGGGAGUUGGGAAGACCUAGAAUCCGCAUUCCUCGAUAACUUCCAAGGCACGUAUGUGCGACCACCAGAAGCUGAUGACCUAAGCCACAUAAUUCAGCAGCCAGACAAAUCGGCCAGACAAUUCUGGACACGGUUCUUAACCAAGAAAAACAAAAUCGUCGAUUGUCCAGAUGCGGAGGCCCUCGCGGCCUUCAAGCAUAACAUCCGCGACGAGUGGCUCGCCCGGCACCUGGGACAGGAAAAGCCGAAAUCCAUGGCAGCCCUCACAUCACUCAUGACCCGCUUCUGCGCGGGUGAGGACUGCUGGCUAGCACACAGCAACAACCUCAGCAAAAAUUCUGGCAGUCCGGAUUUUAAGGACCGAAAUGGCAGGUCGCGUCAUAACAAAAACAAACGCCGCACUAACAGCGACAUUAGUGAGGAUACGACAGUCAAUGCCGGAUUCAGAGGCUCUAAACCCGGUCAGCGGAAAAAGCCAUUCAAAAGAACUACUCCGGGUCCGUCCAAUUUGGACAGAAUACUCGACCGCUUGUGCCAGAUACACGGCACCCCCGAAAAACCAGCCAAAAACACCAACAGGGACUGUUGGGUAUUCAAGCCGGCAGGCAAGUUAAUUGCCGAAAACGAUGACAAGGGGCUGCAUAGCGAUGACGAGGAAGAGACCCGACCGCCGAACAAUAGAGGACAGAAGGGUUUCCCCCCACAGGUGCGGACGGUGAACAUGAUAUACGCAACGCACAUACCCAAAAGGGAGCGGAAGCGUGCACUCAGGGAUAUAUACGCGAUGGAGCUAGUUGCCCUGAAGUUCAAUCCAUGGUCCUCCUGCCCGAUCACUUUUGACCGAAGGGACCACCCCACCAGCAUCCGCCACGGUGGAUUCACCGCAUUGGUUCUAGACCCAAUCAUCGACGGAUUUCACCUUACCAGAGUCCUGAUGGACGGCGGCAGCAGCCUGAACCUGCUUUACUAGGAUACAGUGCGUAAAAUGGGCAUAGACCCCUCAAGGAUUAAACCUACCAAGACGACCUUUAAAGGUGUCAUACCAGGUGUAGAAGCCAAUUGUACAGGCUCAGUUACACUGGAAGUGGUCUUCGAAUCCCUGGAUAACUUCCGAAGCGAGGAGUUAAUCUUCGACAUAGUUCUGUUCCGCAGCGGCUAUCAUGCCCUGCUCGGACGUACCGCGUUUGCAAAGUUCAACGCGGUGCCGCACUACGCAUACCUCAAGCUCAAGAUGCCAGGCCCUCGAGGAGUCAUCAUGGUCAACGGAAACACCGAACGUUCUCUCCGUACGGAGGAACAUACAACAGCUCUCGCGGCAGAAGUAUAAUGCAACCUCUUAAGGCAAUUCACUAGUCCGGCCAUUGAGCGGCCGGACACAGCUAAGCGCGCCCGGAGUAACCUACAACAAGACCACCUAGCACGUUUCGAGCACGUGUAGCAGUGCGGCCCCAACCCCAGCCCUCGCAAAACGUCAAGACUGGUCCUUCGCGUACAUCACUAUGCUCUGAAGAUACCAUGGGCAUGGGGAGAGGGGCACGACCACGAUAGGCCCAGACUGCGGCUCAACCACACCAGGGGCUCUCAAGUGUGUCGUUCUUUUUUUUCUUUUUUCUUCUUUUAUUUUUACCCACAGGACUCCGUUCGUCAGAGGCCCUGUCCGGCAACAGACCUGCCGAACUCACGAUGCAACAGCCAGGGAAGGAUAAAGGCUACAACGAAUAUCCAGGUGGUCUCCAUUACGAGCAUUAAAUAUGUUUUAUACACCACUUCGUAGCCUACCCCUGGAGGGGGACAUGCUUAAACAGUCCCUUCCCUUGCUUAUCGCACUAUUUGUAUCGUUCUGCGUUCAUAGCAGCACUUCUUGAAUAAAACAAUGCAACACCUUUUUGCUUAUAAUUGCAUUUCCUUUUUAUAUAUAUGUUCAUUUACGGCAUGUUGCAUCCGUACACUUUGGUACGGUUAAAAUACACCAGGGGCUUAUGUUUCCCGCGUCAUGGUGUGAUAAGUCCGAACACUUUCACAAGUGCGGCACCCCGAACUUAUAGCAUUAUAUGCAUCGGCUCCGAAUCAUGUCUUGGGUCAAUAGUUGGGUUUGCCCGGCUCCCAUGUUUUGGUACCUUACGUUUCGUUAUAUCGGCUAAGGUAGCACUGGGAGAACCACUGCGAUUGCGCCCCAGUUGAGCUGGGUUAACGCCUUAGUGGAGAAAGCUAAAACUGACCGUCAUGAUGAGGCGAGAGCGGUCGCUAUUCGAGAGGUUUUUUGCGAGUCCUUAAAGACUUAUGCCGCUUAGAGCGAGGAGCCGGUUUUUGUCCGGCCCAGGCGUGGAUAGCGCCCCAAAUUCGGCCUUCCGAAGACUAGGGGCUUCGCCGAAAUUUAAAAUUAUAGAAUUCUAUGGCUAAGUGAGAGUGUUCAAGCAUUAUAAGUCCGGUUGCCUUGUUCGUCGUGUUGAGCGCCUCCCUAGAUGGACCCAAAUAUGAGAACAAGAGUGCUCAAAUUUAUCCCGAACACCCCAGCACUCGUGGCAUGGGGGCUGAAGCUGACGACUUGUAAUCUCUCAAAUUUGAUAAACAGCCGAACAGAAGGUAAUAUUUUAAAUAAACAAGCGUUGCUUAGCGCAUAUGAACAAAGUUUUCUGCGCACAGGAUAACAAAAUACGAGUCUACUCAAAUAUUACAUUAUUGGAGCACUCACCCGCAAUAGUGCGGGCACCCUUCAGGACACUCUUAUAAUACAUCUCGGGCAUGCGAUACUCCUUGCCCGGCGGUGGUGCGUCCGUCACAAGCUUCUCAGCAUCCAUCUUGCCCCAGUGCACCUUAGCGCGGGCAAGGGCCCGACGGGCACCUUCAAUACAUGCGGAUCGCUUGAUGACCUACACCCAUGGACACGCAUCCACCAACAGCCGCACCAGGCCGAAGUAGCUCCCAGGCAUGACCUCAUUGGGCCACAGCCGAACUAUGAGGCCCUUCAUGGCCUGUUCGGCCACCUUGUGGAGCUCGACCAGCUGCUUCAGCUGGUCGCUAAGGGGCACCAGAUGUCCGGCCUCAGCAUACUGAGACCAGAAGACCUUCUCCGUCGAGCUCCCCUCCUUGGCCCGGUAGAAUGCGGCAACAUCGGAUACGCUGCGAACGCUCCUGGAGAGCUCCGAAUUCGGGUAAGUGAUAGGGUAAUUCACACUCACAUGCUUACUUUGCAUGAAAAAUGCCUUACCCGCCGCUAUCUUCUUCAACGCCUCGAUUUCCUGGAGGGCUUUAUAGGCUUCUGCCUUAGCGGCUUUGGCACUCUCAAGAGCCGUCGCAAGCUCGGACUCUCGAGUAUUCGAGUCACGCUCCAAACUCUCAUGUUUUUCCAUGAGAGCCUGGAGCUCUUGCUGUACCUCCGCCACCCGCGCCUCAUGCUUCUCUCGCUCGGUGCGUUCCGCGGCCGCACUAUGUUCGGCCACGAACACCGCCUCCUUCAGGGUCGCCACCUCAUUCGUGGCACCUGUUACAUCCAUGUUAUCCUUGUCAUUUUUCUUGCAACCAAAAUCCUUUUCUAUAAGGUACAAUUUUAAUAAGGUGUUACUCACCUUCCUUGUCCUCAAGCUGCUUUUUGGCAUGGCCGAGCUCGUUCUCGGACCGCUCGAGGCUUUCCUUCAAAGUAUUGACCUCCGCAGACAAUGCGGCAGAGGUCAGCAGCACAGCCUGCAAUCCCAUAUUGACAUAUUUUUUAUGACUCCUGCGUAUAUCUUUUUAGAUCCUCAGUCCGGCUUUUCUUUCCGAACACCAAACCGAGCAUCAGGGGCUACUGUCUAUGCGGUACCAUUUUAUAUAUAUCGAAGUUCUUACCUCAAAGCCUGUUAGAAGGCUGCUGCAGGCUUCGGUCAGCCCGCUCUUGGCGAGCUGAACCUUCUGAAUCACCGCACUCAUAACAGUGCGGUGUUCCUCUUCAAUGGAGGCGCUUGGCGCCUCCAGCAAGUUAUCCGGCGCCUCCAGUUGGACGGAGGCUGCUGGCGUCACGGUCUUCCCCUUCUUACGAAGGGGUCGCCCGCCGGACUCCGGAGCCACUGUAGGUUUCGAGGCCGAGUCCGGUGCAAAGUCCGGGAGGUUAUCCUGCGACACCUCCGGGUCCUCCUCGUCCUGGUGGGUCCCUUCCUGGGAUCCCACCUUGGCAUCGUCCGCAUCACGGAGGGUGGAGGCAGUCGGAAGGGAAUCCAUGUCCGACGCACCCAAGGACCCGCUCGACGAAGCAGGAAGAUCAUCCUUGGGUGGACUGCAGGGUUGUAUGCGGCAUUAGAAAGACAUUAUGUGGCGAAAAGAAAAACCAUGAAGUUAUUCGGGAGUCCGGAUACUUACGAUCUCGCCAGGGGCUUGGCCCUUGGAGGCCAGUCCUCGUCGUCGUCACUGGCGUUGGCAAAGCAGUCCGAGGAAAGAGUUUUUCCCUUCUUGGACCCUUCGGCCUCCCUUGUUGGGGAGGCCUUCCUUUUCUUUCCUCCCCCCGCUAGGGGAGAGGCUUUCUUCUUCUCCUCCUCGCCUUUGUGGGAGGAGUCGGCCUCGGAUUCAUCAUCCGAUAACACUUGAAAACGGGAACUCUUUCGAGUACCCGUGGCCUUCUUCUUGGCCUUCUUCUCUGGCACCACGUGGGGUGCCGGAGCCAGCAGCCUCAUUAGGCAGGCGUCCGCUGGGUCCUCUGGCAAUGGGGCCGGAUAGAUAGUCUGUUCGGCCUUCGCUAGCCAGUCCUGUCAAAGGUAAAGGGAGUUUAGAUCCCGCAUAGAGUCAAACUAUGGAAAACAAGUGACAAAAUCACUUACCUCGUCAACUGGACGCUGCGAGCUGAAUCCGCGAUCUUCAGUAGCGGAUGCGGGAGCCUCGGCGCCCUUGAACAACACCCUCCAGACAUCUUCAUACAUAGUGUCGAAGAGCCCUUUCAGAGUCUGGUGCUGCGCCGGAUCGAACUCCCACAUGUUGAAGCCCCGUCGUUGGCACGGGAGAGUCCGGCGGACGAGCAUGACCUGGACUACGUUGACAAGCUUGAGCUUCUUGUCCACCAGCUUUUGGAUACAGGCUUGGAGUCCGGUCAGCUCCUCCGAAUCACCCCAGAUCCGGCCGCUCUCUUUCCAGGAGGUGAGCCGUGUGGGGAUGCCGGAUCUGAAUUCGGGGGCCGCCGCCCAAUCAGGGUCACGCGGCUCGGUGAUGUAGAACCACCCCGAUUGCCACCCCUUAAUGGUUUCCACGAAGGUGCCCUCCAGCCAAGUAACGUGGGACAUCCUGCCCACCAUGGCGCCUCCGCACUCCGCUUGGCUGCCCUUCACAACCUUCGGCUUGACACUGAAGGUCUUGAGCCACAAGCCGAAGUGGGGCUGGAUGCAGAGGAAGGCCUCGCACACGACGAUAAACGCCGAGAUGUUGAGGAUGAAAUUCGGGGCCAGAUCAUGGAAAUCCAGGCCGUAGUAGAACAUGAGCCCCCGGACAAAGGGAUGAAGUGGGAAGCCCAGUCCGCGGAGGAAAUGGGGAAGAAAUACUACCCUCUCAUGGGGCCUGGGGGUGGUGAUGAGCUCCCCCUCGUCGGGGAGCCGGUGCGCGAUGUUGCUGGACAAAUAUCCGGCGUUGCGCAGCUUCUGGAUCUGCCCCUCCGUGACGGAGGAGGCCAUCCACUUGCCUCCCGCUCCGGACAUAGUUGGAGAAGGUUGAGGUGAGAAGUGCGGACUUGGGUGCUGGAGCUUGAGUUCGCGGAGAUGGAUAAGCCAACGAGGAAGAAGGCGCAGGUAAAAGGGUUGGAUCUUUAUCCCCUUAUAUGGGCGGACAAAAACAUGUGUCCCCACCGGCAUGGUAAAACUCGCUUAUCUCCCAAGCGCUGCAAUCAAUGGCGCGGUUGGGUUACCCACGUCCGUAUUAUUGGGAAUCCUGGAAUAAGGGGAACACGAUCUCUGCUUCGACAAGACGUGCCAAGGAAACCGCUUCACUAAACGCGCUGAGGUGGUACUAUAAAAACGAGUAAAGGCUUGGUAGUGGUGCGACGUCACGCCACAGAAUACGUCAGCAGAUUGAACUUGUGUAAUAUUAUUCUCUCUAUGGUGGUACGUGGAAUUUAUUUUUUGCAGAGCCGGACACUAUCCUAGUGUUCACAAUCUUCUAUAAAUUAUUCGGAGGAAGAACCCGCCUUGCAAUGUCGAAGACAACAUGCGCGCCGAACUCGUCGUCAUUGAAGCCUGGUUCAGGGGCUACUGAGGGAGUUCUGGACUAGGGGGUGUCCGAACAGCCGAACUAUCAUGAUCGGUCGGACUUCAAGACUAUGAAGAUACAAGAUUGAAGACUUCGUCCCGUGUCCGGAUGGGACUUUCCUUGGCGUGGAAGGCAAGCUUGGCGAUAUGGAUAUGUAGAUCUCCUACCAUUGUAACCGACUUUGUGUAACCCUAGCCCUCUCCGGUGUCUAUAUAAACCGGAUGGCUUUAGUCCAUAGGACGAACAACAAUCAUACCAUAGGCUAGCUUCUAGGGUUUAGCCUCCUUGAUCUCGUGGUAAAUCCACUCUUGUAACACACAUCAUCAAUAUUAAUCAAGCAGGACGUAGGGUUUCACCUCCAUGAAGAGGGCCCGAACCUGGGUAAAACAUCGUGUCCCUUGUCUCCUGUGACCAUCCGCCUGGACGCACAGUUUGGGACCCCCUACCCGAGAUCCGCCGGUUUUGACACCGACAGAGAGAAUUCAAUCUAAAUUCAUAAUAAAUUUCUAUGAAUUGCAGAGAAAUUUAGUAUUAAUUUAGGUCAAAUUCCCUGUAUAAGGGCAUCUAUUUUCACUUUGAGAGGAGCUCAACAAGGCAGAGAGGGAGGGGCUUAUAAACCGGUGUGAGCGCCCUUCGGUUGGCGAGGUGGGACUAAACUCUGACCGCAACGAGGACCAACCCUUUAGUCCCGGUUUGUGGCACAAACCGGGACUAAUGGUCAUGGGCUAGGGGUGAGGCACAUUGGUCCUAGUUCGUGCGUGGAGCAGGGACCAAAAGGUCCAGACGAACCGGGACCAAUGGCCCACGUGGCUGCCCUCUUGAGUGUUCUUUGUGAGAACAUAGUUGACAAGGAGCGAACCGGGAUUAAUGGUAUUACGAGGGCCGAACCAUAAGACAUUAAAGCAUUUCAAAUGAACUCUGAAAAAGUUGAAAAUUGGCAUGGUAUCAUAAUUUCACCCACAUAGCAUGUGCAUGUACAAAACGGACAAUGGUAUCAUACUCGUCUGUUACAAAGUUGGCAUGGUAUCAUCAUAAUAGUUGCGGGAGAAAGUCUACACUUUUUCUUCGCUUGUGUCAUUUGCUUAUUGCGCCGUAACCAUGGAUAAUCUUCAUCGUUUAUCAGGAUGCUUGGGUCAUCCUUGACUUUGAAGGGAGGAACUUCAUGAAACUUUUCAUAAUGUUCAGACAUGUCUGUCUUGCCCUCCACUCCCACGAUGUCCCUUUUUCCUAAAAGAACUAUGUGGCGCUUUGGCUCAUCGUAUGAUGUAUUCGCUUCCUUAUCUUCUCUUUUUCUCGGUUUGAUAGACAUGUCCUUCACAUAAAUAACCUGUGCCACAUCAUUGGCUAGGACGAACGGUUCGUCAGUGUACCCAAGAUUUUUCAGAUCCACUAUUGUCAUUCCAUACUGUGGGUCUACCUGUACCCCGCCUCCUGACAGAUUGGCCCAUUUGCACUUAAACAAAGGGACCUUAAAAUCAUGUCCAUAGUCAAGUUCCCAUAUGUCCACUAUGUAACCAUAAUAUGUGUCCUUUCCCCUCUCGGUGGCUGCAUCAAAGCGGACACCACUGUUUUGGUUGGUGCUCUUUUGAUCUUGGUCAAUCGUGUAAAAUGUAUUCCCAUUUAUCUCGUAUCCUUUCCAAAUCGUAACAGUCAAAGAUGGUCCCCUGGACAACAAGUACAGCUCAUCACAAACAGUGUUGUCACCUCUGAGACGUGUUUCCAACCAACUGCUGAAAGUCCUGAUGUGUUCACAUGUAAUCCAGUCGUCGCACUGCUCUGGGUGUUUGGAGCGCAGACUGUUCUUGUGUUCAUCGACAUAAGGGGUCACCAAGGUAGAGUUCUGUAGAACUGUGCAGUGUGCUUGAGACCAAGAAUACCGUCCCUGCAUAUUAUUGAGUCCCUUCCAAGCAUGCCUUUUCCAGCCAGUCUCCCCUCAUACCGCGAUUUAGGGAGACCUAUCUUCUUAAGGCCAGGAAUGAAGUCAACACAAAACCCGAUGACAUCCUCAGUUUGAUGGCCCAUGGAGAUGCUUCCUUCUGGCCUAGCGCGGUUAUGGACAUAUUUCUUUAGGACUCCCAUGAACCUCUCAAAGGGGAACAUAUUGUGUAGAAAUACGGACCCUAGAAUGACAAUCUCGUCGACUAGAUGAACUAGGACGUGCGUCAUGAUAUUGAAGAAGGAUGUGGGAACACCAGCUCGAAACUGACAAGACAUUGCGCCACAUCACUCCUUAGCCUUGGUACGAUUUCUAGAUCAAUCACCUUCUGAGAGAUUGCAUUGAGGAAUGCACAUAGCUUAACAAUGGCUAAUCGGACGUUUUCCGGUAGAAGCCCCCUCAAUGCAACCGAAAGCAGUUGCGUCAUAAUCACGUGGCCGUCAUGAGAUUUUAGGUUCUGAAACUUUUUCUCAGCCAUAUUUAUUAUUCCCUUUAUAUUCGACGAGAAGCCAGUCGGGACCUUCAUACUAAGAAGGCAUUCAAAGAAUAUUUCCUUCUCUUCUUUGGUAAGAGCGUAGCAGGCAGGACCUUCAUACUGCUUUGGAGGCAUGUCGUCUUUUCCGUGCAAACGUUGCAGGUCCUCCCGUGCCUCAGGUAUAUCUUUUGUCUUCCCAUACACGCCCAAGAAGCCUAGAAGGUUCAUGCAAAGGUUCUUCGUUACGUGCAUCACGUCGAUCAAAGAGCGGACCUCUAGGUCUUUCCAGUAGGGUAGGUCCCAAAAUAUAGAUUUCUUCUUCCACAUGGGUGCGUGUCCCCCAGCGUCACUCGGAAUAGCUAGUCCGCCGGGACCCUUUCCAAAGAUUACGUGUAAAUCAUUGACCAUAGCAAGUACGUGAUCACCGGUAUGCAUGGCGGGCUUCUUCCGGUGAUCUGCCUCGCCUUUGAAAUGAUUGCCUUUCUUUCGACAUUGAUGGUUGGUCAGAAGAAAUCCACGAUGGCCCAGGUACACAUUCUUCCUGCAGCUUCCCAGGUAUAUACUUUCGGUGUCAAGUAAACAGUGCGUGCAUGCGUGGUAUCCCUUGUUUGUCUAUCCUGAAAGGUUACUGAGAGCGGCUGAAAGGUUACUGAGAGCGGGCCAAUCGUUGAUGGUCAUGAAUAACAACGCCUUUAGGUCAAAUUCCUCCUGCUUGUGCUCAUCCAAUGUACGUACACCGUUUCCAUUCCGCAACUGUAAAAGUUCUUCAACUAAUGGCCUUAGGUACACAUCAAUGUCGUUGCCGGGUUGCUUAGGGCCUUGGAUGAGAACUGGCAUCAUAAUGAACUUCCGCUUCAUGCACAUCCAAGGAGGAAGGUUAUACAUACAUAGAGUCACGGGCCAGGUGCUGUGAUUGCUUCUCUGCUCCCCGAAAGGAUUAAUGCCAUCCGCGCUUAAAGCAAACCAUACGUUCCUUGGGUCACGUGCAAACUCAGCUGAGUACUUUCUCUUGAUUUUUCUCCACUGCGACCCGUCAGUGGGUGCUCUCAACUUCCCAUCUUUCUUACGGUCCUCAAUGUGCCAUCGCAUCAACUUGGCAUGCUCUCCAUUUCUGAACAGACAUUUCAACCAUGGUAUUAUAGGAGCAUACCACAUCACCUUUGCAGGAACCCUCUUCCACGGGGCUCGCCGUCAACAUCACCAGGGUCAUCUCGUCUGAUCUUAUACCGUAAUGCACCGCAUACCGGGCAUGCGUUCAGAUCCUUGUACGCACCGCGGUAGAGGAUGCAGUCAUUAGGGCAUGCAUGUAUCUUCUGCACCUCCAAUCCUAGAGGGCAUACGACCUUCUUUGUUGCGUAUGUACUGUCGGGCAAUUCGUUAUCCUUUGGAAGCUUCUUCUUCAAUAUUUUUAGUAGCUUCUCAAAUCCUUUGUCUGGCAUAGCAUUCUCUGCCUUCCACUGCAGCAAUUCCAGUACGGUACCGAGCUUUGUGUUGCCAUCUUCUCCAUUGGGGUACAACCCUUUUUUGUGAUCCUCUAACAUGCGAUCGAACUUCAGCUUCUCCUUUUGACUUUCGCAUUGUGUCCUUGCAUCGACAAUGACCCGGUGGAGAUCAUCAUCAUCGGGCACAUCAUAUGGUUCCUCUUGAUCUUUAGUAGCUUCGCCCGUUGCAGCAUCAUCGUGCACAUCGUAUGGUUCCUAUUGAUGUUUAGUAGCAUCACCGUAUUCAGGGGGCACAUAGUUGUCAUCGUACUCUUCUUCUUUGUCGUCUUCCAUCAUAACCCUUAUUUCUCCGUGCCUCGUCCAAACAUUAUAGUGUGGCAUGAAACCCUUGUAAAGCAGGUGGGUGUGAAGGAUUUUCCGGUCAAAGUAAGACUUCGUAUUCCCACAUAUAGGGCAUGGACAACACAUAAAACCAUUCUGCUUGUUUGCCUCAGCCACUUCGAGAAAAUCAUGCACGCCCUUAAUGUACUCGGAGGUGUGUUUGUUACCGUACAUCCAUUGCCGGUUCAUCUGCGUGCAUUAUAUAUAAUUAAGUGUGUCAAAAAUCAUUACAGAACAUCAUGAAUAGAUAAUUAAGUGACCAAAUUAAUAGAAGUUCAUCAUCACAUUAAAACCAAAGUACAUACAUAGUUCUCAUCUUCAAGCGAAAAUCAUUACAGAACAACAUAAAGCUCUGCAGAGCAUCUAAAUUAAUUAAACCAUACAUUGAAACUAUGUAAAACAUUUCAAUGUGAAAACAAAUGCGAUCAUAAUCGCAACCAAGGUAACAACUGAUCCAACGGCAUAAUGAUACCAAGCCUCGGUAUGAAUGGCAUAUUUUCUAAUCUUUGUAAUCUUCAAGCGCAUUGCAUCCAUCUUGAUCUUGUGAUCAUCGACGACAUCCGCAACAUGCAACUCCAAUAUCAUCUUCUCCUCAAUUUUUCUUAUUUUUUCCUUCAAGAAAUUGUUUUCUUCUUCAACUAAAUUUAACCUCUCGACAAUAGGUCGGUUGGAAUUUCUGGUUCAACAACCUCCUAGAUAAAUAAAAUCUAUGUCACGUUGGUCGGCAUAAUUUUCAUAAACAAUAAAUGAACCAAAGGUUAUGAAAAGAUAAUAUAUAUAUACCACAUCCGAAUCAUAGACAGGACGAGGGCCGACGGGGGCGGAUACCAAAACCAUCGCACUGUAUAAGAUGCAAUAAUAAAAGUAAGAAAAUAAUACAAGUAUCUAUCUAAACAUACAAGUAAGAAUAUUUUUCCUUUCAGAAAGAAGAUAAGAACAAGAGGCUCACCAUGGUGGUGCCGGCGAUGAGAUCGGCGCGGGCGAUCGACGGCGAUGAAGACGGGGACGGGGCGUGACGGACCGCUAAACCUAGACAAAUAUUGAGGAAAAUGGAGCUUGGAGGUCGAGCUUGGAGAGGAGAAAGCUUAAGUAGUGUGGCUCGGGCAUUCCAUCGAACACCUUGUGUGCAUAGGAGGUGAGCUAGAGCACCACCAAGCCCUCUCCCCCUUGGCUGCCAGAAAAAACAGAGCGGUGUGCUCUGCUCUUACGCGAGGGGGUAUAUAUAGGCACCUCAUUGGUCCCGGUUGGUGGCAUGAACCGGGACUAAAGGGCAGCCUUUGGUCCCGGUUCAAUCCACCAACCGAGACCAAUAGUGGUGGGCCAGGAGCGAGGCCCAUUGGUCCCGGUUCGUCCCACCAACCGGGACCAAAAGGUCCAGACGAACCAGGACCAAUGGCACACGUGGCCCGGCUGGCCCCCGGGGCUCACGAACCGGGUCCAAUGCCACCAUUGGUCCUAGUUCUGGACUGAACUGGGACUAAUGGGCUGACCCGGCCUGGACCAUUGCCCCCUUUUCUACUAGUCUGGGUCUUCAGCUCCCGGAUGCCUAGGAACAACAACAAAGCCUUUAGUGCCAGACAAGUUAGGGUAGGCUAGAGGUGAAACCCAUAAGAUCUUGCGAACAACUCGUGGCUCUUGCACAUGGAUAGCAAGCUUCCACGCACCCCUGUCCAUAGCUAGUUCUUUGGUUAUACUCCAAUCCUUUAGAUCUUUCUUAACGUACUCCUGCCGUAUCAAAUUCGGUCUACCCGACCUCUCUUGACAUUCUCCGCACGCUUUAGCCGUCCGCUAUGCAUUGGAGCUCCUGGAGGUCUGUGCUGAAUAUGCCCAAACCAUAUCAGACGAUGUUGGACAAGCUUCUCCUCAAUUGGUGCUACCCCAACUCUAUCUUGUAUAUCAUUCCAGACAUGAUCCUUCCUCGUGUGGCCACACAUCCAUGUCAACAUAUGCAUCUCCGCCACACCUAACUAUUGAACAUGUCUCCUUUUAGUCGGCGAACGCUUAGCGCCAUACAACAUUGCGGGUCGAACGGCCGUCCUGUAGAAAUUGCCUCUAAGCUUUUGUGGCACUCUCUUAUUGUAGAGAAUGCCAGAAGCUUGGCGCCACUUCAUCCACCCCGCUUUGGUUCGAUGGUUCACAUCUUCAUCAUAACCCCAUCCUCCUGCAGCAUUAGACCCAAAUAUCAAAAGGUGUCCUUCUUAGGCACCACCUGCCCAUCAAGGCUAACCUCCUCCUCCUCAAACCUAGUAGUUCUGAAACCGCACAUUCUGUGCUCGGUUUUAGUUCUAGUAAACCUAAACCCUUUUGAUUCCAAGGUUUGUCUCCAAUACUCCAACUUCCUAUUCACCCCCGUCUGACUAUCGUCAACUAGCACCACAUCAUCCGCAAAUAGCACAAACCAUGGGAUAUCUCCUUGUACAUCCCUUAUGACCUCACCCAUCACCAAGGAAAAAUGAUAAGGGCUCAAAGCUGGCCCCUGAUCCAGUCCUAUCUUAAUCGGGAAGUCAUCAUUGUCAACAUCACUUGUUCGAACACCUGUCAAAACAUUAUCAUACAUGUCCUUCAUAAGGGUAAUGUACUUUGAUGUGACUUUGUAUUUCUCCAAGGCCCACCAAAUGACAUUCCGCGUCAUCUUAUUAUAGGCCUUCUCCAGGUCAAUGAACACCAUAUGAAAGUCCUUUUUUGCUCCAUGCAUCUCUCCAUAAGUUGCCGUACCAAGAAAAUGGCUUCCAUGGUCGACUCCCUAGGCAUGAAACCAGACUAAUUUUUUGUCAUGCUUGUCAUUCUUCUUAAGCGGUGCUCAAUGAUUCUCUCCCAUAGCUUCAUUGUAUGGCUCAUCAGCUUAAUUCCACGGUAAUUAGUACAACUCUAAACAUCCCACUUGUUCUUAAAGAUUGGUACUAAUAUACUCCAUCUCCAUUCUUCUGGCAUCUUGUUUGCCCGAAAAAUGAGGUCGAAAAGCUUGGUUAGCCAUACUAUCGCUAUGUCCCCGAGGCCUUUCCAAUACAAUCAGGGCCCAUCGUGUUGCCUCCUUUCAUCUUUUUUAAAGCCUCAUUGACCUCAUACUCCUGGAUUCGCCACACAAAACGUGUGCUGGUCUCAUCAAUGGAGUCAUCCAGUUCAACGGUCGAACUCCCAUUCUCCCCAUUGAAUAGCUUGUCGAAGUACACCCACCAUCUAUGCUUAAUCUCCUCGUCCUUCACCAAGAGUUGGUCUUCUCCGUCCUUGAUGCGUUUGACUUGGCCAAUAUCCCUCAUCUUCCUCCCUCUGAUCUUGGCCAUCUUAUAGAUGUCGCUUUCGCGUUCCUACGUACCUAACCGUUGGCAGAGGUCCUCAUACAACCGACCCCUUGCUUUACUGAUAGCUUGCUUUGCGGCCUUCUUCGCCAUCUUGUACUUCUCUAUUUUGUCGGCACUCCUAUCCAGGUAUAGGCAUCUAAAACAAUCUUUCAUAUCUUUAAUCCCUUGUGGACAUCAUCAUUCCACCACCAGGUAUCCUUAUCCCCGCUUCUCCUUCGCCUGCACACUCCAAACUCCUUCGAGGCCACCUUAAAAAUAUAAGUCGCCAUCUUCAUCCACACAUUUCCGCAUCCCCUCCUUCGUCCCAAGGGCCCUCCUUAAUGACCUUCUCCUACCUCCCCCUUGAGCUUCCACCACUUCGUUCUAGCGAUUUUGACACGCUUAUCCCGCUGGACACGAAUGCGAAAACGGAAGUCAGCAGCCACCAGCUUAUGCUGAGGUACAACACUCUCUCCAGGUAUCACCUUACAAUCUAGGGAUGCACGUGUAUCUAUGAACAGUAAAAUAAAAAAAAUGUGAAACUACGCAACAUCAAAGGUGAUCAAACUUUGUAGGUGAUUGCAAGUUUUCAUGCCAAAAUACCAUUCGAGGAGCUCUAUACACGAAAAAUAUUUCAGUGCUUGAAGUUUUGAGCACUUUUAGCACUGAAAUCUGAAACUUGUUUGUACACCUUUCUCUACAUGAUAUUCUGGCAUGAAAACUUGCAAGAACCUACAAAGUUUGACCAUCUUUCAUGUUGCAAAGUUUCAGAUUUUUUAAUUUAAUGUUCAUAAAGGGUGCCUAGGCACCCGGGAGCUAUCAUGUCUUUUUGUUACAUGUAGCUAGUCAAUGACAAUAUUGGUCGUGUCAGAAGGUUUCAGCAAACCUACAACAAAAUUGAGAGGAUUCUUGCAAGAGAACAACAGACAACAAAUAAAAGCCAUGAAACAAUGGUAAACCUUCAAUUCAAGAAUAUUUAGUGGAGGCAUACAAAGUAUCAAAUUGAUUGAUAGACAGAUCAACUUGAGAGAUAUUUUCGCAGCAACAUUUAGUAAAAUCACUAAUCAAUAUGUUGCUAAGCAUCAAACUGAUAUGCAUAGGCAAAAAUGAAUCGACAAAUAGAAAGGAUAACCAAAUAUUUCAUCACAUGCUCAGUGUGGAGGAGAGAAAAUGAGAAAUACCGAAUACAUAUAUGAAGGUGUUGUGGCCUUAGCAGCACCAUUGACACGGCAGGGGAAGCGCAUGCGGUUUUUGUACCAUAUAUUGAAAUAGAAUUCCAGAACAUGUGCUCAAUCAAGCAAAAUAAGAUUCAGGUCUGGAUCAAGCGAACGAAAUCCAUAAUAGGUGAAGAUAUGCAAUCCUGUGUAUUCGAUCAAGCAAGAUUAAAUUUAAAUAUUAAGCCAGCACAGAAAAUUCAAAAUUAGCAAUGGAUGGGAACAAUAUGUACAUAUAGGAGCCGUAAAUCCGUGGCAUAUGUAUGUAGCAAGGGGAGAAUAACCAAGAUGACGGCCUUGGCGUUCAAGUCAUCGAGCACCUGAGGAAAUCCAAUUUGUUUGUUCAACCAGCAAUAUGUCAUCGGGAAUGUCGAGGAAUGGGGAUGGAGUUGCUCACCAAAGGCAGAAGUAUGAGCGUCCUAUGGCAGAUGUCCACCCAUAAUGGAGGACGAUGGGAACAAAGUGAACUGAAGUGUGUGGGUGCGACUCUAAAUGGCAACCUGUUAGUUACUUGUAGAGAUUGUGGGAAGAGGAAGUGGAGCGUCAAGCAUCACUUGCCUGUAGCAGAUGAUAAACAGUGUGAGGCAUUUUGAGAAUUGGGCUGCAUAGGGGUUGAAGCAGUGGGUUAUGUACAUUUGGUGUGAGCAAAGCAAGAAAUACCGAAAAACAACAGGGGCACGGGAGCUUCAACUGUAGAAGCGUUGUUGCCCUAGUCCAUAGUCCAUAGGUCGCCAUUCUCGCCCAGUUGAAGCUAAAGCACCUUGGAGCGAUCAUCAAGUGCCAAGAAACAUACGUAUAAAUACUUGCCUGGUUUGACAAGUUUCUUUCCCCUCUUGCUAGGCGAGUAGGGAAAGCCUUCCCCUCGAUCUCCGCCGACCAGCCCGUGGAUUCACCUCCCCUCCACCUGCCGCUCUGGUGGCCGAUGGCGGGGAGAGGAGUUCUGGUGCUCGCCUCCAACUAGUAGAUAGGCAGGGUUUUAGUUCUGGAUGGCGUUUGGAUGGAUGACGACGCUUCUUCUUCAAGUCACUCCUCCGGGCUCCGAUCCUCCUCAAGUUCGUCUGCUGGGACGGACUAAACUGAGCUCUAGCGUAGAUUGCUGCCAGCUCCUUGGGGCGGCGAGGUUAGGGUUUCUUGCCGUGCGUAUGCAACAGUGAUAUUUGGUGUCAAAUUCUUCAGAUCGAUUAAAUGAUUCAACCGCGACGAUGGCGGCUCUGGAUAGAGGCACGUGCAUGAAGACUUCCCGGCUGUCACCGACAAGGUCAAACCAGACAGGGCAACCCAACAGCCAAACUGAAUGAAAGGCCAACCACACACCGAUGACAAAUGACCUCAACCAUCAGAAGGCCAAGCAAGACAGAGGUCGGAAACGCUCCUUGGCGUUGCUCGUUGGAGCGAUUGAUUCGAUCCAAAGCAUGAUGUGGUGAAAAGGACGGACCGUCGGGACCGCACAUAUCAGGCGAUCACUCACAUGGGUCGUACCUGAACCAUGCCCAACCAAACUCCGCAGAGAAGCUUGGCUUGAAGGACAGAGUGAUUCAUCUAAUGCUGAAAGGGAGGAACAGUCCUGGAGUCAACUAUGAAAAAUCCAGGUCCCUUCAAAGAUCAGAAUCUUUCUUUGGAGAUUGGCGCAACAGUCUAUACCUUCUGCAGAUCUCCUUCAUCAACAGAACAUGGCAACAUCAAGCCGGUGUGCUCUUUGCGGCAACGGGGAUUCAUGGCGCCACUCUUUGAUGGAGUGCACUAUGUCAAAAUGCGUGUGGGCUUUGGAAGAGGAAGAACUGACUUUGGCCUUAACCGCUGUCACAGAUCCGAAUGCACGUAGAUGGAUUUUUACCAUCAUGGAGAAAUUGUCUGCUACAGAUCUCACUAGAGCACUUGUUACACUUUGGGCCAUUUAGCAUGCUCGUCGGAAGGCCAUACACGAGCAUAUUUUUCAAAGUCCUUCUAGCACGCAUGGCUUUGUGGACCGAUUCAUAUCAGAAAUCUCAGCAACCAGGCCUACUUAUCAACAUAGUGUGCAAGCUGUGAGAGCAGAUACGCGCAACCGAAUGGGUGUGUUUUGUAACUUAUCUUGUUCACGGUCUUGGCUUCCCGAUUCACCCCUCCCUGUGAGGCCUCCUUCACUUUUACGGCCUUCAGCUUUACCACCUUGCUCCUAACUCCAUUCUACAUAUCGCCUGCUUCGUCACUUUCUGCGAGGCAACAUUGCUGCUCAAAUUAACCUCUCUGACUGUAGGUCAAAGCGAUGGACGAUGACCUUGCGGGCCCACAGAGAGCGUCACACGCGAGUGAGUGUCCUAGGACAACCACCUAUUGCAUGUGGCCCAAACAUGUAUAUAUAAAAGGGUUGUCUAAUGUUUUAAAUAACGAAUUUACGACUUUGAUGUGGCACCUGCCUCACAAAACGGUCAAAACGGUCAAUCCCACACGGUGACUCAUGACUCGUAGUGUACUGCCAGACCUUCUGUGCUGCGAGCCGUACUUCCGGCUCUAGUGCGAGUACUUCAACGUGAAGCUUCACAGCAAUGGCCUAGAGCCAUUCGAGUGCGGCGGCGCUUGAUCAUCGGUUCCGCCUAUCUAGACCGAACUUUAUUGAACCCAACAAAAACUGAAAUGAGAAGUGAUUUUAUAUCUCCGAUCCACCGCUGCAAAACCCUACUCGGCUGGGACAGUCACCCCCUCUUCUGCAACCACACCGGCUAAGAUCAAUUCUUGCACACCAAGGAGCCGCACAUCAGAAGAUACAGAGGAGGUGAUCAAUUGAAGCGAGAAGGUGACUCGCUAGAUUCAAAGGGAAAGCCGCUAACUUUCCAAAUCACAAGGAGCUGGCGUAUUCUUUUGCCAUUGGUCAACCCGAAUUGUCUAAUCCAAUCGAGUUUUCUCUAAUGUUAAUGUCAGAAUGGUGUGGCCCUUACUGCUGGAUUGUGCACCAGCGCUCAGUACGCAGCGAACACAAUGGCUUGCACAACACAAGAGCGAGGGGCCUUUUUUCGUGAGAACCAAGAUUUGAACCCUGGUUAAUAGCCCCACUCCAGGUUGUCUCUACCACCGUGCUAGACGCACAUUCUCAGACCCGGCAACAUGUAUGUAGGUUCAUAUUUUACCCCCACCCUUGGAUAAAAAUGUGAAUAAUUUGAAACAUAUUAAAACUUGACUGCAAUUUUUUAAUUUUGGAAAAAUAUGCUCACAAAAGUAGUCAACCCACGGUUCUAGGUAAAGCAAGGUGCGUUUCUCUGAUUUUUUCAUCCAUUCACCGCUGAAAUGUUUUUUUCCAAAUUUCUGUGCGUCUGUUUGCUAGAAAAGACAUAAUAAUUUUCAUACAUGGGGCGUGCAUGUUGUGGCCUGUCGAAACCAGCCCACUUAUUUCCCUGCACACACAGUUGGGAAAACCCUAUUUACCGUACAUGGCUACAAAUACUCUGACCUUCACAUAAGGCGCAAGGCAGUGCCUGCCCAAUCUCUUUUUUUCCUGAGUUUUAUUGCGAUUUUUAUUUUUUUUCCUUUUUCUAUUUCUUGUUUUCCUUUUUCCCUAUAAACUUUAGAAAAAAUAUCUGAAUAUCGAUUUGUGUUUUUCAAUUUUUAGAAAAUAAGUCCGAAUUCCAAAAUUUUCUUUCUGUUUUAUAAACUGUUCAAAACUUGAAAUUUUUGUUCUCAUUCCAAAUUUGUUCUCAAUUACAAAAACAAUCCAAAACUUAUAAAAAAUGUUUAUGUUUUCCAAAAAGAUCGAGAUAUUAAAAAUUAAAUUGUAUUUUAGAAAAUGUUCCAUUUUUUCUAAAAAAAUUAUGCUCUCCAAAAAAAAUUGGGAUUUCAAAAUAUGUUCCAGAUUCUAUAAAUAUGCGUGAUUAGUGAAAUGUUCACAAAUUAAAAAUAAUGGUCGUAGUUAAAAUAAACACAUUUUCAGAAAUUGUUAUAAAUGUUCAAAACGUGUUCUUGUUUUAAGCAAAUGUGCCAAAAUUCGAGAAAAGUUAGUGUUUUUCAAAGGUUCAUGUUUUCCAUAAAUGUGUGAAUUUUAAAAAAUAUUCUCCCUAUUUCAAAUGUUGUUCAUCUUUUAACAAAAUGAACGAAAUUUUCGAAAAACUUUUCGUGAUUUCAAAAAUUGUUCAUGUUUUAAAAAUAUUUUGUAAUUUAUAAAUAUUAAUUUAUUUUUGGAAAAUUAAAAAAAGGAUUUGAAUAUUGUGAUGCAGUAUGUUCUUAAACGUUCGCGCUAGUCAUUGGUUAGCAGGACCCAUUUAUUCGAUUGGACAGCACCGAGUGAUCGAGUUUUUAGGUCGUUAGUUCGAUCCUUUAACUUGUCUUUUUUUGGAUUUAUACUCGUGCCUUACAAACACAUGUUCUUUUGGUGCCUGCCAGUGGGCUGGCCAAGAUGCAAACUAUUGUGCGUCCCAUGCGCUAUUUGAUGAUAAAAGAAUAUGCUUUUUGGCUAUAAUUGAAAGAAAUUGUGGGCACCAUCCAAUAAAAGAGAAUAUGCUGAAUUGGCUCUAAUGAAAAGAACUGUAGGCACGUGACCGCUAAAAUAAUCAAAGAGAAUAAACGCCGGUAAAGAAGGGACUGCCUGGUUAUGCGUGGAUUAUGCUAAUAAAAAUUGAUUUAUGCACUGCAAUUAUUAUCCAUUCAGUUACAUCGUAGUAGGAGAGAGUGACGAAGCAACCGUGCCCUGAAGGUCGCCACGCAGCCACCAAACGAGGAGGGAGCCACAAGCCCGACACGAGGGCGAACGCAAAGGAAAAAAAGGCACGAGUUGGUUGGUUGUCGCCACGCCGACUAACCCCACCACUAUCAUGAUCUCGUAGGCCAAACAUGAUCCGAGAGAAGACCACGACUCCUCGCUUUGUCGCCCCACUAUUGCGCAAACUAUUUUUGGUGCACACGUCAAUUAUCUCUCCUGUUGCUUCUCAAAAGAAUAUCUCUACCGUUGCAACGCACGAACAUAUGUGCUAUUUUUACUAAUAAAGCAGGCUGCGUUUCGCCAAUUUUUUCAUCCUGCACCGCUGAAAAUAUUUUUUUUCUAUCCGAAGUGGUACUAAAUUCUUAUGCGUUUGCCAGCUAGAAAAAGUUUCGUAUGUGGGCCGCAUGCUGUGGCCCAGCGAAGCCAGCCCAUUUGUUUGUGUGCCCACCCAGCUGGGAGAAUUCUAUUUUCCGCAUUUGGCGACAAAUAGUCAGAGUUUCGCACAGGACAACCAAUAAUAGGCCGGCCCAUUUUUCUAUUUUCUGUAUUCUACUUCUAUUUUUAUUCUCCUUUCCACAUAUAUUUUUUUCUUCCAAGUUUAUUUAUAUUUUACAAUUUAUUUCAUAAAUUAAAAUUUUCAAAAAACGUUUAGAAUUCGAAAAAAAAUUGAAAAAAAUUUCAGAAUUCCAAAAUUUUGUUCAUAUUUUGAAAAAUAGUCAGAACUUGCAAAAAGUUUCCCAUUUUUCUUAAAAAAUAUUAUUUUUCAAAAUUGUUCGAGAUUUCUAAAAAUAAAAUGGCAUUUCAAAAAAUUCUCCAAAUUCGAAAAAUAUUCUUGUUUUAGUGAAAUUUUCAAAACAGAAAAUAAUGUUCGUGUAUAAAAGAUACACAUUUUCUUACAAAUCUUAUAAGUUUUCAACACAUGUUUCUGUUUUAAAAAAGUGUUUUCACAAAAUGUUUGUUAAUUUUAAAAGGUGUUCCCUUUCAUAUUUUGUUCGCUUUUUUUAUGAAAGUGUACAUAAUUUCAAAAACCUGUUUAGGAUUUUAAAAAUUGUUCAUGUUUCCUAGAAUAUUUACAACUUCAUACCUUAAAAUCCCCUCGAUUAAAAGGAUUGGAAGGAAGAGUAUAUUGAAUAACUCAUGGGCCUUCUCUGGCGUACGAUGACGUAACAAAACUCUUAAUGCCCUCCAUCAAUGAAUGGAAAAAUAGCGGAUUGAUUCCUUCACACGCGGCGAAAUGAAGCAAAAUGUUCCUUUUUCGUGUGCACACAGAGUUUUGCUUGCACAUAUAAUUCUCACUGAGUUUAAAAGCAUACUAUUUUAUCUCCCCUUGCAACGCACGGGCAUAUGUGCUAGUUAAACAAACAAGAAGAUGAGCAAUUUUACCACCUCUUCUUGUAUCGUUUUUCAACACUAGAACUUGAUGGGAUUCCUGCCAGGUAGAAAAACAUGCGAACACUACUGCAGGUAUGCCUAGCAAUGGCGGGCGCAAAAAGGCCAGCAGUGGCGGGCCAGGCUACCGAGGGCACAUGCCACUGACCUCCUGCCGCUUCCAUAACCGCAUCAAUGGAGGGCGUCCGCCUGCCACUGGUAGAGUCCUGCAGUGGCGGGCGAUGCAUACUGGCCCGCCACCGGUUGAGUCUCUUCAGUGGCGGGAAGAGCUUACCUACUCGCUACUAUUUAUUCAUGUUGCAAUGGCGGGCGUAGUAGAAUGCCCACGACUGCAAGCUUAGGAAUGCGAAUUAAAAAAAUUGCAGCCACGACACCAUUUUUGCUGCCCAUGGCUAUGUUUUGCAUAAAUCCAAUUUAAGAAAUUCAAUACUAGAAGCAAAUAAAGCACCAAUUGUAAGCUUAGGCAUGCAAGUUCACUAGGUAAUUAGUACUCUUCAUAACAGCUACGAACACUUCAAAUUUGUUCCAGUGAACAAACCAACAUCAAAAUAUCACACGCAUCUUAAGUAAGUAACUAAAAGUUCAUCGGCUUUGAAAUAUUAGACUUGGACCUUAUUCUCAAUAAGAUCUACAACAACCAUCAUUUGGAAGUUGUUGUUCCCGUUGUUUCUUAUCAUGAUGACCACUGUUGUGUCAACCGUUGGUCGUCUUCUUUUUCCCUUCAGGAAUUCCCUCCAGCCGAUUUCAUAGAACGAUAUGCGUCCAUUUGUGUGUGUCUUGUAUCCAACGCUGGUGAUAGGAUCUGCUUCUCCAAGCUGUACUCCAGCUAUGCCGGCAGCAGGGGUGUCCUCGCCACAAAUCAUCUUCAUAGGUAAUUUCUAUAAUCCGAGUGAUUAAAAGCAAAAUAAAACACGCAAUGUUAGACAUCUUGCCAUAUAGUGUUAUGAACCAAAAAGAAAGAUACAAAAUAUAACAUGGUGUGUUUCAGGAUGUUGGUCUUAGUAAAACGGUGCACAAAUGGCCUCCCCUAGUAGUGCACACUUGAUGGAAGGAUCGCGAUGAUAUUGGCCUUCUCAUCCUCAUUAAGCUCUUUCAUUCUUUGAGAGAAAAUUGCAUAAUUGUAUGGAUCAUCAUCUUCCUCAUCCUCAUGCUCCUGGCUAUCAUCAUGAUCCUCGCUAGCAUCAUCAUCAUCCUGGCUCUCAUUAUCCUCAUCAUCCUGGGAAUCCCCUCAUCAUCAUCUUCGUCAAGCACAUCAUCUUGGUCGAAGAAAUACUUAAUCCUUAACUUGUUGACCACUUUCUUCAAGUAAAAGCCUAUGUAUUCUCCCCCGGUAAGUUUGAAAUGUACUUGUUCCAUCCAUCGCCUCCUAUGAUGGUUUUAUCCUUUUGUUUACAAACAUCAAUUUUGGAUGAUUGUCCUUGACCAUCCGAAAUGUUGAAACUGUCAUCGAUUAAAUUAUUGAAUUGGACCCUUACGUUGCAUGGGAUACACUAUGUAACAAUUAAGAAUAAUGCAGUUAAUAACUAAUGGUAUGCAUAGUACAAGAAUCCAGCAAAUGGUUAGAAUUGAAUGAUGAACAUUGUUAUCACAAAUUUUUCGAAUCCCUCCCUCGAGAAGAGCCUGAAUUCUACUGCAUGGGAUAAACUAUCCCUACAGGGAUUUUCGCAGACAUUGCAGACCUUAAGCACCAUAAUCCCCUCCUUCAAGAAGUUAAGCACUGUUAUCAUUUGUGCUAUGUCAUGAAAGUAAUAUUGAGAAGGGGCAUAAAAAAUGUCAUCAUGAUGAGGUAUGAUCGCAGAUUACCAACACUGCUACAACUAGGUAGUACGACUAUAUAUAUAGGUAGGUUUGUCACGAAGUCGCGGGCAUAUAUAGCAUGCCAUAGAAAGUUUCAUAAGUACUACAUUAAAGGUUCAAACAUCUGAAGCACAGAGUUAUACGACUAGGAAUGGUGGAGAGAUCAACUCCUAAUCUAAGUCAACGUCAGAGCCGAAGUUUUCAUCCUCGCCGGAGUCCUCAGCGAGAUCGUCCCAGUCUAUUGGGUCAUCAUCGGCAUCCUUCUGGUUGCCUACAAAUGCUGAUCCUCCCGAAGAUACCAUUCCACCAAGGGAUUGAUAUGUCUCCAAUGUAGCUAUAAUUUUUUAUUGUUGCAUGCUAUUAUAUUAUCAACCUUGGAUGUUUAUAUGCAUUAUUAUGCUAUUUUAUAUCAUUUCUUGGGACUAACCUAUGAACCUAGUGCUAGUUGAUUGUUUUUCCUUGUUUUUGCCUUUACAGAAAAUCAAUACCAAACGGAGUCCAAAUGGAACAAAACUUUUUGAUGAUUUUUCUUGGACCACAAGACACCCUAGAAGCUUCAGGAGGAGGCAAGAAGGUCCACGAGGCGGCAACAAGCUCAGUGGGCGGGCCCUAGGGGGGGCCGCGCCCUCCAUGCUUGUGUCCCCCAUGGCUCUUCUAACCCUAAUCUUUCUUCUAUAAAUACCCAAAUAUUCCUCGUAGACCAGAAGGCACACCAAAAAUACUUUUCCGUGGUCGCAAUCUCCCGUCCUCGUAAGAUCCCAUCUAGAGACCUUUUUCAGUACUCCGCCGGAGGGGGAUUCGAUCACGGAUGGCUUCUACAUCAACCUUGCUACCCAACUGAUGAUGUGUGAGUAGUUUACCACGAACCUAUGGGUCCAUAGCUAGUAGCUAGAUGACUUAUUUUCUCUCUUUGAUCUUCAAUACAAUGUUCUCCUCGAUUUGGUUUGGCCAACUAGGUUGAUUCUUCUUGCAAUGGGAGAGGUGCUUUGUAAUGGGUUCGAUCUUGCAGUGCUCAAUCCCAGUGAUAGAAGGGGACAUGACACAUAUUUGUAUUGUUGCCAUUAAGGAUUAAAAGAUGGGGUUUGUUCAUAUUAAUUGGAUCCAUCCCUCUACAUCAUGUCAUCUUGCUUAAGGCGUUACUCCGUUCCUGUUAAAUUAAUACACUAGAUGCAUGCUAGAUAGCGGUGAAUAUGUGGAGUAAUAGUAGUAUAUGCAGGCAGGAGUCGGUCUACUUGUCACGGACGUGAUACCUAUAUACAUGAUCAUUGCCUUAUAUAUCUUCAUAACUAUGUACUUUUCUAUCAAUUGCUCAACAGUAAUUUAUUUACCCAACAUAUGCUUCUUUCAGGAGAGAAGCCUCUAGUGAAAACUAUGGCCCCUGGGUCUAUCUUUUAUCAUAUUAUUUUCAUAUCUAAAAAAUCAAAAACACAAAAAUAUCUUGCUGUAAUUUAUUUACCUUUAUUUCAUUUUGCACUUUUACUUAUCUUUUACAUCUAUCACUAUCAGAUCUUAUCCUUGCAAGUAACCAUGAAGGGAUUGACAACCCCUUUAUCGCGUUGGGUGCAAAUAUUUGUUUGUUUGUGCAGGUGCGGUUAUUGGAGACUUGUGUGUUCCUCCUACUGGACUGAUACCUUGGUUCUUAAUUGAGGGAAAUACUUAUCUCUAAUUUGGUGCAUCACCCUUUCCUCUUUGAGGGAAGAACCAAUGCAAGCUCAAGAAGUAGGAGGAAGAAUUUAUGGCGCCGUUUCCGGGGAGGAUCUACAUCAAGCCUACCAAGUACCUAUCAUGAACUCUCAUCUCUUGCAUUUACAUUAUUUGCCAUUUGUCUCUUGUUUUCCUCUCCCCACUUCUAAAACGUUUUCAAAAAAAUACAAAAAUAUUUGCAUUCUUUCGGUUUGCCUUUUUUGUUUGCUUCUUGUUUGCUUGUGUGCUAGAUUGCUUACUUUGUGAUGAUGUCUCAAGAAAAUACUAAGUUGUAUGAUUUUUCAAACACUAAUAAUAAUUAUUUUAUUAGUACUCCAAUUGCUCCCACCACUAGUGCGGAGUCUUAUGAAAUUAAUGCCUCUUUGUUGAAUCAUGUUAUGAAAGAACAAUAUUUUGGUAGUUCUAAAGAAGAUGCUGCAUCCCAUCUUAAAACUUUCAUUGAAUUGUGUGAUAGGCAAAACAAAAAAGAUGUGGAUAUUUACAUUGUAAAAUUAAAGCUAUUUCGGUUCUCACUACGAAAUCGUGCUAGAACUUGGUUUUCGUCCUUGCCUGAAAAUAGUAUUGAUUCAUGGAAUAAAUGUAAGGAUGCUUUUAUUUCCAAGUAAUUUCCUCUCGCUAAGAUCUUCUUUCUUAGGAAUGAUAUAAUGAAUUUUAAGCAACUUGAUCAUGAACAUGUUGCACAAUCAUGGGAGAGGAUGAAGUUAAUGAUAAGAAACUGCCCUACUCAUGGUUUAAGUUUAUGGAUGAUCAUACAAAAAAUUUAUGCUGGAUUGAAUUUUGCAUCUAGAAAUCUUUUAGAUUCCGCCGCGGGUGGUACUUUCAUGGAAAAUCACUUAGGAGAAGCUACUAAACUCCUAGAUAAUAUUAUGGCAAAUUACUCUCAAUUGCAUAUAGAAAGAUCUUCUACAAAUAAUAAAAUGCAUGCUAUUGAAGAAAUUAAUACUAUGAGUGGAAGGAUGGAUGAACUUAUGAAAUUCAUUGCUAGCAGGAGUGCUCCUAUUGAUCCUAAUGAUAUGCCUUUGUAUACUUUGAUUGAGAAUAAUAAUGAAUCGAUGGAUGUGAAUUUUGUUGGUUGGAACAAUUUUAGAGGCAAUUUUAAUCCUAGGACGUUUCAUAGUAAUUCCUCUAAUAAUUAUUGUAGUUCCUACAAAACUUAUUAUGGAAAUUAUAAUAAGAUACCCUCUGAACUUGAAAAUAAUAUUAAAUAUUCAUUAACUCUCAAAAGAUUUUCAUUGCCAUGAUAGAAAAAAAAUUGCUUAAGUUUGAUGAUGAGGCUAGAAAGGUUGAUAGAAUUUCUCAUGAGAUUGAUUCCCUUAAGGUAGAUAUAUGCACCAAGCUUGAUAUUAAUAAGUCUUUGAAAUUUAUUCAAAUUCUAUUAAUGAAAGUAGGGAGAGAACAGCUAGAAUGCGAGCUAACAUAGAAUGGCUAGAAAAAGUAUGUUCUUCUAGUUUUUGCGAUAAUCAUGAUGAAGAUCUUAAUGUAAUUGGUGUGACUCCUAUUGAAUAUUUGUUUUAUAUUAUAUCUUGAUAAAUAAGGGUCUGGAUAGGAGUCAACUUUUGCUAGAAGGCGUCCCAAGAAUUCGGCGGGUGAUGAUCCUAAUGAAAAAUUGAUAAAAGUAGGUUUGGCGAGGUCAGAACUAGUGAUGAGCCCACUCUUUUGGAUUUCAAGGAGUUUAUUUACGAUAAUUGUUCUUUGAUUGUUAUUGCCAUCCAUGUUCAAUUCACCCCAUGCUUGUAAUCAAAAUAAAGCUUUUAAACAUAUCGUUGAUGCUAUGAUUAAAUCUUUUGAAGAAAAACUUGAGUUGGAAGUUUCAAUCACUAGAAAGCUUUAUGAUGAAUGGAAACCUACUAUUAAAAUUAAGAUUAAGGAUUAUGAGUGCAAUGCUUUAUGUGAUUUGGGUACUAGCGUUUUUACUAUUUCGAAACCUUUAUGUGAUGCGCUAGGCUUCCAUGCAUAAACUUGAUGGUUGUUUUUAAAAUUUGCACUUAGAGGAUUCCAUUAUUAAGAAACCUAUGGGAAGAAUUAACGAUGUUCUUAUUAUUUCUAAUAGGAAUUAUGUGCCCGUAGAUUUCAUUGUGCUUGAUAGUGAUUGCAAUCCUACAUGUCCCGUAAUUCUUGGUAGACCUUUCCUUAGAACGAUUGGUGCAAUUAUUGAUAUGAAAGAAGCAAACAUUAGAUUUCAAUUUGCAUUAAGUAAGGGCAUGGAACACUUUCCAAGAAAGAAAAUCAAGUUACUAUAUGAAUCUAUUAUGAGGGCCACUUAUGGAUUGAAUACCAAAGAUGGCAAUACCUAGAUCUAUGCAAUAUGCCUAGCUAAGGGCGUAAAACGAUAGCGCUUGUUGGGAGGCAACCCAAUUUUUUUUCUUGUUUUUCUUAUGUUUUUUAAUAAAUACACAAUUAUGUUACUGUUAUGAUUGUGUUUUAGUAUUUCAAUUAAUUUUUGUGCCAAGUAAGACAUUUGGGAUGAUUUGGAAGUUAGUUGAUUUGAUUCUGUGAAAAAACAGAAACUUUUGCGCCCAGUUCUGGAAUUUUGUAAAUUCACAGAAACGUGUUUUUGCUCUAAAUGUUUAUAACAAGAUUGAUAUAAAAGUUUCCCACGUCGUCCUAACUUUUUAGAAUUUUUAGAGUUAAAGAAGAAUGAAAAAUAUCCAGGUUACUACAGACUGUUCCGUUUUUGAAAGAUUCUGCUUUCAUUGAGUUGUUCUCUUGUUUUGCUGAAUCUAUGGGUAAUAUUGGGGGACGGGGGGUAUGAACCAUGGUGAAGUUAGAAUAUAGUAGAUAUAAUGCUAAUAUGAAGUUGGAAUGAGUUUACAAUAGUACCUAAAGUGGUGAUUUGUUUUAUUAUACUAAUGGAUCUCACGAGUUUUCUGUUGAGUUUUGUGUUGUGAAGUUUUUAUGGUUUGAGUGAAGUUUCGAUGGGAUAAGGAAUAAGGAGUGGAAAGAGCCUAAUCUUGGGGAUGCCCAAGGCGCCUCAAGGUAAUAUUCAAGGACCUCCAAGUGUCUAAGCUUGGGGAUGACCCGGAUGGCAUCCCCUCUUUUGUCUACAAUCCAUCGGUAAAUUACUUGGAGCUAUAUUUUUAUUCACCACAUGAUACGUGUUUUUCUUGGAGCGUCGUGUAUUAUAUUAUUCUUUGGUUUUUAGUUUGCCAAAAUCAUCCUUGAUGGACACACCUUUUGAGAGGGACACACAUUAAUCCUUAAUUUAUUAGAAUACUUUUUGAGCUUCACUUAUAUGUUUUGAGGUAGGCAGUUGCUCUAGUGCUUCAUAUAUCUUUUAGAGCACGGCGGUGGUUAUAUUUUAAAGAAAUGAUGAACUCUCAUGCUUCACUUAUAUUAUUUUGAGAGUCUUAUAAAUAGUAUGGCAUUUUGCUUGGGUUAUGAAUUUAGUCCUAAUAUGAUGGGUAUUCAAGAGGGAUAUAAUAAAAACUUUCGUGAAGAUCAUUGAAUAUAUGAGAAGUUUGAUUCCUUGCAUUUAUUUUGAGACAUAAAGAUGGUGAUAUUAGAGUCAUGCCAGUUAUUAAUUGUGGCUUGCUACUUCUUGAGCUUGCAUUGUUAUUUCCCUUGAAGAGGAAAGGGUGAUACAGGAAAUUAGAGAUAAGCAUUUUCCUCAGUUAAGAACCAAGGUAUCAGUCCAGUAGGAGGAAUUACCAAGUCUCCAGUAGAUGCACCUGCACAAACUAACAAACACUUGCACACAACACGAAAACGGGUUGCCAAUCCCUUCACGGUCACUUGCAAGAGUGAGAACUAAUAGAGAUAGGUAUAAAAGAUAAAUAAAAGGCAAAAUAAAGUAAAGGUAAAUAAAUUGCAACAAGGUAAUUUUGGGUUUUUGGUUUUAUAGAUCUGAAAAUAUAUGAUGGAAAAUAGACCCGAGGGCCAUAGGGUUCACUAGAGGCUUCUCUCUUGAAAGAAAACAUAUGGUGGUGAACAUAUUACUGUUGAGCAAUUGAUAGAAAAGCGCAUAGUUAUGAUGAUAUCCAAGGCAAUGAUCAGAAUAUAGGCAUCAUGUCCGUGACAAGUAGACCGAAAUGAUUAUGCAUCUACUACUAUUAAUCCACACAUAGACCGACUCCUGCCUGCAUCUAGAGUAUUAAGUUCAAAAGAACAGAGUAACACAUUAAGCAAGAUGACAUGAUGUAGAGGGAUAAACUCAAGCAAUAUGAUAUAAACCCCAUAUUUUUUAUCCUUAAUGGCAACAAUACAAUACGUGCCUCACUACCCAUGUUGUCACUGGGUGAGGACACCGCAAGAUUGAACCCAUCAUAAAGCACCUCUCACAUUGCAAGAUAGAUCAAUCUAGUUGGCCAAACCAAAUCAAUAGGUCGGAGAGAAAUACAAAGCUAUCUUAAUCAUGCAUAAAAAGAGUUCAGAGAAGACUCGAAUAAUAUUCAUAGAUAAUUUGAUAAUCACCCACAAUUUAUCGAAUAUCUACAAACACACCGCAAAAGAAGAUUACAUCGGAUAGAACUCCAAGCACAUUGUAUUGAAGAUCAAAGAGAGAGAAGAAGCCAUCUAGCUACUAGCUAUGGACCCGUAGGUCUGUGGUAAACUACUCACACAUCAUCGGAAAUGCAGCAAGGUUGGUGUAGAUGCCCUUCGUGAUCGAAUCCCCAUCCGAUGGAUUGCUAGAAAAGGCCCCAAGAUGGAAACUGACGAGAACAAAAUCUUGCGGCGGUGGAAAAGUAUUCUUGUGGACGCUUCUAAUGUAGAUGAAGUAUUUGGGUAUUUAUAGAGCAAGAAUUAUGGUUAGGGGAGUCUCGAGGGGCCCACAAGCGUGGGGGGCGCCACCACUAGGGCGCGCCCUCAGGGCUUGUGGCCCUCUCGUGGCUCCUCUGGCCUCCUCUCCAAGUCUCCUGAGUUUCUUCUGGUCCAAGAUAAAUCAUUGUAAAGUUUUAUUUUCUGUAAAAGACAAAAACAAGAUUAAUAGGUUAGUGCCCUGCUUGAUAUUUAUGCCCUGCUUGAUAUUUAUUUUCUGUAAAAGACAAAAACAAGGAAAAACAACAACUAACACUGGGCACUAGAUUAAUAGGUUAGUCCCAAAAAUGAUAUAAAAUAGUACUAAAAUGCAUAUAAAACAUCCAAGACGGAUAAUAUAAUAGCAUGGAACGAUACAAAUUAUAGAUACGUUGGAGAGAUAUUAAGCAUCCCAAAGCAUAAUUCCUGCUUGUCCUCGAGUAGGUAAAUGAUAAAAACAUAAUUUUUGAUGUGGAAUGCUACUUAAUAUGUCUAUCAAUGCAAUUUUUCUUUUAUGUGGCAUGAAUAUUCAGAUCCAUAAGAUUCAAAAAAAAAGUUUAAUAUAGACAUAAAAUUAAUAAUACUUCAUGCAUACUAAUGAAGAAAUCAUAGCUUUUCAAAAUAUCAUGGCCAAAGAAAGUUAUCCCAACAAAAUCAUAUAGUCUGGUCAUGCUCUAUCUUCAUCAAACAAAGUAUUUAUCAUGCACAACCCCAAUGACAAGCCAAGCAAUUGAUUCAUACUUUCAAUGUUCUAAAGUCUUUUCAACUUUCACGCAAUACAUGAGCGUGAGUCAUGGAUAUAGCACUUGUAACAUCCCAAAAUUCUAAAUUUUGGAAUGUUAUAUUAAUUCAAUAAAUAUGAUUCUAUGCUUGAUUGUUUGGUUGAAAGUGAGUGGAAUUUGAAAAAUCAAAAAUAAUAAUCAAAUAAGAGGUAAUAAAAGGACUUUCCCAAAAUUUUCCAUUUGAAUCCCUAUCUAAUUUUAAGUUUGCAUCUUGUAAAAAAAAUUCUCCGAUAAACAAGUAAUAUGAGAGGAGGAAAAUGACACUCCGAAAUCGGAGACAAAGUUUUGUUUGACAUUAAAUUUAGAAAACAGAAAAUAUUUGCAAUUUUAUUUGAAAUUCAAUUUCCCUUUCAUUUUGGACUUAUUGCAAAAAUAUUUUUUUAAAUAUUUAAUUUGGUCAUGAAAAUAUGUUCAUGUUUUAGGAAUUUUUUCUAAGAAUUUUGAUUUAUAAUAUACCUCUAUAAUUUUUUUUGUUCCUCGUUGUUUUUGGAAAACAAAACACAAGGGCCCACCCGCUCGCUAGUAGGCUAGCCCAGCGUUGCAGCCUGCUGUGCCAGCGAGCAGCCAGGCGAGCGCCAUGGGGAACUCCUAUGCGCCGCAUUCUGCGGUAGAAUGUCGAGCUAUCGCAUAGGAGUUCCCUCAACUGGGCCGGCCCACAAGGCAACGAGCGGUGCAAAAAUUUGAACGAACAACAACAGCGCUUCAGCUACAAUUCGGACCUGCGACCGCAAGCCUGCAGACAGGGGUUGCGAGCCACUGCGCCCGACUCAUUUUGAUGGUCAAAAGGCAACGCGAACACUUUAGACCUAGUUACACUGGCAGAUCGGAUUAUUUUUCUUUUUUUCCGAUCUUUUAUUGUCAAUUAUGAUUAUAUUUUUUACAAGUAGGAACGUUUUUGAUAGAACCCAUAGGAGUUUUAAAAAAAUGUUAGCAAUUUUUCGAAUUUGCAAGCAAAUUUUGAAAAACAGGAACAAUUUUGAAGUUGUGGACGAAUAUUGAAACAUAGGAACAUUUUUUUAAUUACGAUCAAUUUUCGGUAAACACAAAAAAAGUUUUUCGAAAAUGUGAACAAGUUUUUGAUAGUGACUUUUUCAAAAACAUGAAUAUUUUUUAAAGGAAAACAAAUUUUGAAUUGUGAACAUUUUUUUGUAAACAUGAAUAUUUUCAAAAACAUGAACUUUUUUGUAAAUAGGAUAUUUCAGAAUUUUUGAACAACAUUCUUAAAUGGGAACAAUUUUGAAAAUAACGGACAAGUUUUGGAAUUUUAGAACAAAUUUGGAAAUGGAGAACAAUUUUGAAAAUCCCCAACAAAUUUCAAGUGUGAACAAUUUUUUAAUAUGUGCAUAAAAAAUUGAAAAAUAUGAAUAUUUUUUGAAAUUUGUGAAUGUUUUUAUAUUUGUGAACAUUAUUUCAAAAAAGGAACAUUUUUUGAAAUCCAUGUCAUUAUGUAUAAAUUUCUCAAAAAAGAACAAAAAUAAUUCAAACAGUUUUUGAAAAAACAGAAACAUUUUUGAAAAUUCGAAACAAAAUUUUGGAAACCAGGAACAUUUUUUGAAUUUGUGAAGAAAUUUUGAAAAACAGGAACAUUUUUUGAAUUUGUGAACAAAAUCUGAAAAGCAGGUACAUUUUUUUGAAAGUCAAAAACAAAAUUUUAAAAUAAACUUGAAAAGAAAAAAAGGAAAAUUAAAAAGAAAGAAAUAGAAAGGAGAAAAAAAUAAAAGAAACAAAAAAAGAAAAGAAAAAUGAAAAAGAAGAGAAAUAGAAAAAAGAAAAACCAAAAAGAAACUCAAAAGGAAAAGGCCGGUUCAGGAACCUUCUAGAAGGUUCCCAAAACCGGAAAAAAACCGGCUGGAAUCAUAGAAAGUUCCCAAAAACCAGUGUCUACUGAAACGCUAAAACGGGCCGGCCCACUCGGUCGCUCGCUCGGACCUCCUCCUGUGUUUAGCUUCGACCGCUUGCCGCAACAAGCGGCGAGUAGGAUUUUCCAGCGCCAGGAGCCCUAGGCUCGUCCCAGAGCCGCCGCCGGCUCCCUCCCUCUCACGAUCUAUCUCUUUUUUUCCUGACAUAUAGGACCCACCUUUCUUUCUUCUUCCUCACGAACCCAAACAAAACAGAAACAUACACGUACAAGACACCACUCCGCGUCCGAUCAUCGUGGAAACCCUAUCCCAAGUCAACCCCAGGCCCAAGAAAUAUGUCCUAUAAAUAGUCACGACCCUGCUCAACCGGUUCCCUUCGAAUCCCUCGCCAAAUCCCACCAUAUCGUCCGCUAUCGUCGUUCCAAUCUCGCCGCACAAGCUGCAGGUCAUCGCCGGCUUUGACGCUAGUGAGCCAUACCGAGCGUCCCUCUUUUGUGUUUCAACUUCUCUCGUUCCCUAGACUCUGUUUCACAUGCAUGGUCAUGUAUCCCCGUUCUAUCUACAGACGCCAUCCCACCUCGACGUCUUCACCGAAGCACCGAGCUUCAUCACUUCGUUUCGUCGCAAUUCGUCGUCACCAGCCCUCUUCGACUUCACCACCGGACGAGCCACUCUCCACUACAUCUUCCGAACAUCGCCGCCGCCGCCCAUGAUCGUCGGAGCUGCCGCCCCACCGCACUAGAGCUCCACCCCAAUGCUACCUUCCUCUCUGUAAGCACGAUCAUCUGUUCGUUUCAGUUAAAAAAAGUUUGUUUUUUUUAUUUAUAUCGGUUUUUAUUUAGAUCGGUUUAGUUUACAGUUUAUUUAUGGGUUAGUCGGUCAGAUCGAACCGGUUCGCCGGUCUUCUGUCAAUUAAAUGCACGUGUACAUUUUAGUGAUCUUACGGCUGAGCGUUGUUUAGCAUCGGAUCGCACAUCCCUGUACAGCCCGCUACCUAGCUGGCGGAACAUUUGUUGUUUUUUUCAUUUCUGUUUUUUUUUGUUUUAGAUUCAGUUUUUGUUUUUUUAUAUCUUUAGAUCUACAACUCCAAUUUUGAUGAUUCUUUUUCCUACCGUUUCAAAAGAAUCCCAUUUAUCCUGAGAAAGCAACGGAAAUUAUUUUUUGAACUUUUUAAAUUUCGAAUUCAAACAGAUUUGUUACAAGCACUAGAUUGGUAAUAACUUUUAUUUAAAAAUAGCUUUUUGAUUAAUUCUUUUUGCUAGUGAUCACUUGAUCUUUUGUCUAAACAAUAGGCUUUUGCAAAUUAGUUUUUCUAUAUUUUAAAUUAGGAUUUUAGGCGAAACAGUACUGUUUUACAUAAUUUAGUGUUAUUUUCUUUUCCCUUUGUAUUUAGUUGUUUUUAACUAAAAAAACCUUUUUUAUUAUUGACAAAUUUGGUUUUGUUUAUGUUAUUGAACAGUAGACAGUUUUAUUUUAUUUUAAAAAAUAUUUUCUUUAGUUUUGCAUGAAAACUUGUAUAGGUCAUAGUUAGAGUUUUAUAAAAGCUUCUUAUUUGUUUCCUUUUUCUACUAAAAGUUUAUGGAAAAUUAUUUCUGUUAAUUUAAUGAAAAAUCUAUUUCUUUUUUAUAGACUUAUUAGUUUAGUAUUUUAGUUGCUUUUAAAGACUAAUUAGGUCAAAAAACUACUUUUGUGUUGGUUGUAGUAAAAACUCUAUAGUUCCUUGUAGUUUUCCUUCAAAUUUUCUUUGGAUUUUCUAUUUGGAUUUCUUAUGGAUUUCUUUGUUGUUUAUUUGUUGAAUGAUAAUUUGAGUGUUAGGAUUUUCUUGCUAGAAUGUAUGCUUGUGAAUGCCAUGUUUGUUAUUAUAGAUUUCAACGGAGAGUUGUGUAUAGUACUAUCAAGUUUUGUGAGAGCGAUAUUAUCUUCAUCAAGUAAUACCAAGCAAGUUCACUUUGACCAUGAUAUUCAUACCUAUGCUUUUAUUGCAUCUAGUGUAACCAUUCAUAAUCCCUCCAGUAGUGAUAUUGACUUCUUGUAGUUGAGUAGAAUGCAUGAGGUACGAACCCAUCUCCCUAUUAUCAAGCCCGGGACGUUAUAUAGUUCUAAUGUUACGCUAUAGUAGACGGGGUUUGGUAUGAGUGCUCGGGAGUGGUGUGAGAAUGGAGGACUCUAUGUCAAUGACGACAACUUCAUGACAACAUCUUCAAGGCCUCAAGACUUCAAGACUCGAGACAAGAAUUCAAUAUACCUCUGGGUGGAGAAUGGUUAAGUAGUGUACAUUGGUGCGCCCAGUACUUAGUGAUUCCGGAGAAGCGUCGUGAUAUCAUGCGGAAAGCUCCACCCAGGUUCAAAGAGACGAAAGAAUACUUCAUGCCUAGAAGCUUACUUGUGCGACCGCAAGUCAUGGGCUCUGGCUUGGUUGACCUUAGUGGUGACUCUAGCUGGGACAGUGCCAAUAGAUGUAGAGCUAUGGUAGGAUUGGAUGGAAACCAGACAGUGGACAGAGGAACUCUUUGGAAGACCAUGUUUCAAUCGUCUUGUUCUUAAACGAUCUGAAGUGCGAGGACGAAAAGGGAGGGAUCAAAUCUUGCGGGUAAAGUGUACAAACCUCUGCAGAGGGUUAAAACCUAAUCAAUUAGCCGUGUCCCCGGUUACGGAAAAUUUGAGCAUCUAGACUUGGAUCUAUCUCGGAACUCUCAACACCGGAUCAAAAACUUAAUUGUGGGCAAUUUAUAAUGAUAUGGGCUAUGAGACAUCAGUUGGCGGAACCAUGUCAUGAUAGAAAACUCUGUAGUAUAGACUCUGGUUAUUUCCUUUGUUGUAGGGAAAACGAAAUCAGCUUUUACGCAAAAACCUCAGACACAGAGCCACAAAGCCAUAUUGCAUAUAGUAUAGUUUUAUCAUCUGUUUUUCUUACAGUGAUCUUGCCGGUACAUUCAACGUACUGACCUACACGGCUGCAAUGUCUCAUGUUGCAGAUAUUUCUACGACGAGUAAGCAUUAAGAUAUAGGGUUACGGUCUACACUCAACCUGCCAAUGGCGUUGAUGGGACUCCACACCGGAUUGACUUUUUUUGCUGAGACUUAUGAGGUAUAUAUUAGUUUCACGUUAUGUAUAUAUGUGAUUGCAUUUUGAUAUAUAUGUUGAUGUACUGUGUGUGCCAGCAUACUAAUCCAGGGAUGGCACCGAUACACAAAGGCUUGACCGUUUGAGGUUAGGUCGCUACAACACUAUAGGCGGAAUAGAAUAUGGUAGAGGUUGUGUGUAGAAGACAGAAAAACAGAAAGUCUCACAUCGACUAGGCAAAUUAAUAGGCUAUGGAGAUGCUCAUCAAUUGAUACCGAUGCGAGUGAGUAGGGAUUGCCAUGCAACAGAUGCAGUAGAGCUAUAAGUGUAUGAAAGCUCAAGAGAAAACUAAGUGAGUAUGCAUCCAACUUGCUUACUCAUGAAGACCUAGGGCAAUUUGAGGAAGCCCAUCAAUGAAAUAUACAAGCCAAGUUCUAUAAUAAAAAAAAUUCACUAGUGUGUGAAAGUGACAAAAUAGGAGACUCCCAAAUCUUACCGCCGGCGAAGCCACUUCCAGCCGCGCUUGGAGACACCUAAAGGAUGCGGUUGACCUCUCCACUGCCUCCGUAGAUUUCAUCAUGUCUUCCUCAUGGCUGGCGACUUCUCCAUCAUCGAAACCGGCCAAACCCGAGGCCGCACCGCCCAUCUCCGACGCCAUGGCCAUCAACUCCAUUGAGCGCCCAUCCAUUUCCUUCUCAAACAUGUUCUUAUAUGUAGAGGUAUCAGCCAUUCAAGAAUUGACACGUGGCAUCUCAUGUAAAUCCCGUAGUUGAUUUUCAGAAAAAUGCUCAAUCUUCAGAAAAUCAUACCUUUUAAUCUAUAGAGCCAAUUUUGACAAAUGAGAUAUCCAUGGAUUGUUGAGAACAUCUAGUUUAUUAUAAAAAUAUAUAAUUUCACUUCUGAGCAAAUUAAAAUUUAGUUCUUUGAGUAUUUUUGAUAUAUCUAUUAUUCUGUAAAUCAUAUGAAAGUGUUUUGUAUAUGAAAGUUGGACCUUAGGACCUCACCUUUCUGUUGGAAUCCAUGGAUUAAUUUUUCCAACAUAAUUUAGACACUGUUUUAUCAUCAACACUCGUUGAACAAAAAUUUAAUCCUAGGAUAAAUCUCUUAGAUUGAUCCCUAGGGAACCUCUCUGGUCAUUUGAUAUCACCACAAGAAUUAGGAGUUACAAGAUUAAGAAUUUAAUUCUUUGUCUUAAAACUUAUGCCAUACAUAUUUUUGUUUAAGAAAAUCAAAUAUUCCGAACAAACUCGUUAUGAAAUUGUCGUAGAACCUUGCCUCACAAAUCUCCUUCUAUCAAACCAUGAUCCCACUUAGUAUCAAAUGGAUCUGACCCUAGAAUAUGACCAUGUCAUAUUUUCUUCGAAAACCAAACUCGAUCCUAUACUAACCCUAACCAUGACCUAGGAUUUAUCGUAUGGCAAUCGAAUAACUUGUGUUAUUAUUUGGAUCUUCGUUUUUUUAUUGUGUGUUGAAUUAUUUUAUUUUAUCGUUAGAUAUAUCCUAAGGAUAAGGAGAGACGAUUAAGAGUAGAACAUUUCAUCUUCGAGAGACACAGGCAAGUUGCAACUUGAUCAUAAUUUGUCCUACACUUUUGAAAUAUGCAUGAUCUCUUUAAAAUUUAUACUAUGUAUGUUUUACCAAAAUGUUUUACAAAGUAUUAUUGCUAGGGAAAGCCCUAGGAACUUGUAGCUAUGCUUAGCCUUGCUUACAAGGAAAAGGGGUUGGGAAUCAAACAAGUUUUAAACGAAUAAACUUGCCCUAUUUUGGGGCAAUGUUUUGUGAAAACUUUCGAAAAACAAAAAAACUUAUAUACUAUUUUACUUCUACUCCUUGGGCGGUGGUAUGAUGUGAGCGUCUAAAAGUGACUGCGCCCAUCGGGGUCUUGCAGUGUAUGCGCAUGACUGGGGACUUGCACAUAGGUUUUUCGUGGGGACCGUCGUCCAGGGGAUCAAGAUCUUUCAAGUGUAGUUUGAUGUAGCUUCCAGUAUAGCCACAUGCUAUUAUGGCUCUGGCUUAGCUUUUCCUUAUCGGGAAACCCUUAUUCAGUUAUGGUCAUCGAAGAGGUGUCUUAAUAGCCAAGGGAGCGGGUCGUGCUAGAACUAAAUAAAGGGGGCCAUUUGGAAAAGCUUUGUCACAAAUCUCCUCCCGGCCAAACACCGAAGUGGUGUCAUGACACAAAGGGUUGAUUGUGUCAUGUGGGGAACGUGUACGAACUCUGCAGAGGGUUAAAUCUAAUCAAUUAACCGUGCCCCCGGUUGUGGGAAAUUUGAGCAACUGAAGAGUUGGACUGAAGAAGAAUCUCCCCUAUCUUUUCUAAAAGUCUGGCUUAAGGGUUAAAGUUGAGGAAUGAGCACAGUGAAUGUGUUUCACUUCAACCAUAUUUAUGUUUAACCAAAAGUUGGAGAAUGGGCACUGGUGCAUCCAAGUGUCUCACUCCUACCUUUUAUACUAAAAACUAUAUUUACUUCAAACAACUUUUAUAAAAAAAUUAGUAUAGGGAAAAAUUGGCUUUAUGCAAAGGAAACCUCCACCAAUACUUACCCUGCAUAUAUAUGCAAAGGACAUGAGAGGAAUCUUGUUAUAAGUAAUCAUUUGAAUCUGGUAUUCGUUCAAUAUUCUGAUGAGAUGUAUGUUGUCUUUCCUCUAGUGGUGUUAUGUGAACGUCGACUACAUGACACUUCACCAUGAUUUGGGCCUAGGGGAAGGUUUUGGGAAGUAGCAAGUAGAUGAUGGGUUGCUAGAGUGACAGAAUCUUAAACCCUAGUCUAUGUGUUGCCUCGUAAGGGGCUGAUUUCGAUCCACAUGCUUAAUGCUAAGGUUAGAUUUAUCUUAAUUCUUAUUUCGUAGUUGCGGAUAAUUGCGAGAGGGGUUAAUCAUAAGUGAGAGGAUUGUCCAAGUAAGGACAGCAACCAAGCACCGGUCCACCCACAUAUCAAACUAUCAAAGUAGCGAACGCGAAUCAUAUAAGCAUGAUGAAAACUAACUUGAUGAUAAUUCCCAUGUGUACUCGGGAGCAUUUUGCUUUACAUGAGAGUUUGCCCAGGCUUGUCCUUUGCUAUAAAAAGGAUUGAGCCACCUUGCUACACCUGUGGUACACUUGUUACUUGUUACCCGUUACAAAUUACCUUGCUACCAAACUAUUUGUUACCAACAAUUUCAGUGCUUGCGGUGAAUACCUUGCUGAAAACCGCUUGUCAUUUCCUUCUGCUCCUUGUUGGGUUCAACCCUUUUACUUAUCAAAAGGACUACAAUUGAUCCCCUAUACUUGUGGGCCAUCAAUGCUCUGACGUUCAUGGGCCCUGAUGAGCGCCUCGGCCUUCAACUACUCCUGAUACUCAGCCUUGGAGACUAUGCUCAUGUUAGGAGGCGCUAUCUGACUCGCAUGCCAGACAUCCUUAGGACAGUUGAGCUGGGCCCUUCGCCCUUGGUACUCGAGUGCUAUGACAUCUUAAGCGCACACCGCUUCCUUGGUGAAGUCAAACGUGCCGAGCCAUUAUUUCUUGCCUAUGAUGGGUUUCUGGAUUUGGACUCCCCUCUUCACCCAGGGUCUUUGGAAAACACCACGGUGCAUGCCGUUGUCCGUCAUUUCGGGAAAAAUGACCUAGAACAUGCAGAUAACUAAAUUUGGCGAAAGAACUGAAGAAAUCUACUACAACACAAUAUGAAUUAAAAACAAACAAAAAAUUGGGCAGGACCUCUACAUAAAAAUGGAUAGUAUAGAAAUUUAGCAAAACGGAAAUAAAUCAAUGUUUUGCCAAAAAAUUAGCGCUUAUAGUAUGAAUCCCAGUAAGGAAAUGAAGAUAUCUACUACAUCACAAUAUGAAUAAAAAAUAAACAAAGAAAUUUGGCAUGACCUCUGCAUAAAAAUGGACAUAUUAAGUGAUUGAAAUCUGGCGAAACAGAAAUAAAUCAACGUAUCGCCAAAACUUUAGCACUUAUAGUAAGUAUACCUAUAAUGAACUGAAGACAUCUACUACAACAUAUUAUUUAACUCAGUAUGAACAUAAAUAAUGUACAAAAUAAUACGAUAUAUAUGUGAGACUAUAUAAUUACCUCUGAUAUGAACACAUUGGUAUUCCUUGUUCAUGGUUACGUAUGUGGCUGCUGCAACUAUAAUUGUUUUGAUGUGUGUGCCUUAAAAACUAUAGAACAAGAAACUACAACUAUAAUUGAACUCUAGUAUGAACAAAUUGAACUCAUUAAAGAAUAUGAACACAUUAAUAGCAAUAACCCUAACCCUAGUUGAAUGUUCGUGUGCGUGUGCGUGGCUGCUGCCGCAGUUGUCCGUGUGCGUGGCGGUCGUGGCCGUGGGUGACGAGGAGGAAAGACGGAGAGGGAGGUGCGGACGACAAUGUAUUACUGGCUGGAGCGGAGGGUGACGGGGCAGAUCGUCGGUGAGGGCGACGGGGCGGCGAAUCGAGGGCGAGGGAGAUGUGCGGCGAACGUCUAGGGCGGCGACGAGUAAGGAGAGGCCGAUGGCGGCAGCGGACGGGGACGGCGACUUGGGCAGCAUGGAUGAGCCAACGACGUCCGCGACGAGAUGGGGAAGAGUGAGAGUGAGAGAGUAAAUUGGGGUAGGGGGAGAGGGGGCGCGUGCGUGUAUGUAGGUCGAUUGAGUUCGUCGUAUCCGACGGGUGUGCCAAGCCUCCGAACACGGCUUCUUUGGUGUGGUGGGCGGCAAACCGUUUCGAUUUGGGGCAGACUAGACAGCUAACUUAGUUGUGGGGUUAGGGUCCUAUACCCGCCAGAGCUAAUAUCUGUAUAAAAUUUAUUUUUUUGGCGUCCGUUGCUGGCACUAAACUGUGGCUGGCCCUAUCGAGCGUCCGCCACAAUUGCAUUCAAGAACAAUGGCGGCCGAGGGCCCGAGGCUAACACCCACCACUGAUCGCAUUCAUCACGUGGCCAUACUCAGUGGUGCUUACUUGUGGCAGCCACUGCUACGCGUGUAACUCUGGAGGUCACGUUGUGGGACCUGCCACCGGUACUUUUGCUAACUAGCAGUGGCAGGUGCUAUGUCCCGCCCGCCGAUCUUUCGAAUUCACCUAUAAGCCUUUUCCCAGUAGAGUAAUAAAGGACUUCUUGACAAGUCCGUGUAGAUUAAAGGUAUGUUAGUAGAUGGUGUAAUAAAUACAUGCUUUAGCGAUCUAAGGAUACAAAUAUGCCACUAUUUAUUUUAUAAAUGGUCGAAAUCAUUCUUAGAAAUCUUAGUAACAACAGUUGUCAUGAACAACUUCGACAAAAUGCAUCAAAUGUUACAAAUAAUACAUACAAACUUAGUUCAAUAAAUUAAUCAAUUGAAGUGAGAACAAACCUAAAUGUACUUAGAGUAAAUCCAUUAAGACGUGUAAAGCCAAUACUAAUCCAAUAUUUAUUAAUAAAUUUGCAUAGAAUUACAACCCUUUGACAUAGAAAGGGAAUAUGAUGAGUCAUGUAUUGGUAACUUGCACAACAUUCCUACCCUUGGCAUAAAAGGAGAAAUUGAUGAGUCAUGUAUUGAUAACGUGUACAACAUCACUAUCCUUGACAUAAAAGGAGAAUUUGAUGAGUCAUGUGUUGAUAACGUGUACAACAUUACUAUCAGCAUGUUCAUCUUACCAUCAUAUUAUACAACACUACAAGUUAGUUUUAAAAAGAACAAGAGUCGAGAACGAAGAUCAGAAUACUUGCUUGAUCUAUCUUAACAACAUGCACAAGUUCAGAAAUUUAGUCCCCCGCAAGCUAUGAAGAUUUGUUUUAUGUCUAACUAUUUGUACAACAUGACAAUUUUAGAUCCAAAAGGAAUGCAAUCCAGAUAAUUGUUUGACAUGUAAAGUGAAUAGGAUGAGUCAAUGCCAAUUAUCAAGUUUUCCUCACUCUUAGAUGAUAUGUACAAUAAAAAAGAUAACUUUGAUGAUCACUCUGAAAUUACGUUUGUAUGUAGUGCCACCAAACACAACAUACCAAAUAUUAGUUUGAUAAGCAUAAAAUCACUUUUGAAAAAAGAAAGCAAUAAUGAAAAGAAAUCUAACCACGAUAGCUAUAAAAAGGCCUGCAAUAUGUAGAAUCCAUACCAUCAUCCAUCCUUCACACACCUAGAGCACAAAUCAGCAAAUCCAAGUACGUAGUAGUUAACGCAAAUCGACCAUGAAGACCUUAAUCAUCCUGACGAUCCUUGCGAUGGCAAUAACCAUCAGCACCGCCAAUAUGCAGGUCGACCCUAGCGGCCAAAUACAAUGGUCACAACAACAACUAGUCCCCCAGCCCCAAGAGCCAUUAUCCUAGCAACCACAACAAGCAUUUCCCCAACCCCAACAAACAUUCCCCCAUCAACCACAACAACAAGUUCCCCAGCCUCAGCAACCACAACAACCAUUUCUCCAGCCCCAACAAGCAUUCCCCCAACAACCACAACAACCAUUCCCCCAGACUCAACAACCACAACAACCAUUUUCCCAGCAACCACAACAACCAUUUCCCCAGACUCAACAGCCACAACAACCAUUUCCCCAGCAACCACAACAACUAUUCCCCCAGACUCAACAACCACAACAACCAUUUCCCCAGCAACCACAACAACCAUUCCCCCAGACUCAACAACCACAACAACCAUUUCCCCAGUUCCAGCAACCACAACAACCUUUUCCCCAGCCCCAACAACAAUUCCCGCAGCCCCAACAACCGCAACGAUCAUUCCCCCAGCAACAAAGACCGUCCUUUCAGCCAUCUCUACAACAACGGUUGAACCCAUAAAAGAAUAUCCUCUUGCAACAAUGCAAACCUGCAUCAUUGGUGUCAUCCCUUUGGUCGAUAAUCUGGCCACAAAAUGAUUGCCAAGUGAUGCAGCAACAAUGCUGCCAAGAACUAGCACAAAUUCCUCAGCAGCUCCAGUGUGCAGCCAUCCAUAGCGUCGUGCAUUCCAUCAUCAUGCAGCAACAAGAACAAGAACAAGAACAACAACAACAACAACAACAACAACAACAGCAAGGCAUGCGUAUCUUUUUUCCACUAUCUCGACAACAACAUGUGGGUCAAGGUACUCUCGUCCAAGGCCAGGGCAUCAUCCAACCUCAACAACCAGCUCAAUUGGAGGCGAUCAGGUCAUUGGUGUUGCAAACUCUUCCAACCAUCUGCAAUGUGUAUGUCCCACCUGAGUGCUCCAACAUCAGGGCACCAUUUGCCAGCAUAGUCGCGGGGAUUGGUGGCCAAUGAAAAAAGCAAGAGCUAUACUAAUAGAUAGAUGGAUCCUCGUUGCUUAGCAGAUGCACCAAUCGAUGUAACGAUGACAAAUAAAGUGGCACGUACCAUCAUGUGUGACCCCGACCAGUGCUAGUUCAAGCUUGGGAAUAAAAGACAAACAAAGUUCUUGUUUGCCAGCAUUGAUUGUCAUUGUUCCAUUCACUGUGUAUUUAGUUGUUCAUCCCUAACCGCAGUUCUAGGCUUACACAUCAAUGGCUAUUUGCUCGUGCCGGCAGGUUCCUAUGUAAUCUACCGACUAAUGGUCGGCCUAUUGACCCAGUUUAUAGGCCGAUUGAUAUAUUAAUUGCUGCUCCCAAACUGACCGACCAGCUAUUAGUUACCAUUUUGCUGAACAUUGCACACAAUAAUAACUCAACAUAUUUUAAUGUCUAGAAGUAAAAGGGCCAUUUUAGCAGCAAAACAAGCGCCUGAUUAGGAACCAUCCAGCACUUUAAAUGUUCACCUAGAUAUUUCUACGUUGAUGCAAUUUUGAGAUUGGUGGCACCGAAACAUUCCUCAAAGCAAUUCUUUAUGGGACUCCAAAGAGGUGAAAAUAAAGUAAAGUUGCCACAUGGUAAAAUAUAAAUCAUGCGGCGAGCAAGAGCAAAUAUUGAGUCAUGAUAGCAAGCGCCAAACAUGCCAUUAAACUCUUCAUAUGGUUCCGUGCAGAGAAGGGGGAAAAUUGUUGGGGAACGUAGUCAUUUCAAAAAAAAUCCUACGCACACGCAAGAUCAUGGUGAUGCAUAGCAAUGAGAGGGGAGAGCAUCGUCCACCUACCCUCGUAGACCGUAAGCGGAAGCGUUAUGACAACGCGGUUGAUGUAGUCGUACAUCUAUAUGAUCGACCGAUCCUAGUACCGAACGUACGGCACCUCCGCAAUCUGCACACGUUCAGCUCGGUGACGUCCCAUGAACUCACGAUCGAGUAGAUCUUCAAGGGAGAGUUCCGUCAGCACGACGGCGUGAUGACGGUGUUGAUGAAGCUACCGACGCAGGGCUUCGCUUAUGCACUACUAUGAUAUGACCGAGGUGGAUUAUGGUGGAGGGGGCACCGCACACGGCUAAAGAUCAAUGAUCAACUUGUGUGUCUUGGGGUGCCCCCUGCCCCCGUAUAUAAAGGAGAAAGGGGGGAGGCGGCCGGCCAAGGAGGAGGGCGCGCCAAGGGGGGAGUCCUACUUAGGACUCCUCUUUCCUAUUAGGAGUAGGAGAAGGGGGAAAGGAAGGAGAGGAGGAGAAGGAAGGACGGGGCACCGCCCCUUCCCCUAGUCCAAUUCAGACUAGGCUUGGGGGGGGGGGCGGCCCAGCCCUAGCCAGCCCCUCUCUCUCCCUCUCUCUCCCUGAAGCCCAUUAACGCCCAUAAGAUCCCCGGGGGGUUCCGGUAACCUCUCGGUACUGUGGUAUUUAUCCGGUGUCCGAAUAUAACCUUCCAAUAUAUCAAUCUUUAUGUCUCGACCAUUUUAAGACUCCUCGUCAUGUCCGUGAUCAUAUCUGGGACUCCGAACUACCUUCGGUACAUCAAAACACAUAAACUCAUAAUACCGAUCGUCACCGAACGUUAAGCGUGCGGACCCUAUGGGUCCGAGAACUAUGUAGACAUGACCGAGACACGUCUCCGGGUUUAACCAAUAGCGGAACCUGGAUGCUCAUAUUGGCUCCUACAUAUGUUGGGGAACGUUGCAUAAAAUAAACUUUUUCCUAUGUUCACCAAGAUCAAUCUAUGAGUUCAUCUAGCAACGAGAGAGGGGAGUGCAUCUACAUACCCUUGUAGAUCACGAGCGGAAGCGUUCAAGAGAACGGGGUUGAGGGAGUCGUACUCGUCGUGAUCCAAAUCACCGGAGAUCCUAGCGCCGAACGAAUGGCACCUCCGCGUUCAACACACGUACGGUUAGCGUGACGUCUCCUCCUUCUUGAUCCAGCAAGGGGGAAGGAGAGGUUGAUGAAGAUCCAGCAGCACGACGACGCGGUGGAGGAUGCAGCAGAGUUCCGGCAGGGCUUCGCCAAGCGACUACGGGAGGAGGAGGUGUAGCAAGGGGGGAGGGAGGCGCCAAGACUUCAGGGUGCAGCUGCCCUCCCCUCCCCCUCCUUUAUAUAGGCCCCCUGGAGGGUGGCGCCGGCCCUGGAGAUGGGAUCUCCCAAGGGGGCGGCGGCUAGGGGGGUGGAGUGCCCCCCAAGGCAAGUGGAGGCGCCCCCCCCCCCCACCCUAGGGUUUCCAACCCUAGGCGCAGGGGGGCCCAAGGGGGUCGCACCAGCCCACCAGGGGCUGGUCCCCUCCCCACUUCAGCCCACGGGGCCCUCCGGGAUAGGUGGCCCCACCCGGUGGACCCCCGGGACCCUUCCGGUGGUCCCGGUACAAUACCGGUGACCCCCGAAACUCUCCCGAUCACCGAAACUGCACUUCCUAUAUAUAAUUCUUUAUCUUCGGACCAUUCCGGAACUCCUCGUGACGUCCGGGAUCUCAUCCGGGACUCCGAACAACUUUCGGUUUGCUGCAUACUCAUAUCUCUACAACCCUAGUGUCACCGAACCUUAAGUGUGUAGACCCUACGGGUUCGGGAGACACAUAGACAUGACCUAGAUGGCUCUCCGGUCAAUAACCAACAGCGGGAUCUGGAUACCCAUGUUGGCUCCCACAUGCUCCUCGAUGAUCUCAUCGGAUGAACCAUGAUGUUGAGGAUUCAAGCAACCCCGUAUUCAAUUCCCUUUGUCAAUCGGUAUUUUACUUGCCUGAGAUUCGAUCAUCGGUAUCCCAAUACCUCGUUCAAUCUCGUUACCGGCAAGUCACUUUACUCGUACCGUAAUGCAUGAUCCUGUGACCAGACACUUGGUCACUUUGAGCUCAUUAUGAUGAUGCACUACCGAGUGGGCCCAGAGAUACCUCUCCGUCAUACGGAGUGACAAAUCCCAGUCUCGAUCCGUGUCAACCCAACAGACACUUUCAGAGAUACCUGUAGUGCACCUUUAUAGUCACCCAGUUACGUUGUGACGUUUGGUACACCCAAAGCACUCCUACGGUAUCCGGGAGUUACACGAUCUCAUGGUCUAAGGAGAAGAUACUUGACAUUGGAAAAGCUCUAGCAAACGAACUACACGAUCUUGUGCUAUGCUUAUGAUUGGGUCUUGUCCAUCACAUCAUUCUCCUAAUGAUGUGAUCCCGUUAUCAAUGACAUCUAAUGUCCAUAGUCAGGAAACCAUGACUAUCUAUUGAUCAACGAGCUAGUCAACUAGAUGCUCACUAGGGACAUAUUAUGGUCUAUGUAUUCACACGUGUAUUACGAUUUCCGGAUAAUACAAUUAUAGCAUGAAUAAAGACAAUUAUCAUGAACAAGGAAAUAUAAUAAUGAUCCUUUUAUUAUUGCCUCUAGGGCAUAUUUCCAAAAGUCUCCCACUUGCACUAGAGUCAAUAAUCUACUUACAUUGUGAUGAAUCGAACACCCAUAGAGUUCUGGUGUUCAUCAUGUUUUGCUUGCGGAAGAGGUUUAGUCAACGGAUCUGCGACAUUCAGAUCCAUAUGUACUUUGCAAAUAUCUAUGUCUCCAUCUUGAACAGUUUCACGGAUGGAGUUGAAACGAUGCUUGACGUGCCUGGUCUUCUUGUGAAACCUGGGCUCCUUGGCAAGGGCAAUAGCUCCAGUGUUGUCACAGAAGAGAGUGAUUGGCCCCGACGCAUUGGGUAUGACUCCUAGGUCGGUGAUGAACUCCUUCAUCCAUAUUGAUUCAUGCGCUGCCUCCGAGGCUGCCAUGUACUCCGCUUCACAUGUAGAUCCCGCCACGACGCUCUGCUUGCAACUGCACCAGCUUACUGCUCCACGAUUCACCAUAUACACGUAUCCGGUUUGUGACUUAGAGUCAUCCACAUCUGUGUCGAAGCUAGCAUCGACGUAACCCUUUAUGACGAGCUCUUCGUCACCUCCAUAAACAAGAAACAUGUCCUUUAUCCUUUUCAGGUACUUCAGGAUAUUCUUGACCGCUAUCCAGUGUUCCUUGCCGGGAUUACUUUGGUACCUUCCUACCAAACUUACGGCAAGGUUUACAUCAGGUCUGGUGCACAGCAUGGCAUACAUAAUAGAUCCUAUGGCUGAGGCAUAGGGGAUGACACUCAUCUCUUCUUUAUCUUCUGCCGUGGUCGGGCAUUGAGCCGAGCUCAACUUCACACCUUGCAAUACAGGCAAGAACCCUUUCUUGGACUGAUCCAUUUUGAACUUCUUCAAUAUCUUAUCAAGGUAUGUGCUUUGUGAAAGACCUAUGAGGCGUCUCGAUCUACCCCUAUAGAUCUUGAUGCCUAAUAUGUAAGCAGCUUCUCCAAGGUCCUUCUUUGAAAAACACUUAUUCAAGUAGGCCUUAAUGCUGUCCAAAAGUUCUAUAUCAUUUCCCAUCAAAAGUAUGUCAUCUACAUAUAAUAUGAGAAAUGCUACAAAGCUCCCACUCACUUCCUUGUAAACGCAGGCUUCUCCAUAAGUCUGCAUAAACCCAAACGCUUUGAUCAUCUCAUCAAAGCGAAUGUUCCAACUCCGAGAUGCUUGCACCAGCCCAUAAAUGGAUCGCUGGAGCUUUCAUACCUUGUUAGCAUUCUUAGGAUCGACAAAACCCUCCGGCUGCAUCAUAUACAGUUCUUCCUUAAGAUGUCCGUUAAGGAAUGCCGUUUUGACGUCCAUCUUCCAUAUCUCAUAAUCAUAGUAUGCGGCAAUUGCUAACAUGAUUCGGACGGACUUCAGCUUCGCUACGGGAGAGAAAGUCUCAUCAUAGUCAACCCCUUGAACUUGUCGAUAACCCUUAGCGACAAGUCAAGCUUUAUAGAUGGUAACAUUACCAUCCGCGUCUGUCUUCUUCUUAAAGAUCCAUUUGUUUUCUAUCGCUCACCGAUCAUCGGGCAAGUCUGUCAAAGUCCAUACUUUGUUUUCAUCCAUGGAUUCUAUCUCCGAUUGCAUGGCUUCAAGCCAUUUGUUGGAAUCUGGGCCUGCCAUCGCUUCUUCAUAGUUCGAAGGUUCACCGUUGUCUAACAACAUGAUUUCCAGGACAGGGUUGCCAUACCACUUUGGUGUGGAACAUGUCCUUGUGGACCUAUGAAGUUCAGUAGCAACUUGAUCCGAAGUACUUUGAUCAUCAUCAUUAAUUUCCUCUCCAGUCGGUGUAGGCACCACAGCAACAUUUUCCUGAGCUGCACUACUUUCCGGUUCAAGAGGUAGUACUUCAUCGAGUUCUACUUUCCUCCCACUUACUCCUUUCGAGAGAAACUCUUUUUCCAGAAAGGAUCCGUUCUUGGCAACAAAGAUCUUGCCCUCGGAUCUUAAGUAGAAGGUAUACCCAAUGGUUUCCUUAGGGUAUCCUAUGAAGACGCAUUUUUCCGACUUGGGUUCGAGCUUUUCAGGUUGAAGUUUCUUGACAUAAGCAUCGCAUCCCCAAACUUUUAGAAACGACAGCUUAGGUUUCUUCCCAAACCAUAAUUCAUACGGUGUCGUCUCAACGGAUUAAGACGGAGCCCUGUUUAAAGUGAAUGUAGCUGUCUCUAGAGCGUAUCCCCAAAAUGAUAACAGUAAAUCGGUAAGAGACAUCAUAGAUCGCACCAUAUCCAAUAGAGUGCGAUUACGAUGUUCGGACACACCGUUACGCUGAGGUGUUCCAGGCGGCGUGAGUUGUGGAAUGAUUCCACAUUUCCUUAAGUGCGUACCAAAUUCGUGACUUAAAUAUUCUCCUCCACGAUCUGAUCGUAGGAACUUUAUCUUUCGGUCACGUUGAUUCUCUACCUCAUUCUGAAAUUCCUUAAACUUUUCAAAGGUCUCAGACUUGUGUUUCAUCAAGUAGACAUACCCAUAUCUACUCAAGUCAUCAGUGAGAGUGAAAACAUAAUGAUAUCCUCCGCGAGCCUCAACGCUCAUUGGACCACACACAUCAGUAUGUAUGAUUUCCAAUAAGUUGGUUGCUCGCUCCAUUGUUCUGGAGAACAGAGUCUUGGUCAUUUUGCCCAUGAGGCAUGGUUCGCAUGUGUCAAAUGAUUCAUAAUCGAGAGACUCUAAAAGUCCAUCAUCAUGGAGCUUCUUCAUGCGCUUGACACCAAUGUGACCAAGGUGGCAGUGCCACACGUAUGUGGGACUAUCGUUACCAACUUUACAUCUUUUGGUAUUCACACUAUGAAUAUGUGUAACAUUACGUUCGAGAUUCAUUAAGAAUAAACCAUUGACCAUCGGGGCAUGACCAUAAAAUAUAUCUCUCAUAUAAAUAGAACAACCAUUAUUCUCGGAUUUAAAUGAGUAGCCAUCUCGUAUUAAACGAGAUCCAGAUACAAUGUUCAUGCUCAAACUUGGCACUAAAUAACAAUUAUUGAGGUUUAAAACUAAUCACGUGGGUAAAUGUAGAGGCAGCGUGCCGACGGCGAUCACAUCGACCUUGGAACCAUUCCCGACGCGCAUCGUCACCUCGUCCUUCGCCAGUCUCCGCUUAUUCCACAGCUCCUACUAUGAGUUACAAAUAUGAGCAAUGGCACCGGUAUCAAAUACCCAGGAGUUACUAUGAGUACUGGUAAGGUACACAUCAAUUACAUGUAUAUCACAUAUACCUUUAGUGUUUUCGGCCUUCUUGUCCGCUAAGUAUUUGGGGCAGUUCCGCUUCCAGUGACCCUUCCCUUUGCAAUAAAAGCACUCAGUCUCAGGCUUGGGUCCAUUCUUUGACUUCUUCCCGGCAACUGGCCUACCGGGUGCGGCAACAUCCUUGUCGUCCUUCUUGAAGUUCUUCUUACCCUUCCCUUCUUGAACUUGGUGGUUUUAUUGACCAUCAACACUUGAUGUUCUUUCUUGAUUUCUACUUCUGUUGACUUUAGCAUUGAAAAUACUUCAGGAAUAGUUUUCACCAUCCCCUGCAUAUUGUAGUUCAUCACAAAGCUCUUGUAGCUUGGUGGGAGCGACUGAAGGAUUCUGUCAGUGACCGCCUUGUCCGGGAGGUUGAUGUCCAGCUGGGACAGGCAGUUGUGCAACCCAGACAUUUUGAGUAUGUGCUCACUGACAGAACUAUUUUCCUCCAUCUUACAACUAUAGAACAUGUCGGAGACUUCAUAUCUUUCGACCCGGGCAUGAGCUUGGAAAACCAGUUUCAGCUCCUUGAACAUCUCAUAUGCUCCGUGUUGGUCAAAAUGCUUUUGGAUCCUCGGUUCUAAGCUGUAAAGCAUGCCGCACUGAACGAGGGAGUAAUCAUCAGCACGUGACUGCCAAGCGUUCAUAAUGUCUUGGUUCUCUGGGAUGGGUGCAUCACCUAGUGGUCCUUCUAGGACAUAUGCUUUCUUAGCAGCUAUGAGGAUGAUCCUCAGGUUCUGGACCUAGUCCGUAUAGUUGCUUCCAUCAUCUUUCAGCUUGCUUUCUCUAGGAACGCGUUGAAGUUCAUGUUGACAUGAGCGUUGGCCAUUUGAUCUACAAGACAUUUUUGCAAAGAUUUUAGACUAAGUUCAUGAUAAUUAAGUUCAUCUAAUCAAAUUAUUUAAUGAACUCCCACUCAGAUUUGACAUCCCUCUAGUCAUCUAAGUGUUACACGAUCCGAGUCGACUAGGCCGUGUUCGAUCAUCACGUGAGACAGACUAGUCAUCAUCGGUGAACAUCUCGAUGUUGAUCGUAUCUUCCAUACGACUCAUGUUCGACCUUUCGGUCUCUGUGUUCCGAGGCCAUGUCUGUACAUGCUAGGCUCGUCAAGUUUAACCUAAGUGUUUUGCAUGUGUAAAACUGUCUUACACCCGUUGUAUGUGAACGUAGGAAUCUAUCACACCGGAUCAUCACGUGGUGCUUCGAAAUGACGAACUUUAGCAACGACGCACAGUUAGGGAGAACACUUUCUUGAAAUUAUUAUAAGGGAUCAUCUUAUUUACUACCGUCGUUCUAAGUAAACAAGAUGCAUAAACAUAAUAAACAUCACAUGCAAUUAUAUAGUAGUGACAUGAUAUGGCCAAUAUCAUAUAGCUCCUUUGAUCUCAAUCUUCGGGGCUCCAUGAUCAUCUUUGUCACCGGCAUGACACCAUGAUCUCCAUCAUCAUGAUCUCCAUCAUCGUGUCUCCAUGAAGUUGCUCGCCAACUAUUACUUCUACCACUAUGGCUAACGGUUUAGCAAUAAAGUAAAGUAAUUACAUGGCGUUAAAUCAUUGACACACAGGUCAUACAAUAAUUAAGACAACUCCUAUGGAUCCUGCCGGUUGUCAUAUUCAUCGACAUGCAAGUCGUGAUUCCUAUUACAAGAACAUGAUCUCAUACAUCACAAUAUAUCAUUCAUCAUUCAUCACAACUUUUGGCCAUAUCACAUCACAAGGCAAUUGCUGCAAAAACAAGUUAGACGUCCUCUAAUAGUUGUUGCAUCUUUUACGUCGCUGCAAUAGGGUUCUAGCAAGAACGUUUUCUUACCUACGAAAAAGCCACAACGUGAUUUGUCAACUUCUAUUUACCCUUCAUAAGGACCCUUUUCAUCGAAUCCGCUCCAACUAAAGUGGGAGAAACAGACACCCGCUAGCCACCUUAUGCAAGUAGUGCAUGUCAGUCGGUGAAACCUGUCUCAUGUAAGCGUACGUGUAAGGUCGGUCCGGGCCGCUUCAUCCCACAAUACCCUGAAGCAAAAUAAGACUAGUAGCGGUAAGAAAGUUGACAACAUCUACGCCCACAACAGAUUUGUGUUCUACUCGUGCAAUAGAGAACUACGCAUAGACCUAGCUCAUGAAGCCACUGUUGGGGAACGUUGCAUAAAAUAAAAAAUUUCCAACGUUCACCAAGAUCAAUCUAUGAGUUCAUCUAGCAACAAGAGAGGGAGUGCAUCUACAUACCCUUGUAGAUCGCGAGUGGAAGCGUACAAGAGAAUGGGGUUGAGGGAGUCAUACUCGUCGUGAUCCAAAUCACCGGAGAUUCUAGCGCCGAACGGACGGCACCUCCGCGUUCAACACACGUAUGGUCAGCGUGACGUCUCCUCCUUCUUUAUCCAGCAAGGGGAAAGGAGAGGUUGAUGAAGAUCCGGCAACACGACGGCGUGGUGGUGGAUGCAGCAGAGUUCCGGCAGGGCUUCGCCUAGUGACUACGGGAGGAGGAGGUGUAGAAAGGGGGGAGGGAGGCGCCAAGACUUCAGGGUGCGGCUGCCCUCCCCUCCCCCUCCUUUAUAUAGGCCCCUUGGGGGGGAGCCGGCCCUGGAGAUGGGAUAUCCAAAGGGGGCGGCGGCCAGGGGGGUGGAGUGCCCCCCAAGGCAAGUGGAGGCGCCCCCCCACCCUAGGGUUUCCAACCAUAGGCGCAGAGGGGGGCCAAGGGGGCACACCAGCCCACCAGGGGCUGGUCCCCUCCCCACUUCAGUCCACGGGGCCCUCCAGGAUAGGUGGCCCCACCCGGUGGACCCCCGGGACCCUUCCGGUGGUCCCGAUACAAUACCGGUGACCCCCGAAACUCUCCCGAUGGCCGAAACUGGACUUCCUAUAUAUAAUUUUAUCUUUGGACCAUUCCGGAACUCCUCGUGACGUCCGGGAUCUCAUCCGGGACUCCGAAAAACUUUCGGUUUGCUGCAUACUCAUAUCUCUACAACCCUAGUGUCACCGAACCUUAAGUGUGUAGACCCUACGGGUUCGGGAGACACGUAGACAUGACCGAGACGGCUCUUCGGUCAAUAACCAACAUCGGGAUCUGGAUACCCAUGUUGGCUCCCACAUGCUCCUCGAUGAUCUCAUCGGAUGAACCAUGAUGUCGAGGAUUCAAGCAACCCCGUAUUCAAUUCCCUUUGUCAAUCGAUAUUUUACUUGCCCGAGAUUCGAUCGUCGGUAUCCCAAUACCUCAUUCAAUCUCGUUACCGGCAAGUCACUUUAAUCGUACCAUAAUGCAUGAUCCCGUGACCAGACACUUGGUCACUUUGAGCUCAUUAUGAUGAUGCACUACCGAGUGGGCCCAGAGAUACCUCUCUGUCAUACGGAGUGACAAAUCCCAGUCUCGAUCCGUGUCAACCCAACAGACACUUUCGGAGAUACCUAUAGUGCACCUUUAUAGUCACCCAGUUACGUUAUGACCUUUGGUACACCCAAAGCUAUCAGGACCCCGACUCAAUGCCACAUCGAUCUAGCAUGUAACACCUCAUAUCACUUUGCGGCCUCACGCACGGUAUUCCCACGGGUGUCGUCUUACCUUUGCCCGGGACCGUUUGCACCUUUUGGCACACGUAUAUGAUAGUGUUGCUGGCAUCCAUAUGGUAAGGAGCCCGGGCUGACAUGGCUAGUCGUAAACCCAAAGUGGCACAGACUUACAGGGACAGGCAUCCAUGACCCAGCAUCGAACGUGUCGGUCAUCAGCAAGUGAAUCCGGGCUUUAGCACCGGGCUAGCAGGACUCCGGUAAACCGUGCUGCAGCGGGCUAACAGGACUCCGGUAUUCAUCGCAUGACAUUUCGCCGAAGGGACAGACACAGGAACGAAGAAGGCACAUGCCGGCCAGCCUAAGUGUUCCGGAGCAGUAGCAAGCUACCAUGGCUCAGUGGAAGCACUAGGAGACAUUUCCCGGUAAGAGAGGCUACUAAGGAUAAACAACUAGAUAGUCAGAUCCCACACAUACCAAGCAUUUCAAUCAUACACACAAUAUGCUCGAUAUGUGCAAAUACAACAAGGCAUCACAACAUGACUCUACAACACAAGUACUUUAUUUAAAGGCUCAGAGAGCCAUACAUAGUAUACACACAAGUACGGGUCACAUGACCCACAUUCAAGUAAUACAAGCAUACAAGCCAACAGCGGAAGUAACUUGUCUGAGUAGAGACAACUAGUAAAAUAAAAGAGGCCUGGGUAAGCCUAGCUAUACUACAUGGUCCUUCACAAGCUCAGGAUCACCACCUGGGCCUCAGUCUACUCAUCGAUGUCAACGUCUACGAAGAACCUGUCAGAAGGGGUUGUAGCAUCUUCUGUAAAAUGUAAAUUAGAGCAACAUGAGUACAAAGGUACUCAGCAAGACUUACAUCAGAUCCUACAUACAUGCACAUUAUCAAGAAGGGUUGGUGGGGUUAUUGCAGCAAGCCAGCUUCGACUCUUGGCUAAGCUAUCCUAUGAGACUCCAACUUGAAAUGGUUUUGCACACACGAGUCCACUACUCACCACUUCAAUACACAACCGAGGAUUCACCUCCGUCUUCCUACGGAAGAGCCAUCCUCGGCACUCACAAUUAUCUUGAGGCUUUUAGUAGUUUCCAUUUACUUGUCUAUGAACUGUUAUAGGCAACACAGAAGUCCUUUACCGCGGACACGGCUAUUCGAAUAGAUCAUUUAUAACCCUGCAGGGGUGUACUUCUUCAUACAUGUUUCCACCACUUAGCAUCUGCACACGACAUGUGCUCGGCAGACUUCAAGCGAAAGCGAAAGCCUAAACACUCAAGUCUCUAGUCCAGGUUUAUCGCCUAUUCAGGUUCCAUCCGCAGGGAGUCCGUCCGAGGUUUCCACAUACGGCCCCGAACGAUGUGUAUAGGGUUCCGUGACACCAAACAGGCGCCCGGUAUACCCGGCCACGUGCCUACCGCAUCACAGCCCACCCCUUCGAUCAGCGUUGCGCACGACCUCCAGCAUACUACAAACACCAGAAACUACUUGCAACUCCUGGACAGAGGACAAGGGUGAUUAAGAAGUCGAGCAGGGUCAUAUUUCAGGGCCCAAUGCAUGGUAGUAGCUGAACCAUGGAUCACAAACACAGAACUCAGUUCCUGAGGACGGCUUCAAUGAGACAAUCCACCAUGUACUCCUACAUGGCCUCUCAUAGCUACCUUUACCAAAUCCUGUUCACACACUUAGCUCACACUCAGUAGAAUAUGUUCACGCACCUCUGAUUCAUCCCCGAUGAAUCAGACCUGACUCAACUCUAAGCAAUAGCAGGCAUGACAAACAAACAUGAAUGAGUAGGCACAACAGGGCUCAAACAACUCCUACUCAUGCUAGUGGGUUUCAUCUAUUUACUGUGGCAAUGAUAGGUCCUGCAGAGGAUAAAGGGGUUCAGCUACCGCAGCAAGUAACAGAUGAAUCAUUGCUGUCCUAAUGCAGUAAAAGAGAGCAGGAGCGAGAGAGUAGGAUUGUAUCGAAAUGAACAAGGGGGUUUUGCUUGCCUGGCACUUCUGAAGAUAGUAUACUUCUUCAUCGGUGUCAGCGAUCACAACGUCGGUACAACGUCUACCGAGGGGGAACAACACUGGCAAACAGAGAAGAAACACGAUCAAUGCAAUGCACAAUAUGAUGCCUGCUAUGACAUGGCAAUAUGAAUGUGUUUUGGGCUAAUGCAAGCUAGAACAGAUUGAGAUGAGUCCAUUUGAACCAAAGAUUCAAAUGCAAACCCAUUUUAAGAGGUCAUAAUAGUGUAUUAACUUGUUUCACCUAAACAGCAAGGUUAAUGUGUUCUAACAUGCAUGAAACCAGUGCAGAUGGAUAGAUUGGAUUUUUUUGAUCAUUUUUCAUAUAUAAAUUAUUUCAUUCUAAGUUACGGUUAAAUUUCUAUGAAUUUUAGAAGUUUAGAGCAUUUUCUGGAAUUUCCUGUAUAAAAAUAAAUCUAGAAAAUACUUAUUGCGUCAGCAUUGCGUCACUCUGACGUCAGCAGUCAACGAGGCCGGUCCAGGUCAAACCUGACGUGUGGGGUCCACACAUCAGUGACACGGUUAACCAACAGGGUUAAUUAAAAUUAAACUAAACCUAAUCUAGUUUAGUUAAGGCCUGGGCCCACAUGUCAGAGGCUAACCUAACUAACUAAGUUAAUUACCGCUCAUUAAUCUAUCGCUUAAUUAAGCAGGGGCCUGGCCCACACGUCAAUGAGUCAGGGGGAAGUCAAACCCCGGUCAAACCCGCCGGACCUGGUCCACGGCUCGUCGCCGGCGACGACAGAGACAACGAGGCGGCUCGGGAAUGCUCUACAGGGCACCGUUUUACUCGUGGUUUGCGGCUACGGCUAGCUAGCAAUGCGGCGCAUCUAAUGGAGCGAAUGGGUGGAGCUGGGGUGGCCUGAGCCGACGGCGGCGAGCUCCAAGGCGGCGGCCGGAGUUCGGGCAAUGACGGGUUUGGCGCCACAGUGCAUGGGAGGAGGAGCUGGUGGGCGCUACGGGCUCUUGGGGGUGCACUGGGUGUAGUGACGCGCUCGGUUUGGACGGAGGUGAACUAAAAUGACGACAGCGACAAGUCUGGCACCAGUGAGGUUUCGGUCUCGACGGAAACGAGGGCUACGAUGAGCUAAUGGACAUGUGAGUAGGGGGGUCAGUAAAGGAGCUUACGGCGAGUGCAGAGGUGGCCUCGGCGUGCUCGGGGAAGCACUGGAGCGAGCGGUGCGGCGAGAGGGAUCUCCGGCGGCCGGUGACGAAGAUGAUCAAGAUGGCGUCAAUCCAGGGCCUCCGGCGAUGCGUGGCUAGACGGAGAGGACGAGGGAGGCGUGGCGAUGCUCGUGGACACGUCGGAGAGGCUCGGGGUUGGCUGCGGCUGCGGCUAUGGCGAACGGCGGCGGCGGUGGCGUUCGGUGGUGAGAGGGAGAGAGAGUAGAGGAGGGGGAGGAGCAUGGGGAGAGUGAGAGAGAGCCACAGGGGUUGCGUGUCGACGUCCAUGGCAUCCAGAGGGACGUCGGGAGGCGGUGGAAAGCUGGAGGUGGCCGAGGGGCGUGGGCGUGAAUGGCGGCCACACGCCUCUCAUCCUACUGGCGAGAGGUGGGAGAUGACUGGCAGAUGGGCCUGGUGGGCUGCUACAGUGCCAGGCCGGCCAGGUAAGCGCCAGGUAUUCUCUCUCUCUCUCUCUUUUGUUAAUGUUUUUCUAUUUUUCUGUAACUUCAGGGCUUUAUUAAAAAUGCCAGGGCAUUUCCAAAAAUCAUGAAACUAAUCAUGGCUACUGUUUAGAAUAUAUCCAACAGUAAACAUUUUAGUUUAUGAUUAUUUGAGCAUUUAAAAUAUUUUAUAGCACUUAAAUGCCCAAAUGCAAAUACUAUAGGAUUUAAUUUAGAAAUCCAGAAUGGCCUAGAAAUAUGUGCAUGACAUUUGGCAGAGGUUUUCACCUUUGACCGAAAUCAUGAACUUUUCUAAAGGGCAUUUGGGAUCACUAAAAAUAUUAUUUUUUUGAACCUAGUUGAAUUCAUUUGGUGCUAGGGUUUCAACAAUCCCCAUUUCAAGUUUCAUGAAAUUUAAACAUGAUGCAUGGAUGCAAAGUCACUAGUUACGAGCAAACUCUAGGGCUGUGAUAACUCACCCCCACUAAACAAGAAUCUCGUCUUGAGAUUCAAGACGUGAGGUAAGAAGACAAAGGGGGCACAAAACCAACACAAUCUUCAUGAUCCAGGUUGCACCUCAUAAGGUUGUUGAUUCGUUGCAUACAUUGAUCUUGACAUCCUCGCUUUUGAGAUCUUCAUCCAUGCGAUGACGACGGAAAGGAACUCUACUAGGAUUGAUCUUCUCAAAGACCGAAUUAUACAAUCUCAACUCGCGGAGUGAGAUGUUGAAACACCUUGAGUUGAGACACAAAACACAUCGAGAGGGAUGGAAGAACAAACGACGGGGUUUGAUUUGGUGGGAAACAAUUCCACGCUUAGAAAGAUGGUGGAUGGUGUCAAGGUGGCGAGGAAAUAAUUGCCAUGAUCCCGUAACGGGGCACCUUAGGGAAGGUGACUCGUAGGUUUGUUACCUUAAGUGGCAAAAGGAAUUAUUUUUGAUUCAGAGAUCAUUGAAACUCUUUAUACCAGCCUAAGGCAAUUCACAACAAUCGUUUGGCAGAGUACAAAGGGAUGGCAUACCCGGACUAGAAUGGAUGAUGUGGACUACCUUGUUGAAGACAACGUAAUGAAUGCUUUUUGCUUAUCAUCGGAGGUGGAGGGGACCCAUGGUAGGACCACUUCUAAAGAUGAUCCUGAACAACAAUUGCUGAGAAGGGCAGUCCAAGGAGGAUUGGCACAAGGCGGUGCAAGCUGGGAACGAAAUGCAAAUGUCGGGAAUGUUCCAACCAUCAUAUCUGCCUGAGAUUCAGAUUUGGUUGGUGUUAGGACAUUCCAGACUCAUCAAGUCUAGGAAGAAAAAUGAAAGUUUGCAACACAAAUCGAUGAGAUGACGUCGCGAGAUUCUCGGGAGAUAAACUACGAUAGCAAGCUCCAAAACAUGAGCUGGUUCUGCUAAACAUGUGUGAACACGCUGUCCCAGACAAACAUGACCACAUAGUAGUCUUAAUAUAAAACACUACCGAGUUCAGGUGGGGAACCAUCAUUGCGGAUAACGAAGUCCUUGCAUAAGUCAUGAUUCUUAAGAAGGAGCUUCUUCUCCCUGAACAAAUCAAUCAGUGGCUUGGUGUGCUAGGGAUACGUAAGCAAUGAAGAUGAUCAGUCUAUCAGACCAUAGAAUACUUCGCACAUGCAUGACUGACUUGGGAUGAUCCCGGAGGGAACAAAACUAACUUUCUCAAAUUCACGGCGGCAACUUGCACCUAAUGCGCGUGAACUUGGAGAGAGUCACUUCUUACAUCCAAGCAUAUUCUUCAUGAACGAAACACGAAGAUAAUGCUUAUAUAGUUUCCAAUACUAGCUGAAGGUUCAACACGAAUCAUGGAAGAGAUAAAAAUGUUGCUGAUGGGCUCAACAACAAUUCAUCUAGGUUUCCAUAUAAGUGGAAUUCCACAAUUAUGUGAACAAGGCGAUAGCAUCGGUCAGACCAAAGGAUAUAACGGUGUAUGCCCGAGGAAACAACCACGGGUAAGACAACAUUACGAAUAUCGUUGGUUCUGAUUUGACUUGACAAUAGCCCAUGCUCAAAUCAGAGAUUGGUUACGAUAAUAGAUCCAACAACUGAUCACAGGGACCAAUCGAUGAAGAUAUCAUCUUUCUUCAACAUACAUACAAGAUAUCACUUAACAUGAACUAAGUCGGACAAGCUUUUAUCUUCCAACUCUCCAAGUUGAUGUAUAGCUUAACCAACUAGCUCAGGGGUAUCCAACACGGAUUCUUGGAGAAAGGGUGGUUUACAAGAAUAAACCAACUUGAUCAUGAACUCAACAUAGCGGUCAGGUGACGACCUAGUGAUACUUCCGAGAAGAUAAUCAGAAAAUCAGGAACCACCGGUAUGUUACUAAGCUCGAGAGAAAUCUUGCUUUUCAGGGCAAGACGAUAUGAUCAAAUGAGCAAGGGAUUGACAAAAUCCUAACUCAACGACCGAAGAGUGCACCGGAAAUAGGGACUAGAUAGCACAAUCAACCUUAGGGUGACGAUUCAAUAAUCAACACGCUAAGAAUGAGGUUAGCGUCCAUUUAACUACCAAGCAACGGAGUUGCUAGCAGUAUUGAUUUCACACACCAUGAUUCACUUGUCAGUAUUCCGGUUGCAACAACACGGAACCGAGGAGCGAAUGAUGAUGGCAAGAAGUAUCACUACUUCAAGAAUCCAUAAGGGAAGGUGCAAUUCUCAUGACGUUCCUGACAUAAAGUGGGUAAUACUUCAGGGUAGAACAGAACAAAAGCUGAAUUAGUAUUUGAUCUGCGAUUUACAACUGCUUUGACCCGAUCCUGGAUAUGGAUGAGGUACGGGAGUUUGUUUCUCCUAGUCAUUCUAGAAUAGAAUGGCUUGACAUACCACUAGAGUAAUAGGCAUCAAUGAACGAAUGCACGCAUACUCUUGACUAUCAAUUGAUAGAUGGGGUCGGAAUACAACUAAGGAGGGACAACCCAAACGAACUUACGAUCUUCUGAGUUGUGGAUGCACAUAUUAGUAUGUCGAGCAAAGAUCAACAUUUUUCUUCCGGAUAACCCAUGCGGAGAAGGUAGGACUGGCAGAUUCACAAUAUAGAAUCGAGAACGCAUCAAGAGCACUCUGGUUGUGAUCUUUCGGUUAAACGAGGAACUUCUGCCAUAAGUAGUUCAUGGUAUUUGGAAGAAGGAAAUACCACGGACCUCGAGGACUAAUGCAAAGGUUACUAAUUUCCUAAAGGAACUAGCAAACACUAUCAUCAUGAGUAAGUGGGGUGAAUCUCGGUUCAAGAACCCAGGAAUAGAAUACCUACUACUAAGUGGCAUCACGGGAUGCUUUCGAGAAUAAAGGCCAGAAUUAUCACACCGGGAACAAAUCAUGGCUAGAUUACUAGAUGAUCCCCUAGGACACCUAGGGUCAUAAUAAUAAUUCCAACAUAUAUGUCGAGGCAAUAGAAUACUUCAACUCAGCAAUUAGUGUGAUUAACCUGGCUCAAAGGAACAUCAAAACCAGAGGGAAAUGAUUUGCAAGUGCAUCAGAUUGUUUAGAAACCUGGGAUGACUCGGACAACAUAACGGCUGUAAAUGCUCAAAAGGAAUUUUGAGACAUUUUGCAAAGAGUUGCAUAGACACUCAACAAUAUCAUAUCAAGGUUCUGGGUCCAACUUAGCAACAUAAUAGGGUAGUAGAACUGAACUAGGCUUAUAAUCAUCAAACCAAUAAGGUACUACUGAUUAGUAACACGUGAACCUGAUAGAGAGAAAAGAUCCUAAUCCUUAACCCCCGGUGGAAGAAUGGACUGACUCAGAUCAGAAUGCCAUGAGGUAAAGAAGUAAAAAGAGCCUUACGUACCAUCCCACAAUCAAUUCCCCUACAUAUAACUAAAGCAUUUCUAGACUCAACAUCGACCAGUUUGGCUUGGUAAUCCUACAGGCAGUCAGGCUCUUAUACCAAAGCUGUCAGGUCCUGAACGAUGUGUACAGGGUUCCGUGACACCAAACGGGCGCCCGGUAUACCCGGCCACGUGCCUACCGCAUCACAGCCCACCCCUCCGGUCAGCGUUGCGCACGGCCUCCAGCAUACUACAAACACCAGAAACUACUUGCAACUCCUGGACAGAGGACAAGGGUGAUUAAGAAGUCGAGCGGGGUCAUAUUUCAGGGCCCAAUGCAUGGUAGUAGCUGAAUCAUGGAUCACAAACACAUAACUCAGUUCCUGAGGGCGGCUUCAAUGAGACAACCCACCAUGUACUCCUACAUGGACUCUCACCGCUACCUUUACCAAAUCGUGUUCACACACUUAGCUCACACUCAGUAGAAUAUGUUCACGCACCUCUGAUUCAUCCCCGGUGAAUCCGACUUAACUCAACUCUAAGCAAUAGCAGGCAUGACAAACAAACAUGAAUGAGUAGGCACAACAGGGCUCAAACAACUCCUACUCAUGCUAGUGGGUUUCAUCAAUUUACUAUGGCAAUGACAGGUCAUGCAGAGGAUAAAGGGGUUCAGCUACCGCAGCAAGUAAUAGAUGAAUCGUUGUUGUCCUAAUGCAGUGAAAGAGAACAGGAGCGAUAGAGUAGCAUUGUAUCGGAAUGAACAAGGGGGUUUUGCUUGCCUAGCACUUCUGAAGAUAGUAUACUUCUUCAUCGGUGUCAUCGAUCACAACAUCGGUACAACGUCUACCGAGGGGGAACAACACCGGCAAACAGAGAAGCAACAUGAUCAAUGCAAUGCACAAUAUGAUGCAUGCUAUGACAUGGCAAUAUGAAUGUGUUUUGGGCUAAUGCAAGCUAGAACAGAUUGAGAUGAGUCCAUUUGAACCAAAGAUUCAAAUGCAAACCCAUUUUAAGAGGUCAUAAUAGUGUAUUAACUUGUUUCACCUAAACAGCAAGGUUAAUGUGUUCUAACAUGCAUGAAACCAGUGCAGAUGGAUAGAUUGGAUUUGUUUGAUCAUUUUUCAUAUAUAAAUUAUUUCAUUCUGAGUUACGGUUAAAUUUCUAUGAAUUUUAGAAGUUUAGAGCAUUUUCUGGAAUUUCCUGUAUAAAAAUAAAUCCAGAAAAUACUUAUUGCGUCAGCAUUGCAUCGCUCUGACGUCAACAGUGAACGAGGCCAGUCCAGGUCAAACCUGACGUGUGGGGUCCACACGUCAGUGACACGGUUAACCAACAGGGUUAAUUAAAAUUAAACUAAACCUAAUCUAGUUUAGUUAAGGCCUGGGCCAACAUGUCAGAGGCUAACCUAACUAAGUUAAUUACAGCUAAUUAAUCUAUCGCUUAAUUAAGCAGGGGCCUGGCCCACACGUCAGUGAGUCAGGGGGAAGUCAAACCCCGGUCAAACGGGGUCAAACCCGCCGGACCUGGUCCACGGCUCAUCGCCGGCGACGACAGAGACGAUGGGGCGGCUCGUGAAUGCUCUACAGGGCACCGUUUUACUCAUGGUUUGUGGCUACGGCUAGCUAGCAAUGCGGCGCAUCUAAUUGAGCGAACGGGAGGAGCUAGGGUGUCCUGAGCCGACGGCGGCGAGCUCCAAGGCGGCGGCCGGAGUUCGGGCAACGACGGGUUCGGUGCCAUAGUGCAUGGGAGGAGGAGCCGGUGGGCGCUACGGGCUCCUGGGGGUGCACUGGGUGUAGUGACGCGCUCGGUUUGGACGGAGGCGAACUAAAAUGACGACGGCAACAAGUCCGGCGCCGGUGAGGUUUCGGUCUCGACGGAAACGAGGGCUACGAUGAGCUAAUGGACAUGUGAGUAGGGGGGUUAGUAGAGGAGCUUACGACGAGUGCAUAGGUGGCCUAGGCGUGCUCGGGGAAGCACCGGAGCGAGCGGUGCAGCGAGAGGGAUCUCCGGCAGCCGGCGACGAAGAUGAUGAAGAUGGCGUCGAUCCAGGGCCUCCGGCGAUGCGUUGCUGUGCGGAGAGGACUAGGGAGGCGUGGCGAUGCUCGUGGACACGUCGGAGAGGCUCGGAGUUGGCUGCGGCUGCGGCUAUGGCGAACGGCGGCGGCGGUGGCGUUCGGUGGUGAGAGGGAGAGAGAGUAGAGGAGGGGGAGGAGCAUGGGGAGAGUGAGAGAGAGCCACAGGGGUUGCGUGUCGACGUCCAGGGCAUCCAGAGCGACGUCGGGAGGCGGUGGAAAGCUGGAGGUGGCCGAGGCGCGUGGGCGUGAAUGGCGGCCACACGCCUCUCGUCCUACUGGCGAGAGGUGGGAGAUGACUGGCAGAUGGGCCUGGUGGGCUGCUACAGUGCCAGGCCGGCCAGGUAAGCGCCAGAUAUUCUCUCUCUCUCUUUUGUUAAUGUUUUUUUAUUUUUCUGUAACUUCAGGGCUUUAUUAAGAAUGCCAGGGCAUUUCCAAAAAUCAUGAAACUAAUCAUGGCUACUGUUUAGAAUAUAUCCAACAGUAAACAUUUUAGUUUAUGAUUAUUUGAGCAUUUAAAAUAUUUUAUAGCACUUAAAUGCCCAAAUGCAAAUACUAUAGGAUUUAAUUUAGAAAUCCAGAAUGGCCUAGAAAUAUGUGCAUGACAUUUGGCAGAGGUUUUCACCGUUGACAGAAAUCAUGAAAUUUUCUAAAGGGCAUUUGGGAUCACUGAAAAUAUAUAUUUUUUGAACCUAGUUGAAUUCAUUUGGUGCUAGGGUUUCAACAAUCCCCAUUUCAAGUUUCAUGAAAUUUAAACAUGAUGCAUGGAUGCAAAGCCACUAGUUACAAGCAAACUCUGGGGCUAUGACAAAAGCACUCCUACGGUAUCGGUAUCCGGGAGUUACACGAUCUCAUGGUCUAAGGAGAAGAUACUUGACACUGGAAAAGCUCUAGCAAACGAACUACACGAUCUUGUGCUAUGCUUAGGAUUGGGUCUUGUCCAUCACAUCAUUUUCCUAAUGAUGUGAUCCCGUUAUCAACGACAUCUAAUGUCCAUAGUCAGGAAACCAUGACUAUCUGUUGAUCAACGAGCUAGUCAACUAGAGGCUCACUAGGGACAUAUUAUGGUCUAUGUAUUCACACGUGUAUUACGAUUUCCGGAUAAUACAAUUAUAGCAUGAAUAAAGACAAUUAUCAUGAACAAGGAAAUAUAAUAAUAAUCCUUUUAUUAUUGCCUCUAGGGCAUAUUUCCAACAACAUAUUCUACGAAGAUCUUUAUCGGUCAAACCACAUAACAACAUAGGUUCUUCCCUUUGUCAUCGGUAUGUUACUUGCCUGAGAUUCGAUCGUCGGUAUCUCAAUACCUAGUUCAAUCUCGUUACCGGCAAGUAUGUUUACUCAUUCCAUAAUGCAUGAUCCCGCAACUAACUCAUUAGUCACAUUGCUUGCAAGGCUUAUAGUGAUGUGCAUUACCGAGAGGGCCCAGUGAUACCUCUCCGACAAUCGGAGUGACAAAUCCUAACCUCGAUCUAUGCCAACUCAACAAGUACCAUCGGAGACACCUGUAGAGCACCUUUAUAAUCCCCCAGUUACGUUGUGACGUUUGGUAGCACACAAAGUGUUCCUCUGGUAUUUGGGAGUUGCAUAAUCUCAUAGUCAUAGGAACACGUAUAAGUCAUGAAGAAAGCAAUAGCAACAAACUAAACGAUCAAGUGCUAAGCUAACGAAAUGGGUCAAGUCAAUCACAUCAUUCUCUAAUGAUGUGAUCCCGUUAAUCAAAUGACAACUGUCUAUGGUUAGGAAACACAACCAUCUUUGAUUCAACGAGCUAGUCAAGUAGAGGCAUACUAGUGACACUUUGUUUGUCUAUGUAUUCACACAUGUACUAAGUUUCCGGUUAGUACUAUUCUAGCAUGAAUAAUAAACAUUUAUCAUGAUAUAUGGAAAUAUAAAUAACAACUUUAUUAUUGCCUCUAGGGCAUAUUUCCUUCAAAAUUUAGAGAUGACAAACAAAGCUUAAGUAGCAUCUGUUCUACUUGAUUGUAGAAAUUUCUUUUACCUGUAGAAUAACUCGGUUGUUAUUUCUUUAAACAUGAAGUGUGAUAUUAACUUAUCUCAAUCUAGGAACACAAAGCAAAUAUUACAUGUGCUUCUAUGGACUCCAAGCAGAUGAGAAAUCAUUUUGUCUAGAAGUUCCUUAGAAGGAUAUAAUAGUUUUGACCUAAACAAAUUUACUAUUGUACUCGUGUCUUACAAAGUUAAAGCUGAAAAUCAACAUAACCAUUGGACCCUUUGAAAGACAAGUGUAGGAAAUAAAUAGUAGGAUAUAAAUUUGAGCAGAAUGUUUGAUCAAAUACUGAACAAAUAACCCAGCAAACUACUAAAACUCGUCUAUUCUACCUUAUAUGAACUGUCACGAUGAUAAAGCUAUGAUUUUUUUUGGCAAAUAAGUAUCCUAGAACUAAUACAAGUUCAAACAAAUCAGCCACAGAUCCCCGAGCCCAUCCAACCAGAUAGCUGAAACUGAAAGAAGCAUUAGCUCGAUUAGAGCACCUACAGCGGAACUUGACAAAUUUGACCCCUGAAACGCCCGCGGACACGCGUGUUAGUAGACAUAAACCAAUCUUUAAGCAGAGCACGUCCGGCAGUCGGAUGCUCCCCAAAGUGUUGGUCCAGUCGCCGGCAAGGUAGAGUAGGGCAUGGGAUACAAGGCGGCUCACGGGACUCGAGGCGCCACCGUCCCCCAUUCCCAACUCUUCUCAGUCGGAACCCGGACAGUGCCGGUGGACGUCAGAUCGAUGAUGGAUCCUUCCUGGGACGAGCCAGCAACAUCCACCACCACGUGGUUGUGCAGCCCGAACUAGUGCACAAUAUGGGGAGCCGGAAAAUACGACUCCGCCUCCGCAACGCCCACCACCGCGAGGGCUGUCGCUGCCUCCCGCACCCGCUGCAUUGCAUGGCAGGAGCGCCGAACUAUGUUUUGCAUCGGGCGACGCCCAUGGUGCGUCCAUGGCCUCAGUGCGCCAAUGGAGGGGCUGCGCGUCCGCCACCCAUUCAAACGCCAGAUGGACCGCACCACCUUUGUGUUGGAAAUAUGCCCUAGAGGAAAUAAUAAAAGGAUUAUUAUUGUAUUUCCUUGUUCAUGAUAAUUAUCUUUAUUCAUGCUAUAAUUGUAUUAUCCAGAAAUCGUAAUAGACGUGUGAAUACAUAGACCAUAAUAUGUCCCUAGUGAGCCUCUAGUUGACUAGCUCGUUGAUCAACAGAUAGUCAUGGUUUCCUGACUAUGGACAUUAGAUGUCGUUGAUAAUGGGAUCACAUCAUUAAGAUAAUGAUGUGAUGGACAAGACCCAAUCCUAAGCAUAGCACAAGAUCGUGUAGUUCGUUUGCUAGAGCUUUUCCAAUGUCAAGUAUCUUCUCCUUAGACCAUGAGAUCGUGUAACUCCCGGAUACCGUAGGAGUCCUUUGGGUGUACCAAACGUCACAACGUAACUGGGUGACUAUAAAGGUGCACUACAGGUAUCUCCGAAAGUGUUUGUUGGGUUGACACCGAUCGAGACUGGGAUUUGUCACUCCGUAUGACGGAGAGGUAUCGCUGGGCCCACUCGGUAGUGCAUCAUCAUAAUGAGCUCAAAGUGACCAAGUGUCUGGUCACGGGAUCAUGCAUUACGGUACGAGUAAAGUGAAUUGCCGGUAACGAGAUUGAACGAGGUAUUGGGAUACCGACGAUCGAAUCUCGGGCAAUUAAAAUACCGAUUGACAAAGGGAAUUGAAUACGUGGUUGCUUGAAUCCUCGACAUCGUGGUUCAUCCGAUGAGAUCAUCGAGGAGCAUGUGGGAGCCAACAUGGGUAUCCAGAUCCCGCCGUUGGUUAUUGACUGGAGAGCCGUCUCAGUCAUGUCUACGUGUCUCCCGAAUCCGUAGGGUCUACACACUUAAGGUUCGGUGACGCUAGGGUUGUAGAGAUAUGAGUAUGCAGCAAACCGAAAGUUGUUCGGAGUCCCGGAUGAGAUCCCGGACAUCACGAGGAGUUCCGAAUGGUCCGGAGAUAAAGAAUUAUAUAUAGGAAGUGCAUUUUCAGCGAUCGGGAGAGUUUCGGGGGUCACCGGUAUUGUACCGGGACCACCGGAAGGGUCCCGGGGGUCCACUGGGUGGGGCCACCUAUCCCGGAGGGCCCCGUGGGCUGAAGUGGGGAGGGGACCAGCCCAUAGUGGGCUGGUGCGACCCCCUUGCCCCACCUACGCCUAGGGUUGGAAACCCUAGGGUGGGGGGCGCCUCCACUUGCCUUGGGGGGCACUCCACCCCCCUGGCCGCCGCCCCCUUGGGAGAUCCCAUCUCCAGGGCCGGCGCCCCCCCAGGGGGCCUAUAUAAAGGAGGGGGAGGGGAGGGCAGCCGCACCCUGAAGUCUUGGCGCCUCCCUCCCCCCUUGCUACACCUCCUCCUCCCGUAGUCGCUUGGCGAAGCCCUGCCGGAACUCUGCUGUAUCCACCACCACGCCGUCGUGCUGCUGGAUCUUCAUCAACCUCUCCUUCCCCCUUGCUGGAUCAAGAAGGAGGAGACGUCACGCUGACCGUACGUGCGUUGAACGCGGAGGUGCCGUCCGUUCGACGCUAGGAUCUCUGGUGAUUUGGAUCACGACGAGUACGACUCCCUCAACCCCGUUCUCUUGAACGCUUCCGCUCGCGAUCUACAAGGGUAUGUAGAUGCACUCCCCUCUCUCGUUGCUAGAUGAACUCAUAGAUUGAUCUUGGUGAACGUAGGAAAUUUUUUAUUUUAUGCAACGUUCCCCAACAGUGGCAUCAUGAGCUAGGUCUAUGCGUAGUUCUCUAUUGCACGAGUAGAACACAAAUCUGUUGUGGGCGUAGAUGUUGUCAACUUUCUUGCCACUACUAGUCUUAUUUUGCUUCAGCGGUAUUGUGGGAUGAAGUGGCCCGGACCGACCUUACACGUACGCUUACGUGACACAGGUUCCACCGACUGACAUGCACUAGUUGCAUAAGGUGGCUAGCGGGUGUCUGUCUCUCCCACUUUAGUUGGAGCGGAUUCGAUGAAAAGGGUCCUUAUGAAGGGUAAAUAGAAGUUGACAACUCACGUUGUGGCUUUUUUGUUGGUAAGAAAACAUUCUUGCUAGAACCCUAUUGCAGCCACGUAAAAGAUGCAACAACAAUUAGAGGACGUCUAACUUGUUUUUGAAGCAAUUGCCUUGUGAUGUGAUAUGGCCAAAAGUUGUGAUGAAUGAUGAAUGAUAUAUUGUGAUGUAUGAGAUCAUGUUCUUGUAAUAGGAAUCACGACUUGCAUGUCGAUGAGUAUGAAAACCGGCAGGAGCCAUAGGAGUGGUCUUAAUUAUUGUAUGACCUGCGUGUCAAUGAUUUAACGCCAUGUAAUUACUUUACUUUAUUGCUAAACCGUUAGCCAUAGUAGUAGAAGUAAUAGUUGGCGAGCAACUUCAUGGAGGCACGAUGAUGGAGAUCAUGAUGAUGGAGAUCAUGGUGUCAUGCCGGUGACAAAGAUGAUCAUGGAGCCCCGAAGAUGGAGAUCAAAGGAGCUAUAUGAUAUUGGCCAUAUCAUGUCACUACUAUAUAAUUGCAUGUGAUGUUUAUUAUGUUUAUGCAUCUUCUUUACUUAGAACGACUGUAGUAAAUAAGAUGAUCCCUUAUAAUAAUUUCAAGAAAGUGUUCUCCCUAACUGUGCGUCGUUGCUAAAGUUCGUCGUUUCGAAGCACCACGUGAUGAUCGGGUGUGAUAGAUUCCUACGUUCACAUACAACGGGUGUAAGACAGUUUUACACAUGCAAAACACUUAGGUUAAACUUGACGAGCCUAGCAUGUAUAUACAUGGCCUCAGAACACAGAGACCGAAAGGUCGAACAUGAGUCAUAUGGAAGAUACGAUCAACAUGGAGAUGUUCACCAAUGAUGACUAGUCCGUCUCACGUGAUGAUCGGACACGUCCUAGUCGACUCGGAUCGUGUAACACUUAGAUGACUAGAGGGAUGUCAAAUCUGAGUGGGAGUUCACUAAAUUAGAUGAACUUAAUUAUCAUGAACUUAGUCUAAAAUCUUUGCAAAAAUGUCUUGUAGAUCAAAUGGCCAACGCUCAUGUCAACAUGAACUUCAACGAGUUCCUAGAGAAAACCAAGCUGAAAGAUGAUGGCAGCAACUAUAUGGACUGGGUCCAGAACCUGAGGAUCAUCCUCAUAGCUUCCAAGAAAGCAUAUGUCCUAGAAGGACCACUAGGUGAUGCACCCAUCCCAGAGAACCAAGAUGUUAUGAACGCUUGGCAGUCACGUGCUGAUGAUUACUCCCUCGUUCAGUGCGGCAUGCUUUACAGCUUAGAACCGGGUCUCCAAAAGCGUUUUGAGAAACACGGAGCAUAUGAAAUGUUCGAGGAGCUGAAAAUGGUUUUCCAAGCUCAUGCCCGGGUCGAGAGAUAUGAAGUCUCCGACAUGUUCUAUAGUUGUAAGAUGGAGGAAAAUAGUUCUGUCAGUGAGCACAUACUCAAAAUGUCUGGGUUGCACAACUGCCUAACCCAGCUGGACAUCAACCUCCCGGACGAGGCGGUCAUUGACAGAAUCCUUCAGUCGCUCCCACCAAGCUACAAGAGAUUUGUGAUGAACUACAAUAUGCAGGGGAUGGUGAAAACUAUUCCUGAAGUAUUUUCAAUACUGAAGUCUGCAGAGGUAGAAAUCAAGAAAGAACAUCAAGUGUUGAUGGUCAAUAAAACCACCAAGUUCAAGAAGGGCAAGGGUAAGAAAAACUUCAAGACGGACGGCAAGGAUGUUGCCGCACCCGGUAGGCCAGUUGCCGGGAAGAAGUCAAAGAAUGGACCCAAGCCUGAGACUGAGUGCUUUUAUUGCAAAAGGAAGGGUCACUGGAAGCGGAACUGCCCCAAAUAGUUAGCGGACAAGAAGGCCGGCAACACUAAAGGUAUAUGUGAUAUACAUGUAAUUGAUGUGUACCUUACCAGUACUCGUAGUAACUCCUGGGUAUUUGAUACCGGUGCCGUUGCUCAUAUUUGUAACUCACAGUAGGAGCUGCGGAAUAAGCGGAGACUGGCGAAGGACGAGGUGACGAUGCGCGUCGGGAAUGGUUCCAAGGUCGAUGUGAUUGCCGUCGGCACGCUGCCUCUACAUUUACCCACGGGAUUAGUUUUAAACCUCAAUAAUUGUUAUUUAGUGCCAAGUUUGAGCAUGAACAUUGUAUCUGGAUCUCGUUUAAUACGAGAUGGCUACUCAUUUAAAUCCGAGAAUAAUGGUUGUUCUAUUUAUAUGAGAGAUAUGUUUUAUGGUCAUGCCCCGAUGGUCAAUGGUUUAUUCUUAAUGAAUCUCGAACGUAAUGUUACACAUAUUCAUAGUGUGAAUACCAAAAGAUGUAAAGUUGAUAACGAUAGUCCCACAUACUUGUGGCACUGCCGCCUUGGUCAUAUUGGUGUCAAGCGCAUGAAGAAGCUCCAUGAUGAUGGACUUUUAGAGUCUGUCGAUUAUGAAUCAUUUGACACAUGCGAACCAUGCCUCAUGGGCAAAAUGACCAAGACUCCGUUCUCCGGAACAAUGGAGCGAGCAACCAACUUAUUGGAAAUCAUACAUACUGAUGUGUGUGGUCCAAUGAGCGUUGAGGCUCGCGGAGGAUAUCAUUAUGUUCUCACUCUCACUGAUGACUUGAGUAGAUAUGGGUAUGUCUACUUGAUGAAACACAAGUCUGAGACCUUUGAAAAGUUCAAGGAAUUUCAGAAUGAGGUAGAGAAUCAACAUGACCGAAAGAUAAAGUUCCUACGAUCAGAUCGUGGAGGAGAAUAUUUAAGUCACGAAUUUGGUACGCACUUAAGGAAAUGUGGAAUCAUUCCACAACUCACGCCGCCUGGAACACCUCAGCGUAACGGUGUGUCCGAAUGUCGUAAUCGCACUCUAUUGGAUAUGGUGCGAUCUAUGAUGUCUCCUACCGAUUUACUGCUAUCAUUUUGGGGAUACGCUCUAGAGACAGCUACAUUCACUUUAAACAGGGCUCCGUCUAAAUCCGUUGAGACGACACCGUAUGAAUUAUGGUUUGGGAAGAAACCUAAGCUAUCGUCUCUAAAAGUUUGGGGAUGCGAUGCUUAUGUCAAGAAACUUCAACCUGAAAAGCUCGAACCCAAGUCGGAAAAAUGCGUCUUCAUAGGAUACCCUAAGGAAACCAUUGGGUAUACCUUCUACUUAAGAUCCGAGGGCAAGAUCUUUGUAGCCAAGAACGGAUCCUUUCUGGAAAAAGAGUUUCUCUCGAAAGGAGUAAGUGGGAGGAAAGUAGAACUCGAUGAAGUAGUACCUCUUGAACCGGAAAGUAGUGGAGCUCAGGAAAAUGUUCCUGUGGUGCCUACACCGACUAGAGAGGAAAUUAAUGAUGAUGAUCACAGUACUUUGGAUCAAGUUGCUACUGAACUUCGUAGGUCCACAGGGACACAUUCCAAACCAGAGUGGUAUGGCAACCCUGUCCUGGAAAUCAUGUUUUUAGACAACGGUGAACCUUCGAACUAUGAAGAAGCGAUGGCGGGCCCAGAUUCCAACAAAUGGCUUGAAGGCAUGCAAUCCGAGAUAGAAUCCAUGUAUGAAAACAAAGUAUGGACUUUGACAGACUUGCCCGAUGAUCAGCGAGCGAUAGGAAACAAAUGGAUCUUUAAGAAGAAGACAGACGCGGAUGGUAAUGUUACCAUCUAUAAAGCUCGACUUGUCGCUAAGGGUUAUCGGCAAGUUCAAGGGGUUGACUACGAUGAAACUUUCUCUCCCGUAGCAAAGCUGAAGUCCGUCUGAAUCAUGUUAGCAAUUGUCGCAUACUAUGAUUAUGAGUUAUGGAAGAUGGACGACAAAACGGCAUUCCUUAACGGGCAUCUUAAGGAAGAACUGUAUAUGAUGCAGCCGGAGGGUUUUGUCGAUCCUAAGAAUGAUAAUAAGGUAUGCAAGCUCCAGCAAUCCAUUUAUGGGCUGGUGCAAGCAUCUCGGAGUUGGAACAUUCGCUUUGAUGAGAUUUUCAAAGCGUUUGGGUUUAUGAAGACUUAUGGAGAAGCCUGCGUUUACAAGAAAGUGAGUGGGAGCUCUGUAGCAUUUCUCAUAUUAUAUGUAGAUGACAUACUUUUGAUGGGAAAUGAUAUAAAACUUUUGGACAGCAUUAAGGCCUACUUGAAUAAGUGUUUUUCAAUGAAGGACCUUGGAGAAGCUGCUUACAUAUUAGGCAUCAAGAUCUAUAGGGAUAGAUCGAGACGCCUCAUAGGUCUUUCACAAAGCACAUACCUUAAUAAAAUAUUGAAGAAGUUUAAAAUGGAUCAGUCCAAGAAAGGGUUCUUGCCUGUAUUGCAAGGUGUGAAGUUGAGCUUGGCUCAAUGCCCGACCACGGCAGAAGAUAAAGAAGAGAUGAGUGUCAUCCCCUAUGCCUCAACCAUAGGAUCUAUUAUGUAUGCCAUGUUGUGCACCAGACCUGAUGUAAACCUUGCCGUAAGUUUGGUAGGAAGGUACCAAAGUAAUCCCGGCAAGGAACACUGGACAGCGGUCAAGAAUAUCCCGAAGUACCACAAAAGGACAAAGGACAUGUUUCUCGUUUAUGGAGGUGACAAAGAGCUCGUCGUAAAGGGUUACGUCGAUGCUAGCUUCGACACAGAUCUGGAUGACUCUAAGUCACAAACCGGAUACGUGUAUAUGUUGAAUCGUGGAGCAGUAAGCUGGUGCAGUUGCAAGCAGAGCGUCGUGGCGGGAUCUACAUGUGAAGCGGAGUACAUGGCAGCCUCGGAGGUAGCGCAUGAAGCAAUAUGGAUGAAGGAGUUCAUCACCGACCUAGGAGUCAUACCCAAUGCGUCGGGGCCAAUCACUCUCUUCUGUGACAACACUGGAGCUAUUGCCCUUGCCAAGGAGCCCAGGUUUCACAAGAAGACCAGGCACAUCAAGCGUCGUUUCAACUCCAUUCGUGAAAAUGUUCAAGAUGGAUACAUAGAUAUUUGCAAAGUACAUACGGAUCUGAAUAUCGCAGAUCCGUUGACUAAACCUCUUCUGCGAGCAAAACAUGAUCAACACCAGAACUCUAUGGGUGUUCGAUUCAUCACAAUGUAACUAGAUUAUUGACUAUAGUGCAAGUGGGAGACUGUUGGAAAUAUGCCCUAGAGGCAAUAAUAAAAGGAUUAUUAUUAUAUUUCCUUGUUCAUGAUAAUUGUCUUUAUUCAUGCUAUAAUUGUAUUAUCCGGAAAUCGUAAUACACGUGUGAAUACAUAGACCAUAAUAUGUCCCUAGUGAGCCUCUACUUGACUAGCUCGUUGAUCAACAUAUAGUCAUGGUUUCCUGACUAUGGACAUUAGAUGUCGUUGAUAAUGGGAUCACAUCAUUAGGAGAAUGAUGUGAUGGACAAGACCCAAUCCUAAGCAUAGCACAAGAUCGUGUAGUUCGUUUGCUAGAGCUUUUCCAAUGUCAAGUAUCUUCUCCUUAGACCAUGAGAUCGUGUAACUCCCGGAUACCGUAGGAGUGCUUUGGGUGUACCAAACGUCACAACGUAACUGGGUGACUAUAAAGGUGCACUACAGGUAUCUCCGAAAGUGUAUGUUGGGUUGACACGGAUCGAGACUGGGAUUUGUCACUCCGUAUGACGUAGAGGUAUCUCUGGGUCCACUCGGUAGUGCAUCAUCAUAAUGAGCUCAAAGUGACCAAGUGUCUGGUCACGGGAUCAUGCAUUACGGUACGAGUAAAGCGACUUGCCGGUAAAGAGAUUGAACAAGGAAUUGGGAUACCGAUGAUCGAAUCUCGGGCAAGUAAAAUACCGAUUGACAAAGGGAAUUGAAUACGGGGUUGCCUGAAUCCUCGACAUCGUGGUUCAUCCGAUGAGAUCAUCGAGGAGCAUGUGGGAGCCAACAUGGGUAUCUAGAUCCCGCUGUUGGUUAUUGACCGGAGAGCCAUCUCGGUCAUGUCUACGUGUCUCCCGAACCCGUAGGGUCUACACACUUAAGGUUCGGUGACGCUAGGGUUGUAUAGAUAUGAGUAUGCAGCAAACUGAAAGUUGUUCGGAGUCCCGGAUGAGAUCCCGGACGUCACGAGGGGUUCCGGAAUGGUCCGGAGAUAAAGAAUUAUAUAUAGGAAGUGCAGUUUCGGCCAUCGGGAGAGUUUCGGGGGUCACCGGUAUUGUACCGGGACCACCGGAAGGGUCCCUGGGGUCCACCGGGUGGGGCCACCAAUCCCGGAGGGCCCCGUGGGCUGAAGUGGGGAGGGGACCAGCCCCUGGUGGGCUGGUGCGCCCCCCUUGGGCCCCCCCUCCCGCGCCUAGGGUUGGAAACCCUAGGGUGGGGGGGGCGCCUCCACUUGCCUUGGAGGGCACUCCACCCCCUGGCCGCCGUCCCCUUGGGAGAUCCCAUCUCUAGGGCCGGCUCCCCCCCAGGGGUCCUAUAUAAAGGAGGGGGAGGGGAGGGCAGCCGCACCCUGAAGUCUUGGCGCCUCCCUCCCCCCUUGCUACACCUCCUCCUCCCGUAGUCGCUUGGCGAAGCCCUGCCGGAACUCUGCUGCAUCCACCACCACGUCGUCGUGCUGCUGGAUCUUCAUCAACCUCUCCUCCCCCCUUGCUGGAUCAAGAAGGAGGAGACGUCACACUGACCGUACGUGUGUUGAACGCGGAGGUGCCGUCCGUUCGGCGCUAGGAUCUCCGGUGAUUUGGAUCAUGACGAGUACGACUCCCUCAACCCCAUUCUCUUAAACGCUUCCGCUCGCGAUCUACAAGGGUAUGUAGAUGCACUCCCCUCUCUUGUUGCUAGAUGAACUCAUAGAUUGAUCUUGGUGAACGUAGGAAAUUUUUAUUUUAUGCAACGUUCCCCAACACUUUGGUGAGGCGGUGAUGGUACACCUAGCGCCGGAUCCAUGCAUCAUUUGGGCGGACGCAUUGGAUUCCCCGCGGAAGGAGUUCGAGUGUUGCCGUUGCCAUCGGGCAGCCUCCUCCCGGGAGCGGUGGAGCGCAAGCUGGAUGGCCAGCUCCUCCUAGGAGCCGCGUGGGAUGAGUUCGGGGUUGACGGAUCUGGAGGUGUAACACUGGGAUCCGCCUCCUGCCAUGCCGAAGAAGGCCAUAAGAUCGUCGAACGGGAGCUUGGGUGGCGGCAUAGAGUGGAGUAAAGUGGCUAGGGUUUGGUCCGGCAAGCGGAUGGGGAGGAAUAUAUGUGGGGUCGGGUGGGCCAGCGUGGACCGGGACCGACAUGGCGGACGCGCCUGGGCGCCGCAUAUUCUUCCUAGAUUUGGGCUGGAUAUCAGGGGUGCUGGUUAGCUUGGGCGUUUGAGGCCCAUCUGGAUAGUUUUUCUGUGACCUGACCGUUCGUCCGGGCGUUUGAGGUGGGUUUGGGACGCCCAGGUGUAAAUGCUCUUAGACCAUGUAGUACCUUGAGGAGGAUGGUGGGUCCAUGGAACAACUACAGCCUCUCCAUUUUGUUUGGGCGCAGGGCGAUAACGGAGUUAUCUCUACUCCUAAAGAGGGAGUCGUUAGUCUCCCUUCCACGGUUUUUUUGUCUUACCUCCCAUCUUUGUUUCAUUUUUUCCGUCUCUUUUUCCACCACCGUCUGUUUUUUCUCAUCUCCACCUGGCAUGUAACGAAAAAAAAUCUGUUUCAUAGGUCGAUUGUCAAGGUCCGAGAGCCGCCGCCACCUUCAUUGCGGACCUCUAGGUCGCCGUCCGGACACACCGCCGAGGUCCGCAAUCACCGACGUUGAGGUCCGAGAGGAGCUGCCGCCCCCUUCAUUCUGGGCCUGGACGCUUCAUGGUCCUCCUACCUCUCCCUUUCCUCUCCCCUUCUCUCCCGCUUCCAUCCUCACUCGCCGCCCCUGCCUCUCNNNNNNNNNNNNNNNNNNNNNNNNNNNNNNNNNNNNNNNNNNNNNNNNNNNNNNNNNNNNNNNNNNNNNNNNNNNNNNNNNNNNNNNNNNNNNNNNNNNNNNNNNNNNNNNNNNNNNNNNNNNNNNNNNNNNNNNNNNNNNNNNNNNNNNNNNNNNNNNNNNNNNNNNNNNNNNNNNNNNNNNNNNNNNNNNNNNNNNNNNNNNNNNNNNNNNNNNNNNNNNNNNNNNNNNNNNNNNNNNNNNNNNNNNNNNNNNNNNNNNNNNNNNNNNNNNNNNNNNNNNNNNNNNNNNNNNNNNNNNNNNNNNNNNNNNNNNNNNNNNNNNNNNNUCUCUCUCUCUCUCUCUCUCUCUCUUGUUUCCUACCCCACUGGUUCUACAAUGCUGGUCGUCGCCUUGGGUUGGCGAACCUAGCUACUGUGGGUUGGGAUUCAAAUGCCACAUCAUCUUUGGGACGCGGCCGUGACGGCUUGGCCUGAUGCCUGCGAAGUAGGGCGAGCAGAGACAACAUGAGACUGCGCCGCUGUGCUGUUCGCCGUGACGCGCUGUCACGCUGUGUAGAUGGAGGAUGCGUGCCCAAGCCUUGUUGUGCCUGUCUUCCCGUGCGGUAGUCGGGAUCUGGACUGGAUCGGGGUUGAGUUCGACACCACCGAACCCCGGCUUCCAGGAGACCAGGCGCCUCCUCUCCUCAUCACCCGUCUCACCAGAGGCAUGUGCAGAAUUCCGUACACCAUCUGCGCAAACAUGGUGGUCGACGACGCUCUGGAUGUGGUCUACGUGAGGACUAGGUUCCAUCAUUAACAUGUACCCUGGCAAGGUAUGUGCUAUGGGAUGUAAACUCUCGAUUUUAUCUUCAUUUUAGUUGCCUUCAUCUCAUGCUUUGUUCGUUCCAUAGGCAUUUGUCAUGAAUCUAUUUUCAGGAGGGUGAUGUUAACGAUUUCAAAAACUUGAUAGCAGGGUAUGGCUAUAGUUAUUGGUCAUGCAUUAUCGCGAGGCUUGACAAGCAUACCAUAAAAUGGUUUUUAUUUAUGCUCUCGUAGGUUAAACCAAUCUCUGUCAUUAUGAAAUUGGCAUAGCUGAACAUGAUCAGGACUUCAGCAGGGCAGGGUCAUUACUUUGGAGUUUCAGCACUCAUAGUUGGUGAGUGCUUAUGUCCUAAAAUUUUGGAUGUGACUAAACAUAGGCUGGUAUGGCUAAUCUUUUUUGCUUUUCUGUCCUUGCUCUUCACGGAAUCUUCAGGUUUACGGAUUGAUAAUUGUGAUCUAUGUUUCAACCACUUCCCAAUGUUUUACUUGAUGAGAAGGUUCUAAUUUUAUUUUAUUUUAUUUCACUUGAUGAGAAGGGUCCAUGUUUCACCGACUUUGUACAAGUGUGUUUGCUUAGCUAGAUUUCUGCCCUUAUUUUCUAUUUGACAUCCCUCAAUCAUUUUCUGCAGAUUCACUUCGUUCGUAUUCUAUAUUGUUGUAAGUGCACCUAGGGAUAUUAUAGUAGUUCUUAUCUGCAGUUUACUACAACUGGUGACCACAUCUCCAUAUUAUUAUCUUUAAAAUGUACUUUCAAAAAGUAAACUAAUUAACGUUAACCUUCCGCUCUGUAGAAACCACAUAAUUUCAACUCAUUAAUCAUUUUUUAGCGGAAAGGCAGUAAUCAAUGAUGGCGAUUUAAACUGUACUCCUUAUAGUAUUGAUAUUCCCCAUGCACCGGUAUGUUCUCGUACAUCCGUGAAACUUCUGAGUCAAAAUGUUAUAUCCUUAUGUAUACAGUUCAUCAUUGGUUGUUACAGAAUUUCCCAGUGGGCACAACCUCAACCCACACCUCCCACCAGGAUCUUCUCUCUGCCGGAGCCAUCCUACCUGCAGCCAGCUCCCCCUCGUACGCCCUGAUCUCCACCUUGUGUGCUGGUCCAUUCAUCAUAGCUAGAAGGUAAUGACUAAUGAGCAUGUCAUCUCUGCCCCUCUCAAUUUCAUCCUUGUGUUGUUUAUUUUUCAGAGAAUGUGGUAUUAUGUAGCCCCUCUCUGUUGAUGAAUUGAAUGUAUAGAUUAUAUACUAGCAAAAGAGCCCGUGCGUUGCAACGGGAUAAUAAAACCGACGAAUUGUACUCGUGUGACUUGAGCUUUGGUUGGUUUCACACGCUUAUACUUCUUAGUUUUCUUGUAAAAUAAUAUGGCGGUAUUUAUACUAUUCAGGGUUGGUUAUCCAUCCGUCAGGUUAUUCAGGGCGUAAAUUUACGGAAAGAAGCAUAUUGUGACGGUGAAUGCGACGGAGUCAAUCCGUGCUUUAUUAUUUGGAAAAGAGAAAUAUGCCUAUGCAUUGCUACGGCUCUAGAAUAAACCUAUACAUGGUCAAAAUACAGGACAGCAACAUGUCUUCUUUUAGUUUUUUUCAAACCAUUAGAAAUAUGUUAGAUUUUACUUAAGUUUAGUUCCCUUAUUCCACCAUAAAGCAUUCCGGUUGAAAAGGAGAUGGCGUCUGUCAUUUACUUUCUAGAAAAACAUAGAGUCGAUAAACUUUCCUGUAUCUUCAGCCAUAGGUCCUUUACUCAUAUUUAAAAAAUUGUAAUAUUUAAUCCAAGCAAAAUUAUAUGAAUUACAGGAAAAAUUGUACUCAUGUGACUUGAGCUUUGGUUGGUUUCACACGCUCAUACUUCUUAGUUUUUUUGUAAAAUAAUACGGCGGUAUUUAUACUAUUCAGGGUUGGUUAUCCAUCCGUCAGGUUAUUCUUGAAGCUAGCUAGUAAUCACCAUGAGUUCAGUUGGCGUUCCAAGUAAUCACCAAGCCAAUCGACCGUGAGCAUCCGGACGUUAGCUGCGAAUGACAGACGGCUGGAUGGGCUAAUGAAGAUUAAACCUCAAUUUUGUACGCGGUAGUGCUGCAGACCUUCUGCAGUGAGACUUCGAUCAGAAGGACUUACCAGACAGGGGCACGGAGGAUUUAGAUAUCCUACUGCAGCUGCCGCUGCUCACCAAGGAGUUGCUCCCGUGCCGCUCGAAGGUCGCCAGCUCGGGGCAGAGCAGGAGCUUAAAGGCCAUGGACACGCCAGACCUGAAGGACGGCAGUGGCAAGGGUGGCGCAGGUGGGCGACGUUGCUCGCGCUCGGGGCGGACGCCGGCGGCGCUCGAUCUUGCCUAGAGCACGGAGGGGACAGGGGAGCAGGGGAAGAGGUAGGCAGUAAACCAGAUAGGAAUGGCACAUGUAUCGCAUCUGCCCUCGGCGGAGCUCCGCUCUGUCGUCAACAUCCGCGACGGACCCCACGAAGCCCAUCAUGUCGGCGUCCUUGAGGAACCGCCCCUGCUUGCCGCGGCCGACCGCAAUUUCGGAGAAAUUGGAGAUGGGGGAUCGUCCGCGGUUCGGCAACGGGUACGGGGAGGAGUCCGGGGCAAAGACUGUUCCGCUCGACCGGCCGGAGGAGCGCAGCCGCUCCGGUGGCCAGAGAUCGAGGGGGUGGCGGCGGUGUCCAACCCCCAACAGGCUGUGUUCUUUUUCUGACGGGACGAAAAAGGGGAAUCCCUUCUCUGGAACCGCUGUCGUUGCUCGACUGUGCUCCAAGCCGCCGCCGCCACCGCCGUCGCCUGAUUGCUCUCUCCCCGUCAACCCCCCCUCUCUCUCGAUCCAGCGACGCGUGUUUAGAUCGAAGCCCCCUGAAUUCCACGACCGAUCUGAUUCUAUCGAUCGAGGCAGCUCUGUUUCGAUUUGUAUAUGUACUUUUUAGGAGGAGUGUCCCGUGUUUGUUUCUGAUAGCCAUCUAUUUGUUUUAUGCUCAACAGGCCCAUUAGCCCUUGAUCUGGCCCAGGGAGUCUAGCGACCCAGGGAGUCUAGCGGGGAAGAGAGCGGGUGCGACCGAUUGGAUGCACACGACGUGGUUGGCCAUCUGAAUUAGUACCACCUUGAAUAUAUUUUAAAAUUAAAAUUGAAAACGUAAAAUCACGGAAAGAAGCGCAUUGUGACGGUGAAUCCGGAGACCCAAUCCAUGCUUUAUUAUUAGGGAGAGAUUACUAAAGAAAUCCGCCUUAAAAGGCGUUCCACUAAAAACGCAGUAGGAUCCUAUUUCAAGUUCCUUGCACUUAAACCGCAAAAGGGAAAGGCAAUUUUCCUAACUUUUCCCGUUAACGCAGAGCAGUCAGAUGAAUAACAGUAGGAUUGUUCAGUUUGUAUGCUCGUCCACUACUUCGGUUUAUUCAGGUUGCAUGAUACAGUAAUUUUGCAAAUGUGUCAGACUAUCUAUUUAGAUUAGCUAAUAGAAUUUAUUUCCACUAUGUGUUGUGCGGAGGAUAGAUCAGCAGGACUAAACAAUAUGUGUCUAACACCAUUUGCACAAUUCCCUUAAACUGCCCGCAGUAGCUGACCAAGUACCACCAAUGUUGUCAUCAGUCUUGAAGGGGAUUCAAAACCCGGUAGGAUCGCACACCGUAUGGCUUGGACAUCGGAAGAAGAUGCAAGAUUGGUAAUGAGAUUACUUGCCUCAGUGCUCAAUUUAUGAUCCUAUUCAUUUGAACUGAUUUACUUGUUUGUCUCAGCUAAUCUAUCCUCAAACGCAGACAACCAUUUGGUCGAAAACCUCAAAUGUUUCCAUCGAGAUAAUAACAAGAAGAACAUCAAGUACUGGGAUGACAUUGUUGUUACAACAAUAGUAAUAGGCCAAGUCACCGGAAGGGAGAUGCUCGUCGUGUAUGAUGGACAUGGUGGCUCGGAGGUGAGGUUAUCUUCUCUUGAAAAUCUUGACCUAGACAAAAGAAAUUAACCUUGAGGCCAUGGGAAGCAGGAAAGCGAAGGUCACGAAUGGCCGCACAAUUUGGUGGUGUUUGUGUGUUGUGCGGUCAAGCCUUUCUACGGGCUCCAUGGUGAUGCAGCAGCAUCACCUUCUUACGGAGAUGAGAUGAUGGGAUGAGGCCGCAUGGUGUUACCUAUUGUUGUUGUGUUAGCUUUGCUGUGUAUGUGUGCGUGUGAGAGAGAUCAGCGGCUGAUUGGGGAUGGUUAUGUUGUUGCUAGAUUAUAAAACAUGUCGUUUAAGUGAAUAUCAACUGUCGGAAAGAAAGCAAUGGUACUGUGAUUCUACUGUUUUAUGCUAGACGUUAAAGAAUACUACUUGCAAGCAGUUAGCGACGAACUGAGGGUUUGCAAGUAGUACUUUUUCCCAGUUGUGCUUCUACUUGCCUGAAUUUAAGUAGGAGAAAUUACCAGUUGUGUUUUUUUGAAAUAAUCUUGAUUUAACUAUGAUUUUCAGAAACUGGUACAGCUUUAACACGGUUCCUUGCUCACUGUGGUACAUUAAAACAAUAAAUUGAGGAGUUUAGAGCCUGCCUAGAGACCUCACAUAGCACCGCCUCAUUUGGCAGCGACAUCAUGAUGAUCUUGUCUGGUCUACUCCAAGUCUCCGCUUGUGGUUUGUGUUGGAAAUAUGAGCAAUUUACCGAAUGAUUUUAUUAACAAAAAUACUAGAUAAAGCAUGACUAAAAUAGGAAAUAUAAAGAAAGUCAUGCAGUCUGACAGAGAGAAGGUAAACAUCGUCUGCAUAAAUGAACUUGAGCUAAACACAUCUAGAACAGACAAUAGAUGAAGUUGCUCAUACGAAACAGAACCUAACAUACGUAGGGCAGAAACUAGAGCCAAGAACUGUAGCAGGACUUCUAACAGAAAGGAGAAGAACACGUACGGCAUAGCAGCAGCAGAAGAGCUGGACUUGGGGUCAGUGUCCUCGCCUGCCAUGUCGUCGAGGAGGUCGUGGACGUCGGGGAAGAAGUCGUCGUCGGGGAAGUAGUCGUCGGCGACCGGAUCGUCUGUGAUGAAGCAGCCAGUAGUCGCGCUGAGCGCUUCCCAAAAACCUUAUCACCCUUCUCCCGUACAUGACUCAAAAGGUGCGGUCUCUGAGGCCUACUGUCCCAACAUGCGGUGCACGCCGCAAGUCGGGAUGAGGAAGACAGCAGCAGCUCAGAGAUGGAACCGAUGGCGAGGGAAGGAGCAGUUCUGGUGCGUAUCUCUGAAAGGAGCGACCUCCCUUUUAUAGGCGCAAGAGAAGGAGGCGAGAGGCUGCGCCGGGAGCUGAAGGGAAUGUGGGAGACGAAACGAACAAGCAGCAGCUGAAGGGGCGCGCCGUUCGGAUUCAGUGUCCAGGCACAGAAAAAAACUGUUUCAGCUUCCGAGUGACCUUUCGUAUACACGUAGUGCGUGGCAAAACUUUAGACAUCGGCUCAUUCCCGCAACCCGCGGCGUGACGAGGCGGGCGGCGGAGGAGGAGCGCGCGUGGAUGUCCCUCUUGUUCUCAUGCUCAUACAAGUGGGGAAGGAGUCUCCCUUAUAAAGAGGUCCAACUCCCUCUAAACUAGCAAGGUGGGACUAAACUUUAGUUCCACCUCUUACCUUGCAUGAAUGGGCUGCGUGGGCCUCUAGGAUUUAUUAGGAAUUUCUGAAACUGCUAUUGGGCUAGGCCCAAAUAGACAAAAAUUCCAGCAGUUUGUGUUCUUUAGGUCUAUGGAAAACACCACGGUGCAUGCCAUUGUCCGUCAUUUCGGGAAAAAUGACCUAGAACAUGCAGAUAACUAAAUUUGGUGAAAGAACUGAAGAAAUCUACUACAUCACAAUAUGAAUUAAAAACAAACAAAAAAUUGGGCAGGACCUCUACAUAAAAAUGGACAGUUAUAGAAAUUUAGCGAAACGGAAAUAAAUCAACGGUUUGCCAAAAAUUUAACGCUUAUAGUAUGAAUCCCAAUAAGGAAAUGAAGACAUCUACUACAUCACAAUAUGAAUAAAACAUAAACAAAGAAAUUUGGCAUGACCUCUGCAUAAAAAUGGACAUAUUAAGUGAUUGAGAUCUGGCGAAACAGAAAUAAAUCAACGUAUCGCCAAAACUUUAGCACUUAUAGUAAGUAUACCUAUAAUGAAUUGAAGACAUCUACUACAACAUAUUAUUUAACUCAGUAUGAACAGAAAUAAUGUACGGAAUAAUACAAUAUAUAUGUGAGACUAUAUAAUUACCUCUAAUAUGAACAAAUUGGUAUUCCUUGUUCAUGGUUACGUAUGUGGCUGCUGCAACUAUAAUUGUUUUGAUGUGUGUGCCUUAAAAACUAUAGAACAAGAAACUACAACUAUAAAUGAACUCUAGUAUGAACAAAUCGAACUCAUUAACGAAUAUGAACACAUUAAUAGCAAUAACCCUAACCCUAGUCGAACGUACGUGUGCGUGUGCGUGGCGGCCGUGGCCGUGGGUGACAAGGAGGAAAGCCGGAGAGGGAGGCGCGGACGACAAUGUAUUACUGGAUGGAGCGGAGGGUGACGGGGCGGAUCGUCGGUGAGGGCGACGGGGCGGCGAAUCGAGGGCGAGGGAGACGCGCGGUGAACGGCUAGGGCGGCGACGAGUAAGCGGUGCUGAUGGCGGCAGCGGACAGGGACGACGACUUGGGUAGCAUGGAUGAGCCAACGGCGUCCGCGACGAGAUGGGGAAGAGUGGGAGUGAGAGAGUAAAUUGGGGUAGGAGGAGAGGGGGCACGUGCGUGUACGUAGGUCGAUUGAGUUUGUCGUAUGCGACCGGUGUGCCAAGCCUCCCAACACGGCUUCUUUGGGGUGGUGGGCGGAAAACCGAUUCGAUUUGGGGCAGAAUAGACAGCUAACUUAGUUGUGGCGGGUAGGGGCCCAUACCCGCCAGAGCUAAUAUCUGUAUAAAAUUUAUUUUUCUGGCGUGCAUUGCUGGCACUAAACUGUGGCCGGCCCAAUCGAGCGUCCGCCACUUUUGCAUUCAAGAACAAUGGCGGCCGAGGCUAACACCCGCCACUGAUCGCAUUCAUCAGGUGGCCAUACUCAGUGGUGCUUACUUGUGGCGGGUGGUGUUCUCCACCCGCCACUGCUACGCAUGUAACUCUGGAGGUCAUGUUGUGGCACCUGCCACUGGUACUUUUGCUAACUAGCAGUGGCAGGUGCUAUGUCCCGCCCGCCAAUCUUUCGAAUUCACCUAUAAGCCCUUUCCCAGUAGAGUAAUAAAGGACUUCUUGACAAGUCCGUGUAGAUUAAAGGUAUGUUAGUAGAUGGUGUAAUAAAUACAUGCUUUAGUGAUCUAAGGAUACAAAUAUGCCACUAUUUAUUUUGUAAAAGGUCGAAAUCAUUCUUAGAAAUCUUAGUAACAACAGUUCUCAUGAACAACUUUGACAAAAUGCAUCAAAUGUUACAAAUAAUACAUACAAACUUAGUUCAAUAAAUUAAUCAAUUGAAGUGAGAACAAACCUAAAUGUACUUAGAGUAAAUCAAUUAAUACGUGUAAAGCCAAUACUAAUCCAAUAUUUAUUAAUAAAUUUGCAUAGAAUUACAACCCUUUGACAUAGAAAGGGAAUAUGAUGAGUCAUGUAUAGAUAACUUGCACAACAUUCCUACCCUUGGCAUAAAAGGAGAAAUUGAUGAGUCAUGUAUUGAUAAUGUGCACAACAUCACUACCCUUGACAUAAAAGGAGAAUUUGAUGAGUCAUGUGUUGAUAACGUGUACAACAUUACUAUCAGUAUGUUCAACUUACCAUCAUAUUAUACAACACUACAAGUUAGUUUUAAAAAGAACAAGAGUCCAGAACGAAGAUCAGAAUACUUGCUUGAUCUAUCUUAACAACAUGCACUAGGACAAAAAUUUAGUCCCACGCAAGCUAUGAAGAUUUGUUUUAUGUAUAACUAUUUGUACAACAUGACAAACUUAGAUCCAAAAGGAAUGCAAUCCAGAUAAUUGUUUGACAUGUAAAGUGAAUAAGAUGAGUCAAUGCCAAUUAUCAAGUUUUCCUCACUCUUAGAUGAUAUGUACAAUAAAAAGACAACUUUGAUGAUCACUCUGAAAUUACGUUUGUAUGUAGUGCCACCAAACACAACAUCCCAAAUAUUAGUUUGAUAAGCAUCAAAUCACUUUUGAAAAAAGAAAGCAAUAAUGAAAAGAAACCUAACCAAGAUAGCUAUAAAAAGGCCUGCAAUAUGUAGACUCCAUACCAUCAUCCAUCCUUCACACACCUAGAGCACAAAUCAGCAAAUCCAAGUACGUAGUAGUUAACGCAAAUCGACCAUGAAGACCUUACUCAUCCUGACGAUCCUUGCGAUGGCAAUAACCAUCAGCACCGCCAAUAUGCAGGUCGACCCUAGUGGCCAAGUACAAUGGCCACAACAACAACUAGUCCCCCAACCCCAACAGCCAUUAUCCCAGCAACCGCAACAAGCAUUUCCCCAACCCCAACAAACAUUUCCCCAUCAACCACAACAACAAGUUCCCCAGCCUCAGCAACCACAACAACCAUUUCUCCAGCCCCAACAAGCAUUCCCCCAACAACCACAACAACCAUUCCCUCAGACUCAACAACCACAACAACCAUUUCCCCAGCAACCACAACAACCAUUUCCCCAGCAAUCACAACAACCAUUCCCCCAGACUCAACAACCACAACAACCAUUUCCCCAGCAACCACAACAACCAUUCCCCCAGACUCAACAACCACAACAACCAUUUCCCCAGUUCCAGCAACCACACCAACCUUUUCCCCAGCCCCAACAACAAUUCCCGCAGCCCCAACAACCGCAACAAUCAUUCCCCCAGCAACAACGACCGUUCAUUCAGCCAUCUCUACAACAACGUUUGAACCCAUGCAAGAAUAUCCUCUUGCAACAAUGCAAACCUGCGUCAUUGGUGUCAUCCCUCUGGUCGAUAAUCUGGCCACAAAGCGAUUGCCAAGUGAUGCAGCAACAAUGCUGCCAAGAACUAGCACAGAUUCCUCAGCAGCUCCAGUGCGCAGCCAUCCAUAGCGUCGUGCAUUCCAUCAUCGUGCAGCAGCAGCAACAACAACAACAACAACAACAACAACAACAAGGCAUGCAUAUCCUGCUGCCACUAUCUCAACAACAACAGUUGGGUCAAGGUACUCUCGUCCAAGGCCAGGGCAUCAUCCAACCUCAGCAACUAGCUCAAUUGGAGGCGAUCAGGUCAUUGGUGUUGCAAACUCUUCCAACCAUGUGCAACGUGUAUGUCCCACCUGAGUGCUCCAUCAUCAGGGCACCAUUUGCCAGCAUCAGGGCAUCAUCAGGGCACCAUUUGCCAGCAUAGUCGCGGGGAUUGGUGGCCAAUGAAAAAAGCAAGAUCUAUACUAAUAGAUAGAUGGAUCAUCGUUACUUAGCAGAUGCACCAAUCGAUGUAACGAUGACAAAUAAAGUGGCGUGCACCAUCAUGUGUGACCCCGACCAGUGCUAGUUCAAGCUUGGGAAUAAAAGACAAACAGAGUUCUUGUUUGCCAGCAUUGCUUGUCAUUGUUCCAUUCACCAUGUAUUUAGAUGUUCAUCCCUAACCGCAGUUCUAGGCUUACACAUCAACAGCUAGUUGCUUGUGCCGGCAGGUUCCUAUGUAAUCUACCGAUUAAUGGUUGACCUAUUAAUCCAGUUUAUAGGCCGAUUGAUCUAUUAAUUGCUGCUCCCAAACUGACCGACCAGCUAUCAGUUACCAUUUUGCUGAACAUUGCACACAGUAAUAACUCAACGUAUUUUAAUGUCUAGAAGUAAAAGGGCCAUUUUAGCAGCAAAACAAGCGCCUGAUUAGGAACCAUCCAUCACUUUAAAUGUUCACCAAGAUAUUUUUGCGUUGGUGCAAUUUUGAGAUUGGUGGCACCGAAACAUUCCUCAAAGCAAUUCUUUAUGGGACUCCAAAGAGGUGAAAAUAAAGUAAAGUUGCCACAUGGUAAAAUAUAAAUCAUGCGGCGAGCAAGAGAAAAUAUUGAGUUACGAUAGCAAGCGCCAAACAUGCCAUUAAACUCUUCAUAUGGUUUCGUGCAGAGAGGGGGGAUUUAGAGAUGACAAACAAAGCUUAAGUAGCAUCGGUUCUGAUUGUAGAAAUUUCUUUUACCUAUAGAAUAACUCGGUUGUUAUUUCUUUAACAAUGUAGUGUGAUAUUAACUUAUCUCAAUCUAGGAACACAAAGCAAAUAUUACAUGUGCUUCUAUGGAUUCCAAGCAGAUGAGAAAUCAUAUUGUGUAGAAGUUCAUUAGAAGGAUAUAAUAGUUUUGACCUAAACAAAUUUACUAUUGUACUCGUGUCUUAGAAAAUUAAAGCUGAAAAUCAACAUAACCAUUGGACACUUCGAAAGACAAGUGUGGGAAAUAAAUAGUAGGAUGUAAAUUUGAGUAGAGUGUUUGAUCAAAUAUUGAACAAAUAACCCACAAACUACUAAAACUCAUCUAUUAAUUCUACCAUAUAUGAACUGUCACAAUGAUAAAGCUAUGAUUUUUUUGACAAAUAUGUAUCCUAGAACUAAUACAAGUUCAAACAAAUCAGCCACAGAUCCCCGAGCCCAUCCAACCAGAUAGCUGAAACUGAAAGAAGCAUUAGCUUGAUUAGAGCACCUACAGCCUAACUUGACAAAUUUGACCCCAGAAACGCUCGCGGACGCGCCCGGUAGUAACCGGUCACGCCUAAAAUAUUUCAUUCUACAACCAGAUACCUCAAAUUAGAAACCUCAAAUCCAUAUUAUUACAUGCAACAUAAAUCGAUCUUUAAGCAGAGCACGUCCGGUGAUCGAAUGCUCUCCGGAGUGUUGGUCCAGUCACCGGCAAGUUAGAGUAGGGCAUGGGAUACGAGGCGGGUCACGGGACUCGAGGCGCCACCGUCCCCCAUUCCCAACUCUUCUCCAUCGGAACCAGGACGGUGCCGGUGGACGUCAGAUCGAUGAUGGAUCCUUCCUGGGAUGAGCCAUCAACAUCGACCACCACGUGGUUGCGGUGCCCGGACUAGUGCACAAUAUGGGGAGCCGAAAAAUACGACUUUGCCUUCGCAACGACCACCACCGCGAGGGCUGUCGCCGCCUCCCGCACCCGCUGCCUUGCAUGGCAGGAGCGCCGAACUAUGUUUUGCGUCGGGCGGUGCCCAUGGUGUGUCCAUGGCCUCAGCACGCCAAUGGAGGGGCUGUGCGUCUGCCACCCAUUUGAACGCUAGAUGGACCGCACCACCUCUGGUGAGGCAGUGAUGGUACACCUAGCGCCGGAUCCAUGCAUCAUUUGGGCGGACGCAUUGGAUUCCCCGCGGAAGGAGUUCGAGCAUUGCCGUUGCCAUCGGGCAGCCUCCUCCUGAGACCGGCGGAGCGCAAGCUCGAUUGCCAUCUCCUCCUAGGAGCCGCGUGGGAUGAGUUCGGGGUCGACGGAUCUGGAGGUAUAACACUGGGAUCCGCCGCCUGCCAUGCCGAAGAAGGCCAUAAGAUCGUCGGACGGGGGCGGCAGGGAGUGAAGUGAAGUGGCUAGGGUUUGGUCCGGCAAGCGGAUGGGGAGGAAUAUAUGUGGGGUCGGGUGGGCCAGCGUGGAUCGGGACCGACAUGGCGGACGCGCGUGGGCGCCCCAUAUUCUUCCCAGAUUUCGGCUGGAUAUGAGGGGUGUUGGUCAGCUUGGGCGUUGAGGCCCGUCUAGGUCAUUUUUCUGUGACCUGGCCGUCCGCCGGGGUGUUUGAAGUGGGUUUGGGACACCCGGGUGUAAAUGCUCUUAGACCAUGUAGUACCUUGAGGAGGAUGGUGUGGGUCCAUGAAAGAACUACAGCCUUUCCAUUAUGUUCGGGCGCAGGGCGAUAACGAAGUUAUCUUUACUCCUACAAGGGGAGUUGUUAGUCUCCGUUCCAUGGGUUUUUUUGUCUCACCUCCCAUCUUCGUUUCAUUUUUUCCGUCUCUCUUUCACACCGUCGGGUGGAGCUUAUGUGUCAUACUCCGUGACCUUUCAUUAGUUUUCUAGAGAGAAUCCUACUCUCAUAGAUUGCGACGUUUAACAAUCAGACUCAUAUAGGUGUGUUCUUCAAAAGAUGUUCUGCAGGACAACAUCUCUCCUUCAAAAAGCCACUUAGAACACAUUAAGAUAUACAUCAACCUACCAUGCAGAUUAGGAGAGUAUUGCAUCUUCAUGGAGUGGUAUUUUAACAAUAAGGAUACACUACUAGGGAAAAGGCUAGCAGCAGCGCGGGUUUUUGGUGUAUCAGUAGCGCGGGGUGGGGCGCUACUAAUAAGGCGCUACAGCUAACAUAUAGCAGUAGCGCGUGGUCACCGGCGCUACUGCUACACAAGUGUAGCAGCAGCGCGGUUACUGGGAGCACGCUACUGCUAGUAGCUCUAGCGCCCUUUGCAGCAACGCGCUACUGCUAUAGAGGCGCUGCUGCUAACUUCUAUACACUCGCUACUGCUAAUUUAACAGGUUUUUUGUUUUUUUGGGCAUAUUUGUUUUGUAUUUGAACAGGCUUUAUAGAAGAAUCUUUAGCACAUAGAAAUGUCAUCAUGAUACACAUACAAAUGCCUGCGAGACCACGAAUAUAAUCAUAGCAUAUACAUACAAAUAGUCUCAUCAUAAUCAUCAUCCAACACAAAGUGGUCUCUCGUCAUCAUCUCGAAAAUAGCGAUACAAGUCCUUGAUUACUUGCAAAUACAUUGUCAUCCAUCUAAACAAUGGUAUACGCGAGAAGAGCUAUCACUUUGAGAACAUGAGUUCGUAUCCCUCUCUCGCAUUAGCGUGAACCUAAACUAACUACUGCCUGUCGCUCGGAAACCGGAAACCGGCAACACCUGGGUCUGACACUCCGGUCACUCAUCGUAUAUAUACUCCUGGCGUAGCACUUCUUCGCCAUCGAUGAUCUAUGCACCUGCAUCAUCACAUGAGUAGAUGAUAUGCAACAUAUAUAGUUGAGCAACAGAAAGAGACAGACUUGACAAAAAUAGAAACAACGUAUCAUAAGCAUAAAUAACAAAGUUCAUCAUAACCAAAAUGCCCUAACUAGAGUGAUCUUCGCUAGUCGAGGAGGAGGACGGUUUAAUUACAUCACAAAUAAAGUUUUACUGCGCAUAACUCAAAGUUUUGUCAUACAGAAAGUAUGGAGUAAACAGACACAUUGUCAUAUAUUGACAAUCACUCCAACAUGCCGUGCCAUCCAUCGAGGUCAGGGAGAUAGUCCCCGAGCUUAGUGAAAGGCUUCAUGUCGAGACGCUGAGAGGCUAUCCAUGUUCGGACGUCUUCCCACAACAUUUUUCCUCCGUAGAACAUCCCUGUUUUUCCGACGACCUCUUUCAUGAUGAUUUGGGCAAGUUCGCGUUGGAUGUUAUAGAACUCAGCUCGAAGUCGAUGAUCCUCGAUAUCUCCUAUGUCCUUUGCCCAUUGCAGAAUAUGGGCAUCGCCAGAUCUAGGUGACAUGUGAAGGUUCUGGUGAUCCCGUUUGUACUCCCGCAUGUGGUGUAGGACAUAGAAUCCACCAUUAAGAGAAUCGUUCGGUUGUUGGAUGCAGCAGAAGUCGGUCUUAUGGCUGAAGGCGGCCCUGCCGCCCCUUCUCUUCUUGUCCCUAACCUCUCCACCCCUUGCUUGGUAGUAAAACAUAGCACUGUCGAGAACAUCUUUGAUGUGGGUGUAAUCCUUUUUGUGAAUGUUAUUCGAUGAGUCCAAGUAAAGAGCAUGGGAGAAUCGGGGGUAGAGGAUGAUGAGGACGGCGCGCCCGCCGCUGCGCAAAAUAAGUACACCUCAAAUUAAUUAGCCUUCACCGUGCAAAUGAAUUAUUGAAAUCGAAGGAAGGAUAGCAGCGCGGAUGACUUACACGGGAUGAUAAGGCACGAGAAUCGCCUCCUUGUCCUUAUUGGCGAGCAUGAAACUAACGAUGUAAUUCCUCGCGUAUUCACGCUGCUCUGCACAGACUCCCAAGAAGCUCUCGUGCAUGUAGUACGGGUCAGUGACACAGAUAUGACGUAUCUGCUCAACCCCAAUGAUGUAGUUCAUGUGCAAGGCAUAAAGGCGGACAAAUGUAAAAUCCAGCUUCUUCACGUGAAACAUGUCGAAUAUGUAAUCGAAUCGGAGGAAGAACUUAUCCGCAGCGAAGCUGUCGACGUAUGACAUUUUCCGCGGAACGUUAUCCACGUAGAGUGGGUAUCCUGGAUCUUUCGAGGCAAUGAGGCAUUUCUCUACCCGUAGCACAUCAUCAUGAAGUCUCCUUAGAUCGCCGAAUCUGGCCCGUAGCGCUGUUGCAGGUAGGAUUGGUUGACCGGGGAUAUGCCAUUUAUCCGCAUCGGGGAUAUCUAGACGGUCCUGAAGCUGAGGCUGCUGAGGCGGCUGGAUCAUAGAAUCAACUUUUUUUCCUUUCCUCGCUCUCUUCCUAGACUUCUUUACUACCGGAAAGUCGUCAAUAACACAUUGAGACGGUAAUUCAGGCACCGACUCAUGAUGCUCAAACCCUGAGGAGGCGCCAGUAUAGACAUACUGUUCAGCGCCAUCGUCAUCCUCAUCCUCAUCCAUGGCGACGUCAUCAGCGACUAAUGGAGCCUCCUCCUUACCCCGUCCGCUAUCACCCAACCCGACACCCAACGCUAAUUGGGUAGGUGGGGUGUUGAUGUUCAUACCUUGCUGAGACUGCGUGCUCGUGGGUGUGCUCCCGGCCGCCUCCAGACGAAGCAGACUCUUUGGCCACAACAGGACCUACCCAUUGCAACAAUCACCAAGCCGCUGCGGUGUCUCCUCGUCAUCCACCAAUAGUGUUGGAGGAGGCAAAUUCUCGUGGCCCGGUUCGACACUGGCCAUGGAAACCUUGAAGACGUUUGGGGGAAUCGGCCGGCUGUGGAACAAUGGUUCCUUCGGCUUCAUUAUCGUCGCCUUCCCCAUGGCCACCUUCUGGUCCCCGAUGGUGUACAAUAUGGUGCGCGGGGUUUCGUCGGCCUGCAAAGAGAAGUCUGCGACGUGAGACAUUCGAAAGGCAACGAAAACGGGAGAUUAUACAUUUAUAUUGAAGGGGGCCGGUGUGACAGAUACCGUGAGGGCGUCGAGCUCAGCCAAAGACAAAGCACCGCCGAGCACGUCCGGUGCGGGAGCCGGUGCGGGAGCAGGUGCUCCCAAGAAGUCAGCAAGGGGAAAGUCCUCUGCAUUUUUUUCUGGAUUUUUCCUUGUCCAAGUGAUAACGCCCGUCACCAAGGAAGUAGACAAAUCUGCAACCGCCUGUUUUGCGGCAGCUACCGCUGUUGCGACUGUCUGAGAUGAUUUCUUCUCAACCGCAAUCUCAACCUUCUUGUCGAUGUUUUUUUCAGUUAACCUCCGUCUUUCCUUUCUCUCCUCUGUGGUCUCCCGGUAGUACUUCUUCCACGUGGCGCCGUCUCCGACACCGUGCACGCGUCCAUACGAUGGUCGAGUAUCCAUCGGUUGUCGUUUCAAUAUGUUCAACGUCCGGUUGAAUGGAGUGUCCCACUUGGGCCUCGCCAAUGCCUCAGACGGCGAGUCGUUUUCGACCGCAAUCCGGUGCUGCUCUCUCUGCAAAAGGCACAAGGAUCGUUUACAAAUAUGACUAACGUGUGCAGUCGAAUUGAUCAGAAACUAAAAUUACCAGCAGUCUCAUGAACUCCGUAAUGACCGGUGUUGUCUCAUAAACCUUCUUCACUGGGUCCCAACGGUGCCGAGCCCUCAGGACGUCACGCUCCUGCGGGACAGUGAAAUCCGCCAAGGGGUCUGGGAUGCCCAGACUCGCGGCUUCCGCGUCCUCCUUGGCCCAUUUGGACCUCUUUCCGCCGUAACCACGCUUCCGAGGUGGUGGCUCCCAAUGUUCCUCUUUUGAAGCCCCUUCAUGUACUUAGACUUUUUUUGGCAGCUUCGGCCUCGCAAGCCUCCUUGAAUAUUUGAAACUGCUCUUCCGUGAUUGUCAGAUUAUCCUUUACAAUCUCGGAGUAGGGUUCCCCGUCGUUGAUCUUUGCUUUCACUCAAUUUUUCCAGGCGGCCAACGCGUCGCUAAACUUGGUCAUGGCGUGUUUGUUUAUCUUCUUCAUUGCGGGGUCCUCGUCUGGAUCUUCAUAAUCCUUCUCAUUCCGGCCCGGGAACAAGAAUAUCUGGUGAAACUUCUUUAGAAGGGAGCUCCUCAUAUUUUCUAUCUUCUAUAGUUUCUCAUCAUUGAUGGUGGCGGUUGUCCGUAUGAUGCAGCCUAUUUGAUUGCCGUAGCACGCGCGCGCUUCCUCGGGCGCCUUUGGCUCAAAAUUGCCGUCGUCCACCUCUGUGACCACCAGUCUAGUAGUCCUGAGUUUGUUAGGAACCCGUUGCUUCUUUGCGUUCGGUUCUACACCAGCUCCGCUCCCCGAGACAGCACCGGUCUCAGCGCCGCUCUCGAUGCCGGUCUGAAUCUCAGCGCCGGUCUCAGUCUCAGCACCGGUCUGCGUGUCGGUCUCAGUCCCCGAUGCCACUGGUGGGCCCAGCAACAACAUCGGUUGAUCGUCGGUAAGGCUAAAAUAUUCAUCUGCCACCAGGUAGACGUCGUCGCAAUCACCAGAACCCUGUCCUUCAUCGUUGCUAGCCAUGUUUCCUAUCAUUAAAUCUAGUCAAUUAAUUCUAGACCUAAUAAAAUGAAUAAUGACAUAAAAAAGGACUAUUGUUUUGCAGGAAUGUUGACUCCUUCCUGGUGCGGAAAAUCCCGGCACUCGAUAUGUCCUAGUUUGUAGCACAAGUCAUGCCGAAAUUCACGGAAAAUUUUGGCAUGGCCUUUGCUAAAAAGUGGACAAAUCGAGAACCUGAAAUUUGUCGGAACAGAAAUGAAUCAACAUUCCGGCAAAACAUAGGCCACUCAGCAUCAUUCCCUGGAAACAACAAAGCCACUUGGGCACAAUCGAACAACUUCAAUGAAAAGAUAUAACAUGAGCAAACACUAUUGAGGAAUUUGCAUAUAACAUGGCCACUUCAAUGAAAAGAUAUAAUCAACAAUAACGGAAUAUGCAAAUGAACAUCAAUGACAUAUAGCUACUGUUCUGUUUGACCAAGUUUUUGAAAAGAAAAACAAUUCUGUUUUUUGUUUAUAGCUAAAUGCCAUAGCUACUAUUUUUUAUUUAUAGCUAAAUACUUUUGUUUUUUGUCUAAAGCUAAAAGUCUAGGAACUACAUUUUCUCUAACCCUUUUGACCUCACCAGAAUUUUCACAGCAAGACCUUAGUACCUACACCCAAUUUCUUCAAAAAUAUUCAGGUCCAUAGUCCAAAUAAUUCAAAUUUCAUUUGAAUGAAAUUUGGAACAAAUUCAGGUCCGUAGUCAAAAUAUUUUUUUAUAGCUAAGUGUUUUUUGUUUAUACCCUCUGUUAAUUUAAAUCUAAAUGCUACUAUUAUUUAUAUACCCUCUAUUAGUUUAAAGCUAAAUGGAAUUACUGUUUAGGAAUUUUCAUAAAAAUUGCCCUAGCUAAUUUCCUAAAAAAAUUGCAAAUCAUUUUUCCUAAAUGCUAUAAAAUGCCUACUGCCCUAAAAAAAUCUAGGGUUCAUAUGAACACCUAGGGUUCAUAUGAACAUCAACACAGUAUCAACAUAUAUAUAUAUAAUUGCCCUAGCAGAGAGAAAUAGGAGGGUAGGGACAGGAGAGGCAUAGCCUUACGGUCGGCGUUGAGGGCAGGCUCUGGCUCGGGCAGCGGCGGUGAGGUCAAGGGCGGCGGCGGCGAGCUCGAGGGAGGCGACAGUGAGGUCGACGGUGACAGCCUCGGGUGGCGGCUGUGAGGUCGAGGGGGCGGCCUCGGGCGGCGGCCUCGGGCGGCGGCAGUGUGGUCAAAGGCGGCGGGCGGCGGCGGUGUGGUCGAAGGCGGCCUCCGGCGGUGGCGGUGUGGUCGAAGGCGCGCGGCAGGGCAACGGCGGCGAUGAAGCAGUUGGGGGACAGGGGGGAGUAGAGAGGGGGGAAAGGACUUAGCAAAAUUUUGAGCCAGGGCCGCCGGGAUUUGAGUCAAACUAGCAGCAGCGCGUUUUGACGAAACGCGCUAUAGCUAAGAUAGCUAUAGCGUGUUCCAGAGAAAUGCGCUACAGCUAACCCUUUCUGUUUUCUUUCUCUUUUUAUUUUGUUUUCUUUACAUUUUCUUUUUUUCAUUUCUCCUUUUUCUAUUUCUUUCAUUUUCAUUUACUUUUCUACUUAAUUUUCUAUUUAUUUUCCUUUACAUAGCAGUAGCGCUGUAAAGAAGAAACGCGCUGCUACAAUGUUUUUAACAGUAGCGUGCUUCUGGGAGAAGCGCUGCUACUAUUCCUAGCCUACCGGCACCAGUGAGAGAAUUUUAGUAGUAGCGCUUUUUUGUGGAGAAGCGCUACUACUAAAAUAAUGAUUGUAGCGUGGUUUUGCAACAAGCGCUACUACUAAGUAGCGCUAGCGCCGAGUUUUGACCAACGCUACUGCUAUACCUCUGUGUAUAGCAUUUUCCCUAGUAGUGAUACUCUCCUCUCAGUUGACCAACAGCUUGUCUUCCACAUCUAAUUCACGGGAUCUCCGAUCACAAAGAAUGGGUUACCACUGUGGACACCUCAUAUUGUGGGUCUCAUUCCCAUCUCCAUCGAUGCAUUAUCUAUCACAUUACGUGAUAGACCCUUAGUAAAAGGAUCUGCCAGAUUUUUAGACGUUUGGAUAUAAUCCAAUGCAAUAACUCUCGAGUUUUUCAUUUUUCUGACAGACUUUAACCUUCUCUGAACGUGUCUUGAUGACUUCAUGUUAUCCUUUGAGCUGCUCACUUUAGUGAUCACAGUUUGAUUGUCACAGUUCAUCCGGAUACCCGGUACAGGUUUCUCAACUACCGGUAAGUCAUUCAAGAGCCGACGAAGCCAAUCUGCUUCGACCGUAGUUGUAUCUAGUGCUGUGAGUUCUGCUUCCAUUGUUGACCUCGUUAAAAUGGUCUGCUUGCAAGACUUCCAAGAAACAGCGCCACCUCCAUGAGUGAAUACAUAACCGCUCGUGGCCUUUAUCUCAUCAACAUCUGAGAUCCAGUCUGAGUCAAUAUACCCUUCAAGCACCUUUGGAUGCCUAGUGUAGUGAAUUCCAUAAUUUGCAGUGCUUUCAAAUAACGCAAAACUCUCUCUAGAGCUUUCCAAUGCACAUCUCCUGGUUUUGAGACAAACCGGCUCAGUUAGCUAACAGCAAAAGAGAUGUCAGGUCUCGUAGCACUGGCUAAGUACAUAAGCGAGCCAAUAAUGUGUGAAUAUUCCAAUUGGUCUCUAGCAAUUCUUCGAUUCUUUCGAAGCAACACACUAGCAUCAUAUGGUCUUGGAGAGGGCUUGCAGUCACUGUAGCCAAAGCGACUCAAGAUCUUUUCCCCAUAGUGAGACGGAAGCAAUGUAAUCCCACCAUCAUCAUCUCUCAACAACUUGAUGUUCAGAAUGACGUCAGCCACUCCUAAAUCCUUCUUCUCAAAACAGCGAGAUAGGAAAUCCUUGACCUCCUUAAGAACAUUUAGAUUUGUUCCGAAAAUCAGUAUGUCAUCAACAUACAAGCAAAGCAUAACUCCCUCGCCCCCACCAUGGCGAUAGUACACACAUUUGUUAGCUUCGUUCACAACAAAGCCUGCAGCUGUUAAAGUUCUUUCGAACUUCUCAUGCCACUGUUUGGGUGCUUGCUUGAGUCCAUACAAAGACUUCAGCAACUUGCACACUUUCCCUUCCUAACCAUCUAUUACAAACCCAUCUGGUUGUUCCAUAUAAAUUUCCUCAUCCAACUCUCCAUUUAGGAAAGCAGUCUUAACAUCCAUUUGAUGAACGAGAAGACCAUGUGAGGCAGCUAGUGAAAGUUUAACUCGAAUAGUGGUCAGUCGAGCCACAGGUGAGUAAGUAUCAAAGAAGUCUUCACCUUCCUUUUAGGUAUAACCCUUUGCCACGAGCUGAGCCUUGUACUUUUCAAUAGUACCAUCAGGCCUAAGUUUCUUCUUGAAUACCCAUUUGCAUCCUAUAGGUUUGCACCAUAAGGACGAUCAGUUAUCUCCCAAGUUUCAUCCGCCAAGAUGGAAUCCAUCUCGCUACGAACCGCUUCCUUCCAGUAGUCAGCAUCUUCCGAUGCAUAGGCCUCCAAAAUAGAACUGGGAGUGUCAUCUAUGAGAUACACAAGAAAAUCAUCACCCAAGGACUUUGCUGUCCUCUGUCUCUUACUCCUAGUAGGAACUUCAUUGUUCUCCUCCACAGGCCUUUCAAAGUGUUCCAUCGAAAUGGCAGGUUCAGUAAUUGUAACUGGUUCCUGAUUCGAUGAACUAGGCAUCUCCUGAUUAGAUGAGGUAGCCAUAUCCUUCAUGGGAAAGAUAUCUUCAAAGAAAGUCGCAUCAUUCGACUCCAUGAUCGUACUGACAUGCAUGUCAGAUACCUCAGAUUUUACAACCAAGAAUAUAUAGCCAAUGCUAUGAAAAGCAUAUCCCAGGAAAACACAAUCCACAGUCUUUGGUCCAAGCUUCCGCUUCUUUGGAAUUGGAACAUUGACUUUCGCCAAGCAACCCCAUGUUCGCAGAUAAGAGAGUCUUAACCUUUUCUUCUCCCAUUCCUCGAAUGGAGUUAUCUCUUUGUUCUUUGUGGGAACUCGAUUUAGGACAUGACAUGCUGUCAAUAUCGUCUCCCCCCACCAUGCCUUGGAGAGACCCGAUGUGCAUAACAUGGCGUUAACGAAAUCAGUUAGAGUACGGUUCUUUCUUUCGGCCACCCCAUUUGACUGAGGUGAGUAGGGAGGCGUCCUCUCAUGGAUUAUACCAUGUUCCGCACAAAAAGCAUCAAAUUCAUUGGAAAAAUACUCUCCACCACGGUCAGACCUAAGCCUCUUGAUUUUUCGAUCAAGUUGGUUUUCCACUUCAGCUUUAUAGAUCUUGAAAAAGUUCAAAGCCUCAUCCUUAGAUUUCAGAAGAUACACAUGGCAGUAUCUAGUGGAGUCGUCAAUUAACGUCAUGAAAUAUUUCUUUCCACCUUUUGUCAAAACACCAUUCAUUUCACAUAGAUCUGAAUGUAUAAGUUCUAGUGGUGCAAGAUUUCUCGUCUCCGCAGUCACGUGAGACUUACGAGGUUGCUUAGCUUGCACACACACUUGACACUUAGAUCCUUGACAGUGGUGAAACUAGGGAUUAAGUUCAACUUCGCUAGUCGCGACAUGCAACCAAAGUUAACAUGACAAAGACGUGAAUGCCACACAUUUGAUUCACUAUUGUUGCAAAUAUGAUUAACAACUUUAUUGCAAAUGUCUGAUAAGGAUAAACGAAACAGGCCUCCUGACUCAUAGCCUUUACCAACAAAGGUCCCAUACUUGGAUAUUACAAAUUUAUUCGACUCAAAGACAAGCUUAUAGCCAUCUCUACACAGAAGAGAUCCGCUAACAAGAUUUUUAUUGACGGAGGGGACAUAAUGCACGUUCUUCAGCCGCACGAUCUUCCCUGAAGUAAACUUCAGAUCAACCAUGCCAACACCACGAACAGAAGCACUUGAACUGUUGCCCAUCAGCACGGUUGAAGUCCCUGCGGUCUGAUAAGAUGAAAACAUGGAAAUAUCACCGUAUACAUGCACAUUAGCACCCAUGUCAAUCAACCAACCAGGAGAAUGACAUACUGAAAGAAUAGUGGGAAAUAUACCAUACCCAACAUCUUUCAUGUCAAUGUCUCCGAUGACAACAUUAGCGGUCUUGCCGCCUUUCCCAGGAUGACGCUUGUCAUAGCGAUUAGGACAACUAGGAGCCCAAUGAUCAGGAUCUCCAAACACAUGACAAGCACCUUUCUUAUUGUCAUUCUUCUUCUUGAAGUUCAUGUGCUGCACAGCCUUGUUCUUCCCAUCGAACUUUGCUUUACCAUCAAACUUGCCCUUGUUCUUGAACUUGUGGGACUGGAAGUUCUUCUUCUGUACCAGAUUGGCACUAGAUCCUCCCUCAAUACCUCGAGCACAUGUGUCCUUUGCUCUCGCCUUUUCUUCCACAUAAGAGUACCAAUGAGAUCCGGGAUGGAAAACUCCUGUCUCUUAUGCUUCAGUGAGGUAGCAAAGUUCCUCCAUGAAGGAGGAAGCUUAGUGAUGAUACCCCCGGCAACAAACUUGUCCGGUAAGAUACAAUUGAAGUGCUCAAGUUCUCUAGCAAAAGACUGUAUCUCAUGAGCCUGCUCAACCACGGAGCGCUCUUCAGUCAUCCUGUAAUCAUAGAAUUAUUCCAUGAUGUACAGCUCAGUGCCGGCAUCCGAGACCCCAAACUUGGCCUCGAGUGUGUCCCACAUAUCUUUUCAUUGUCAAUUGACGCAUAAGCAUCAACUAUGUUCUCACCAAGAACACUCAAAAGAGCAGCCUUAAACAAGGUAUCCAUUUUCUGGAAAGCUUGUGCCUGUUGGGCAUCUUGCUCUCCUUCGGGUUUGCCAAGAGUGGCAUCAUAGAAACUCAUGGUUUGAAACCAUAAGACUGCUCUCACACGCCACUUCUUAUAGUGGAUACCCUCAAACAUAGGAGGUCUCAUGGAAGCAGCAAAAUCACUCGGGGUAAAUUGCCUAUAAUAAGGUUUUUGGAUUGUUGGAAAUAUGAGCAAUUUACCGAAUGAUUUUAUUAACAAAAAUACUAGAUAAAGCAUGACUAAAAUAGCAAAUAUAAAGCAAGUCAUGCAGUCUGACAGAGAGAAGGUAAACAUCGUCUGCAUAUAUGAACUUGAGCUAAACACAGCUAGAACAGACACUAGAUGAAGUUGCUUAUACGAAACAGAACCUAACAUACGUAGGGCAGAAACUAGAGCCAAGAACUAUAGCAGGACUUCUAACAGAAAGGAGAAGAACACGUACGGCACAGCAGCAGCAGAAGCGCUGGACUUGGGGUUGGUGUCCUUGCCUGCCAUGUCAUCGAGGAGGUCAUGGACGUCAGGGAAGAAGUCGUCGUCGGGGAAGUAGUCGUUGGCGACCGGAUCGUCUGUGAUGAAGCAGCCAGUAGUCGCACUAAGUGCUCCCCAAAAACCUUAUCACCCUUCUCCCGUACAGGACUCAAAAGGUGCGGUCGCGAAAGCCUACUGUCCCGACGUGCGGUGCACGCCACAAGUCGGGAUGAGGAAGACAGCAGCAGCUCAGAGAUGGAACCGAUGGCGAGGGAAGGAGCAGUUCUGGUGCGUCUCUCUGAGAGGAGCGACCUCCCUUUUAUAGGCGCAAGAGAAGGAGGCGAGAGGCUGCGCCGGGAGCUGAAGGGAAUGCGGGAGACGAAACAAACAGGCAGCAGCCGAAGGGGCGCGCCGUUCGGAUUCAGUGUCCAGGCACAGAAAAAAAAUGUUUCAGCUUCCGAGUGACCUUUCGUAUACCCGUAGUGCGUGGCAAAAAUUUAGACAUCGGCUCGGCUCAUUCCCGCAACCCGCGGCGCGGCGCAUCGUGAUGAGGCGUGGUGAGGCGGGCGGCGGAGGAGGAGCACGCGUGGAUGUCCCUCUUGUUCUCAUGCUCAUACAAGUGGGGAAGGAGCCUCCCUUAUAAAGAGGUCCAACUCCCUCUAAACUAGCAAGGUGGGACUAAACUUUAGUUCCACCUCUUGCCUUGCACGAAUGGGCUGCGUGGGCCUCUAGGAUUUAUUAGGAAUUUCUAAAAUUGCUAUUGGGCUAGGCCCAAAUAGACAAAAAUUCCAGCAAUCCCCCACCAGAUCCCAGAGGCACACAAAAUUUGCCUUUGGUUCCAAAACACUGUUUUAUAUACUGGUACAGCAGUGGAGACUGUUAAGUUGAACUUCCACCUAGAACCCUAUGCUACACUAGUAAGCAACUUGAACAGUGGACUGGGCCUUGAACUGCAAGUUUUCUGCAAAUCUAGCUUCACAUAAGGCCUUGACCGAUACGUGGCUACCGUGGGUCUUCCCCGUGGGUGGAGCUUAUGCGUCAUACUCCGUGACCUUUCAUUAGUUUACUAGAGAGAACCCUACUCUCAUAGAUUGCGACGUUUAACAAUCAGACUCAUAUAGGUGCGUUCUUCAAAAGAUGUUCUGCAGGACAACAUCUCUGCUUCAAAAAGCCACUUAGAACACAUUAAGAUAUAAAUCAACCUGCCAUGCAGAUUAGGAGAGUAUUGCAUCUUCAUGGAGUGGUAUUUUAACAGUAUGGAUACUCUCCUCUCAGUUGACCAACAACUUGUCUUCCACAUCUAAUUCACGGGAUCUCCGAUCAUAAAGAAUAGGUUACCACUAUGAACAACUCAUAUUGUGGGUCUCAUUCCCAUCUCCCUCGAUGCAUUAUCUAUCACAUUACGUGAUAGACCGUUAGUAAAAGGAUCUGCCAGAUUUUUAGACGUUUGGAUAGAAUCCAAUGCAAUAACUCUGGAGUUUUUCAUUUUUCUGACAGACUUUAACCUUCUCUGAACGUGUCUUGAUGACUUCAUGUUAUCCUUUGAGUUGCUCACUUUAGUGAUCACAGUUUGAUUGUCACAGUUCAUCCGGAUACCCGGUAUAGGUUUCUCAACUACCGGUAAGUCAUUCAAGAGCCGACGAAGCCAAUCUGCUUCGACCGUACCUGUAUCUAGUGUUGUGAGUUCUGCUUCCAUUGUUGACCUCGUUAAGAUGGUCUGCUUGCAAGACUUCCAAGAAACAGCGCCACCUCCAUGAGUGAAUACAUAACCGCUCGUGGCCUUUAUCUCAUCAGCAUCUGAGAUCCAGUUUGAGUCACUAUACCCUUCAAGCACCUUUGGAUGCCAAGUGUAGUGAAUUCCAUAAUUUGCAGUGCCUUUUAAAUAACGCAAAACUCUCUCUAGAGCUUUCCAAUGCACAUCUCCUGGUUUUGAGACAAACCGGCUUAGUUAGCUAACAGCAAAAGAGAUGUCAGGUCUCGUAGCACUGGCUAAGUACAUAAGCGAGCCAAUAAUCUGUGAAUAUUUCAAUUGGUCUCUAGUGAUUCUUCGAUUCUUUCGAAGCAACACACUAGCAUCAUAUGGUGUUGGAGAGGGCUUGCAGUCACUGUAGCCAAAGCGGCUCAAGAUCUUUUCCACAUAGUGAGAUUGAAGCAAUGUAAUCCCACAAUCAUCAUCUCUCAAAAACUUGAUGUUCAGAAUGACAUCAGCCACUCCUAAAUCCUUCAUCUCAAAACAGCAAGAUAGGAAAUCCUUGACCUCCUUAAGAACAUUCAGAUCUGUUCCGAAAAUCAGUAUGUCAUCAACAUACAAGCAAAGCAUAACUCCCUUGCCCCCACCAUGGCGAUAGUACACACAUUUGUCAGCUUCGUUCACAACAAAGCCUGCAGCUAUUAAAGUUCUUUCGAACUUCUCAUGCCACUGUUUGGGUGCUUGCUUGAGUCCAUACAAAGACUUCAGCAACUUGCACACUUUCCCUUCCUGGCCAUCUAUUACAAACCCCUCUGGUUGUUCCAUAUAAAUUUCCUCAUCCAAAUCUCCAUUUAGGAAAGCAGUCUUAACAUCCAUUUGAUGAACGAGAAGACCAUGUGAGGCAGCUAGUGAAAGUAGACCUCGAAUAGUGGUCAGUCGAGCCACAGGUGAGUAAGUAUCAAAGAAGUCUUCACCUUCCUUUUGGUUAUAACCCUUUGCCACGAGCCGAGCCUUGUACUUUUCAUUAGUACCAUCAGGCCUAAGUUUCUUCUUGAAUACCCAUUUGCAUCCUAUAGGUUUGCACCCAUAAGGACGAUCAGUUAUCUCCCAAGUUUCAUUCGCCAAGAUGGAAUCCAUCUCGCUACGAAUCGCUUCCUUCCAGUAGUCAGCAUCUUCCGAUGCAUAGGCAUCCGAAAUAGAACUGGGAGUGUCAUCUAUGAGAUACACAAGAAAAUCAUCACCAAAGGACUUUGCUGUCCUCUGUCUCUUGCUCCUAGUAGGAACUUCAUUGUUCUCCUCCGCAGGACUUUCAAAGUGUUCCAUCGAAAUGGCAGGUUCAGUAAUUGUAACUGGUUCCUGAUUCGAUGAACUAGGCAUCUCCUAAUUAGAUGAGGUAGCCAUAUCCUUCAUGGGAAUGAUAUCUUCAAAGAAAGUCGCAUCAUUCGACUCCAUGAUCGUACCGACAUGCAUGUCAGAUACCUCAGAUUUUACAACCAAGAAUCUAUAGCCAAUGCUGUGAAAAGCAUAUCCCAGGAAAACACAAUCCACAGUCUUUGGUCCAAGCUUCCGCUUCUUUGGAAUUGGAACAUUGACUUUCGCCAAGCAACCGCAUGUUCGCAGAUAAGAGAGUUUUAACCUUUUCUUCUCCCAUUCCUCGAAUGGAGUUAUCUCUUUGUUCUUUGUGGGGACUCGAUUUAGGACAUGACAUGCUGUCAAUAUCGCCUCCCCCCACCAUGCCUUGGAGAGACCCGAUGUGGCGUUAACCAAAUCAGUUAGAGUACGGUUCUUUCUUUCGGCCACCCCAUUUGACUGAGGUGAGUAGGGAGGCGUCCCCUCAUGGAUUAUACCAUGUUCUGCACAAAAAGCAUCAAAUUCAUUGGAAAAAUACUCUCCACCACGGUCAGACCUAAGCCUCUUGAUUUUUCGAUCAAGUUGGUUUUCCACUUCAGCUUUAUAGAUCUUGAAAAAGUUCAAAGCCUCAUCCUUACAUUUCAGAAGAUACACAUGGCAGUAUCUAGUGGAGUCAUUAAUUAACGUCAUGCAAUAUUUCUUUCCACCUUUUGUCAAAACACCAUUCAUUUCACAUAGAUCUGAAUGUAUAAGUUCUAGUGGUGCAAGAUUUCUCGUCUCCGUAGUCACGUGAGACUUACGAGGUUGCUUAGCUUGCACACACACUUGACACUUAGAUCCUUGACAGUGGUGAAACUAGGGAUUAAGUUCAACUUCGCUAGUCGCGACAUGCAACCAAAGUUAACAUGACAAAGACGUGAAUGCCACACAUUUGAUUCACUAUUGUUGCAAAUAUGAUUAACAACUUUAUUGCAAACGUCUGAUAAGGAUAAACGAAACAGGCCUCCUGACUCAUAGCCUUUACCAACAAAGGUCCCAUACUUGGAUAUUACAAAUUUAUUCGACUCAAAGACAAGCUUAUAGCCAUCUCUACACAGAAGAGAUCCGCUAACAAGAUUUUUAUUGACGGAGGGGACAUAAUGCACGUUCUUCAGCCGCACGAUCUUCCCUGAAGUAAACUUCAGAUCAACCAUGCCAACACCACGAACAGAAGCACUUGAACUGUUGCCCAUCAGCACGGUUGAAGUCCCUGCGGUCUGAUAAGAUGAAAACAUGGAAAUAUCACCGCAUACAUGCACAUUAGCACCCAUGUCAAUCAACCAACCAGGAGAAUGACAUACUGAAAGAAUAGUGGGAAAUAUACCAUACCCAGCAUCUUUCAUGUCAAUGUCUCCGAUGACAACAUUAGCGGUCUUGCCGCCUUUCCCAGGAUGACGCUUGUCAUAGCGAUUAGGACAACUAGGAGCCCAAUGAUCAGGAUCUCCAAACACAUGACAAGCACCUUUCUUAUUGUCAUUCUUCUUCUUGAAGUUCAUGUGCUGCACAGCCUUGUUCUUCCCAUCGAACUUUGCUUUACCAUCAAACUUGCCCUUGUUCUUGAACUUGUGGGACUGGAAGUUCUUCUUCUGUACCAGAUUGGCACUAGAUCCUCCCUCAAUACCUCGAGCACGUGUGUCCUUUGCUCUCGCCUUUUCUUCCACAUAAGAGUACCAAUGAGAUCCGGGAUGGAAAACUCCUGUCUCUUAUGCUUCAGUAAGGUAGCAAAGUUCCUCCAUGAAGGAGGAAGCUUAGUGAUGAUACCCCCGGCAACAAACUUGUCCGGUAAGAUACAAUUGAAGUGCUCAAGUUCUCUAGCAAAAGACUGUAUCUCAUGAGCCUGCUCAACCACGGAGCGCUCUUCAGUCAUCCUGUAAUCAUAGAAUUAUUCCAUGAUGUACAGCUCAGUGCCGGCAUCCGAGACCCCAAACUUGGCCUCGAGUGUGUCCCACAUAUCUUUUCAUUGUCAAUUGAAGCAUAAGCAUCAACUAUGUUCUCACCAAGAACACUCAAAAGAGCAGCCUUAAACAAGGUAUCCAUUUUCUGGAAAGCUUGUGCCUGUUGGGCAUCUUGCUCUCCUUCAGGUUUGCCAAGAGUGGCAUCAUAGAAACUCAUGGUUUGAAACCAUAAGACUGCUCUCACACGCCACUUCUUAUAGUGGAUACCCUCAAACAUAGGAGGUCUCAUGGAAGCAGCAAAAUCACUCGGGGUAAAUUGCCUAUAAUAAGGUUUUUGGAUUGUUGGAAAUAUGAGCAAUUUACCGAAUGAUUUUAUUAACAAAAAUACUAGAUAAAGCAUGACUAAAAUAGCAAAUAUAAAGCAAGUCAUGUAGUCUGACAGAGAGAAGGUAAACAUCGUCUGCAUAUAUGAACUUGAGCUAAACACAGCUAGAACAGACACUAGAUGAAGUUGCUUAUACGAAACAGAACCUAACAUACGUAGGGCAGAAACUAGAGCCAAGAACUAUAGCAGGACUUCUAACAGAAAGGAGAAGAACACGUACGGCACAGCAGCAGCAGAAGCGCUGGACUUGGGGUUGGUGUCCUCGCCUGCCAUGUCAUCGAGGAGGUCAUGGACGUCAGGGAAGAAGUCGUCGUCGGGGAAGUAGUCGUCGGCGACCGGAUCGUCUGUGAUGAAGCAGCCAGUAGUCGCACUAAGCGCUCCCCAAAAACCUUAUCACCCUUCUCCCGUACAGGACUCAAAAGGGGCGGUCGCGAAAGCCUACUGUCCCGACGUGCGGUGCACGCCACAAGUCGGGAUGAGGAAGACAGCAGCAGCUCAGAGAUGGAACCGAUGGCGAGGGAAGGAGCAGUUCUGGUGCGUCUCUCUGAGAGGAGCGACCUCCCUUUUAUAGGCGCAAGAGAAGGAGGCGAGAGGCUGCGCCGGGAGCUGAAGGGAAUGCGGGAGACGAAACGAACAGGCAGCAGCCGAAGGGGCGCGCCGUUCGGAUUCAGUGUCCAGGCACAGAAAAAAAAUGUUUCAGCUUCCGAGUGACCUUUCGUAUACCCGUAGUGCGUGGCAAAAAUUUAGACAUCGGCUCGGCUCAUUCCCGCAACCCGCGGCGCGGCGCAUCGUGAUGAGGCGUGGUGAGGCGGGCGGCGGAGGAGGAGCACGCGUGGAUGUCCCUCUUGUUCUCAUGCUCAUACAAGUGGGGAAGGAGCCUCCCUUAUAAAGAGGUCCAACUCCCUCUAAACUAGCAAGGUGGGACUAAACUUUAGUUCCACCUCUUGCCUUGCACGAAUGGGCUGCGUGGGCCUCUAGGAUUUAUUAGGAAUUUCUAAAAUUGCUAUUGGGCUAGGCCCAAAUAGACAAAAAUUCCAGCAAUCCCCCACCAGAUCCCAGAGGCACACAAAAUUUGCCUUUGGUUCCAAAACACUGUUUUAUAUACUGGUACAGCAGUGGAGACUGUUAAGUUGAACUUCCACCUAGAACCCUAUGCUACACUAGUAAGCAACUUGAACAGUGGACUGGGCCUUGAACUGCAAGUUUUCUGCAAAUCUAGCUUCACAUAAGGCCUUGACCGAUACGUGGCUACCGUGGGUCUUCCCCGUGGGUGGAGCUUAUGCGUCAUACUCCGUGACCUUUCAUUAGUUUACUAGAGAGAACCCUACUCUCAUAGAUUGCGACGUUUAACAAUCAGACUCAUAUAGGUGCGUUCUUCAAAAGAUGUUCUGCAGGACAACAUCUCUGCUUCAAAAAGCCACUUAGAACACAUUAAGAUAUAAAUCAACCUGCCAUGCAGAUUAGGAGAGUAUUGCAUCUUCAUGGAGUGGUAUUUUAACAGUAUGGAUACUCUCCUCUCAGUUGACCAACAACUUGUCUUCCACAUCUAAUUCACGGGAUCUCCGAUCAUAAAGAAUAGGUUACCACUAUGAACAACUCAUAUUGUGGGUCUCAUUCCCAUCUCCCUCGAUGCAUUAUCUAUCACAUUACGUGAUAGACCCUUAGUAAAAGGAUCUGCCAGAUUUUUAGACGUUUGGAUAUAAUCCAAUGCAAUAACUCUGGAGUUUUUCAUUUUUCUGACAGACUUUAACCUUCUCUGAACGUGUCUUGAUGACUUCAUGUUAUCCUUUGAGUUGCUCACUUUAGUGAUCACAGUUUGAUUGUCACAGUUCAUCCGGAUACCCGGUACAGGUUUCUCAACUACCGGUAAGUCAUUCAAGAGCCGACGAAGCCAAUCUGCUUCGACCGUACCUGUAUCUAGUGUUGUGAGUUCUGCUUCCAUUGUUGACCUCAUUAAGAUGGUCUGCUUGCAAGACUUCCAAGAAACAGCGCCACCUCCAUGAGUGAAUACAUAACCGCUCGUGGCCUUUAUCUCAUCAGCAUCUGAGAUCCAGUUUGAGUCACUAUACCCUUCAAGCACCUUUGGAUGCCAAGUGUAGUGAAUUCCAUAAUUUGCAGUGCCUUUUAAAUAACGCAAAACUCUCUCUAGAGCUUUCCAAUGCACAUCUCCUGGUUUUGAGACAAACCGGCUUAGUUAGCUAAUAGCAAAAGAGAUGUCAGGUCUCGUAGCACUGGCUAAGUACAUAAGCGAGCCAAUAAUCUGUGAAUAUUUCAAUUGGUCUCUAGUGAUUCUUCGAUUCUUUCGAAGCAACACACUAGCAUCAUAUGGUCUUGGAGAGGGCUUGCAGUCACUGUAGCCAAAGCGGCUCAAGAUCUUUUCCACAUAGUGAGAUUGAAGCAAUGUAAUCCCACCAUCAUCAUCUCUCAACAACUUGAUGUUCAGAAUGACAUCAGCCACUCCUAAAUCCUUCAUCUCAAAACAGCAAGAUAGGAAAUCCUUGACCUCCUUAAGAACAUUCAGAUUUGUUCCGAAAAUCAGUAUGUCAUCAACAUACAAGCAAAGCAUAACUCCCUUGCCCCCACCAUGGCGAUAGUACACACAUUUGUCAGCUUCGUUCACAACAAAGCCUGCAGCUAUUAAAGUUCUUUCGAACUUCUCAUGCCACUGUUUGGGUGCUUGCUUGAGUCCAUACAAAGACUUCAGCAACUUGCACACUUUCCCUUCCUGGCCAUCUAUUACAAACCCCUCUGGUUGUUCCAUAUAAAUUUCCUCAUCCAAAUCUCCAUUUAGGAAAGCAGUCUUAACAUCCAUUUGAUGAACGAGAAGACCAUGUGAGGCAGCUAGUGAAAGUAGACCUCGAAUAGUGGUCAGUCGAGCCACAGGUGAGUAAGUAUCAAAGAAAUCUUCACCUUCCUUUUGGUUAUAACCCUUUGCCACGAGCCGAGCCUUGUACUUUUCAUUAGUACCAUCAGGCCUAAGUUUCUUCUUGAAUACCCAUUUGCAUCCUAUAGGUUUGCACCCAUAAGGACGAUCAGUUAUCUCCCAAGUUUCAUUCGCCAAGAUGGAAUCCAUCUCGCUACGAAUCGCUUCCUUCCAGUAGUCAGCAUCUUCCGAUGCAUAGGCAUCCGAAAUAGAACUGGGAGUGUCAUCUAUGAGAUACACAAGAAAAUCAUCACCAAAGGACUUUGCUGUCCUCUGUCUCUUGCUCCUAGUAGGAACUUCAUUGUUCUCCUCCGCAGGACUUUCAAAGUGUUCCAUCGAAAUGGCAGGUUCAGUAAUUGUAACUGGUUCCUGAUUCGAUGAACUAGGCAUCUCCUAAUUAGAUGAGGUAGCCAUAUCCUUCAUGGGAAUGAUAUCUUCAAAGAAAGUCGCAUCAUUCGACUCCAUGAUCGUACCGACAUGCAUGUCAGAUACCUCAGAUUUUACAACCAAGAAUCUAUAGCCAAUGCUGUGAAAAGCAUAUCCCAGGAAAACACAAUCCACAGUCUUUGGUCCAAGCUUCCGCUUCUUUGGAAUUGGAACAUUGACUUUCGCCAAGCAACCCCAUGUUCGCAGAUAAGAGAGUUUUAACCUUUUCUUCUCCCAUUCCUCGAAUGGAGUUAUCUCUUUGUUCUUUGUGGGGACUCGAUUUAGGACAUGACAUGCUGUCAAUAUCGCCUCCCCCCACCAUGCCUUGGAGAGACCCGAUGUGGCGUUAACCAAAUCAGUUAGAGUACGGUUCUUUCUUUCGGCCACCCCAUUUGACUGAGGUGAGUAGGGAGGCGUCCUCUCAUGGAUUAUACCAUGUUCUGCACAAAAAGCAUCAAAUUCAUUGGAAAAAUACUCUCCACCACAGUCAGACCUAAGCCUCUUGAUUUUUCGAUCAAGUUGGUUUUCCACUUCAGCUUUAUAGAUCUUGAAAAAGUUCAAAGCCUCAUCCUUACAUUUCAGAAGAUACACAUGGCAGUAUCUAGUGGAGUCAUUAAUUAACGUCAUGCAAUAUUUCUUUCCACCUUUUGUCAAAACACCAUUCAUUUCACAUAGAUCUGAAUGUAUAAGUUCUAGUGGUGCAAGAUUUCUCGUCUCCGCAGUCACGUGAGACUUACGAGGUUGCUUAGCUUGCACACACACUUGACACUUAGAUCCUUGACAGUGGUGAAACCAGGGAUUAAGUUCAACUUCGCUAGUCGCGACAUGCAACCAAAGUUAACAUGACAAAGACGUGAAUGCCACACAUUUGAUUCACUAUUGUUGCAAAUAUGAUUAACAACUUUAUUGCAAACGUCUGAUAAGGAUAAACGAAACAGGCCUCCUGACUCAUAGCCUUUACCAACAAAGGUCCCAUACUUGGAUAUUACAAAUUUAUUCGACUCAAAGACAAGCUUAUAGCCAUCUCUACACAGAAGAGAUCCGCUAACAAGAUUUUUAUUGACGGAGGGGACAUAAUGCAUGUUCUUCAGCCGCACGAUCUUCCCUGAAGUAAACUUCAGAUCAACCAUGCCAACACCACGAACAGAAGCACUUGAACUGUUGCCCAUCAGCACGGUUGAAGUCCCUGCGGUCUGAUAAGAUGAAAACAUGGAAAUAUCACCGCAUACAUGCACAUUAGCACCCAUGUCAAUCAACCAACCAGGAGAAUGACAUACUGAAAGAAUAGUGGGAAAUAUACCAUACCCAGCAUCUUUCAUGUCAAUGUGUCCGAUGACAACAUUAGCGGUCUUGCCGCCUUUCCCAGGAUGACGCUUGUCAUAGCGAUUAGGACAACUAGGAGCCCAAUGAUCAGGAUCUCCAAACACAUGACAAGCACCUUUCUUCUUGUCAUUCUUCUUCUUGAAGUUCAUGUGCUGCACAGCCUUGUUCUUCCCAUCGAACUUUGCUUUACCAUCAAACUUGCCCUUGUUCUUGAACUUGUGGGACUGAAAGUUCUUCUUCUGUACCAGAUUGGCACUAGAUCCUCCCUCAAUACCUCGGGCACGUGUGUCCUUUGCUCUCGCCUUUUCUUCCACAUAAGAGUACCAAUGAGAUCCGGGACGGAAAACUCCUGUCUCUUAUGCUUCAGUAAGGUAGCAAAGUUCCUCCAUGAAGGAGGAAGCUUAGUGAUGAUACCCCCGGCAACAAACUUGUCCGGUAAGAUACAAUUGAAGUUCUCAAGUUCUCUAGCAAAAGACUGUAUCUCAUGAGCCUGCUCAACCAUGGAGCGCUCUUCAGUCAUCCUGUAAUCAUAGAAUUAUUCCAUGAUGUACAGCUCAGUGCCGGCAUCCGAGACCCCAAACUUGGCCUCGAGUGUGUCCCACAUAUCUUUUCAUUGUCAAUUGACGCAUAAGCAUCAACUAUGUUCUCACCAAGAACACUCAAAAGAGCAGCCUUAAACAAGGUAUCCAUUUUCUGGAAAUCUUGUGCCUGUUGGGCAUCUUGCUCUCCUUCAGGUUUGCCAAGAGUGGCGUCAUAGAAACUCAUGGUUUGAAACCAUAAGACUGCUCUCACACGCCACCUCUUAUAGUGAAUACCCUCAAACAUAGGAGGUCUCAUGGAAGCAGCAAAAUCACUCAGGGUAAAUUGCCUAUAAUAAGGUUUUUGGAUUGUUGGAAAUAUGAGCAAUUUACCGAAUGAUUUUAUUAACAAAAAUACUAGAUAAAGCAUGACUAAAAUAGCAAAUAUAAAGCAAGUCAUGCAGUCUGAGAGAUAGAAGGUAAACAUCGUCUGCAUAUAUGAACUUGAGCUAAACACAUCUAGAACAGACACUAGAUGAAGUUGCUUAUACGAAACAGAACCUAACAUACGUAGGGCAAAAUCUAGAGCCAAGAACUGUAGCAGGACUUCUAACAGAAAGGAGAAGAACACGUACGGCACAGCAGCAGCAGAAGCGCUGGACUUGGGUUGCUGUCCUCGCCUGCCAUGUCAUCGAGGAGGUCAUGGACGUCAGGGAAGAAGUCGUCGUCGGCGGGGAAGUAGUCGUCGGCGACCGGAUCGUCUGUGAUGAAGCAGCCAGUAGUCGCACUGAGCACUCCCCAAAAACCUUAUCACCCUUCUCUCGUACAAGACUCAAAAGGUGCGGUCGCGAAAGCCUACUGUCCCGACGUGCGGUGCACGCCGCAAGUCGGGAUGAGGAAGACAGCAGCAGCUCAGAGAUGGAACCGAUGGCGAGGGAAGGAGCAGUUCUGGUGCGUCUCUCUGAGAGGAGCGACCUCCCUUUUAUAGGCGCAAGAGAAGGAGGCGAGAGGCUGCGCCGAGAGCUGAAGGGAAUGCGGGAGACGAAACGAACAGGCAGCAGCCGAAGGGGCGCACCAUUCGGAUUCAGUGUCCAGGCACAGAAAAAAAAUGUUUCAGCUUUCGAGUGACCUUUCGUAUACCCGUAGUGCGUGGCAAAAAUUUAGACAUCGGCUCGGCUCAUUCCCGCAACCCGCGGCGCGGCGCAUCGUGACGAGGCGUGGUGAGGCAGGCGGCGGAGGAGGAGCGCACGUGGAUGUCCCUCUUGUUCUCAUGCUCAUACAAGUGGGGAAGGAGCCUCCCUUAUAAAGAGGUCCAACUCCCUCUAAACUAGCAAGGUGGGACUAAACUUUAGUUCCACCUCUUGCCUUGCACGAAUGGGCUGCAUGGGCCUCUAGGAUUUAUUAGGAAUUUCUAAAAUUGCUAUUGGGCUAGGCCCAAAUAGACAAAAAUUCCAGCAAUCCCCCACCAGAUCCCAGAGGCACAAAAAAUUUGCCUUUGGUUCCAAAACACUGUUUUAUAUACUGGUACAGCAGUGGAGACUGUUAAGUUGAACUUCCACCUAGAACCCUAUGCUACACUAGUAAGCAACUUGAACAGUGGACUGGGCCUUGAACUGCAAGUUUUCUGCAAAUCUAGCUUCACAUAAAGCCUUGACCGAUACGUGGCUACCGUGGGUCUUCCCCGCGGGUGGAGCUUAUGCGUCAUACUCCAUGACCUUUCAUUAGUUUACUAGAGAGAACCCUACUCUCAUAGAUUGCGACGUUUAACAAUCAGACUCAUAUAGGUGCGUUCUUCAAAAGAUGUUCUGCAGGACAACAUCUCUGCUUCAAAAAGCCACUUAGAACACAUUAAGAUAUAAAUCAACCUGCCAUGCAGAUUAGGAGAGUAUUGCAUCUUCAUGGAGUGGUAUUUUAACAGUAUGGAUACUCUCCUCUCAGUUGACUAACAGCUUGUCUUCCACAUCUAAUUCACGGGAUCUCCGAUCAUAAAGAAUAGAUUACCACUGUGAACAACUCAUAUUGUGGGUCUCAUUCCCAUCUCCCUCGAUGCAUUAUCUAUCACAUUACGUGAUAGACCCUUAGUAAAAGGAUCUGCCAGAUUUUUAGACGUUUGGAUAUGAUCCAAUGCAAUAACUCUGGAGUUUUUCAUUUUUCUGACAGACUAACCUUCUCUGAACGUGUCUUGAUGACUUCAUGUUAUCCUUUGAGUUGCUCACUUUAGUGAUCACAGUUUGAUUGUCACAGUUCAUCCGGAUACCCGAUACAGGUUUCUCAACUACCGGUAAGUCAUUCAAGAGCAGACGAAGCCAAUCCGCUUCAACCGUACAUGUAUCUAGUGUUGUGAGUUCUACUUCCAUUGUUGACCUCGUUAGAUGGUCUGCUUGCAAGACUUCCAAGAAACAGCGCCACCUCCAUGAGUGAAUACAUAACCGCUCGUGGCCUUUAUCUCAUCAACAUCUGAGAUCCAGUUUGAGUUACUAUACCCUUCAAGCACCUUUGGAUGCCCAGUGUAGUGAAUUCCAUAAUUUGCAGUGCCUUUCAAAUAACGCAAAACUCUCUCUAGAGCUUUCCAAUGCACAUCUCCUGGUUUUGAGACAAACCGGCUUAGUUAGCUAACAGCAAAAGAGAUGUCAGGUCUCAUAGCACUGGCUAAGUACAUAAGCGAGCCAAUAAUCUGUGAAUAUUUCAAUUGGUCUCUAGCGAUUCUUCGAUUCUUUCGAAGCAACACACUAGCAUCAUAUGGUGUUGGAGAGGGCUUGCAGUCACUAUAGCCAAAGCGGCUCAAGAUCUUUUCCACAUAGUGAGAUUGAAGCAAUGUAAUCCCACCAUCAUCAUCUCUCAACAACUUGAUGUUCAGAAUGAGAUCAGCCACUCCUAAAUCCUUCAUCUCAAAACAGCAAGAUAGGAAAUCCUUGACCUCCUUAAGAACAUUCAGAUUUGUUCCGAAAAUCAGUAUGUCAUCAACAUACAAGCAAAGCAUAACUCCCUCGCCCCCACCAUGGCGAUAGUACACACAUUUGUCAGCUUCGUUCACAACAAAGCCUGCAGCUAUUAAAGUUCUUUCGAACUUCUCAUGCCACUGUUUGGGUGCUUGCUUGAGUCCAUACAAAGACUUCAGCAACUUGCACACUUUCCCUUCCUGGCCAUCUAUUACAAACCCCUCUGGUUGUUCCAUAUAAAUUUCCUCAUCCAAAUCUCCAUUUAGGAAAGCAGUCUUAACAUCCAUUUGAUGAACGAGAAGACCAUGUGAGGUAGCUAGUGAAAGUAGACCUCGAAUAGUGGUCAGUCGAGCCACAGGUGAGUAAGUAUCAAAGAAGUCUUCACCUUCCUUUUGGGUAUAACCCUUUUCCAUGAGCCAAGCCUUGUACUUUUCAUUAGUACCAUCAGGCCUAAGUUUCUUCUUGAAUACCCAUUUGCAUCCUAUAGGUUUGCACCCAUAAGGACGAUCAGUUAUCUCCCAAGUUUCAUUCGCCAAGAUGGAGUCCAUCUCGCUACGAAUCGCUUCCUUCCAGUAGUCAGCAUCUUCCGAUGCAUAGGCAUCCGAAAUAGAACUGGGAGUGUCAUCUAUGAGAUACACAAGAAAAUCAUCAGCAAAGGACUUUGCUGUCCUCUGUCUCUUGCUCCUAGUAGGAACUUCAUUGUUCUCCUCCGCAGGACUUUCAAAGUGUUCCAUCGAAAUGGCAGGUUCAGUAAUUGUAACUGGUUCCUGAUUCGAUGAACUAGGCAUCUCCUAAUUAGAUGAGGUAGCCAUAUCCUUCAUGGGAAUGAUAUCUUCAAAGAAAGUCGCAUCAUUCGACUCCAUGAUCGUACCGACAUGCAUGUCAGAUACCUCAGAUUUUACAACCAAGAAUCUAUAGCCAAUGCUGUGAAAAGCAUAUCCCAGGAAAACACAAUCAACAGUCUUUGGUCCAAGCUUCCGCUUCUUUGGAAUUGGAACAUUGACUUUCGCCAAGCAACCCCAUGUUCGCAGAUAAGAGAGUUUUAACCUUUUCUUCUCCCAUUCCUCGAAUGGAGUUAUCUCUUUGUUCUUUGUGGGGACUCGAUUUAGGACAUGACAUGCUGUCAAUAUCGCCUCCCCCCACCAUGCCUUGGAGAGACCCGAUGUGGCGUUAACCAAAUCAGUUAGAGUACGGUUCUUUCUUUCGGCCACCCCAUUUGACUGAGGUGAGUAGGGAUGCGUCCUCUCAUGGAUUAUACCUUGUUCUGCACAAAAAGCAUCAAAUUCAUUGGAAAAAUACUCUCCACCACGGUCAGACCUAAGCCUCUUGAUUUUUCGAUCAAGUUGGUUUUCCACUUCAGCUUUAUAGAUCUUGAAAAAGUUCAAAUCCUCAUCCUUACAUUUCAGAAGAUACACAUGGCAGUAUCUAGUGGAGUCGUUAAUUAACGUCAUGAAAUAUUUCUUUCCACGUUUUGUCAAAACACCAUUCAUUUCACAUAGAUCUGAAUGUAUAAGUUCUAGUGGUGCAAGAUUUCUCGUCUCCGCAGUCAUGUGAGACUUACGAGGUUGCUUAGCUUGCACACACACUUGACACUUAGAUCCCUUGACAGUGGUGAAACUAGGGAUUAAGUUCAACUUCGCUAGCCGCGACAUGCAACCAAAGUUAACAUGACAAAGACGUGAAUGCCACACAUUUGAUUCACUAUUGUUGCAAAUAUGAUUAACAACUUUAUUGCAAAUGUCUGAUAAGGAUAAACGAAACAGGCUUCCUGACUCAUAGCCUUUGCCAACAAAAGUUCCAUACUGGGAUAUUACAAAUUUAUUCGACUCAAAUACAAGCUUAUAGCCAUCUCUACACAGAAGAGAUCCGCUAACAAGAUUGUUAUUGACGGAGGGGACAUAAUGCACGUUCUUCAGCCGCACGAUCUUCCCCGAAGUAAACUUCAGAUCGACCAUGCCAACACCACGAACAGAAGCACUUGAACCGUUGCCCAUCAGCACGGUUGAAGUCCCUGCGGUCUGAUCAGAUGAAAACAUGGAAAUAUCACUGCAUACAUGCACAUUAGCACCCAUGUCAAUCAACCAAUCAGGAGAAUGACAUACUGAAAGAAUAGUGGGAAAUAUACCAUACCCAGCAUCUUUCAUGUCAAUGUCUCCGAUGACAACAUUAGCGGUCUUGCCGCCUUUCCCAGGAUGACGCUUGUCAUAGAGAUUAGGACAAAUAGGAGCCCAAUGAUCAGGCUCUCCACACACAUGACAAGCACCUUUCUUCUUGUCAUUCUUCUUCUUGAAGUUCGUGUGCUGCACAGCCUUGUUCUUCCCAUCGAACUUUGCUUUACCAUCAAACUUGCCCUUGUUCUAGAACUUGUGGGACUGGAAGUUCUUCUUCUGUACUAGAUUGGCACUAGAUCCUCCCUCAAUACCUCGAGCACGUGUGUCCUUUGCUCUCGCCUUUUCUUCCACAUCAAGAGUACCAAUGAGUUCCGGGACGGAAAACUCCUGUCUCUUAUGCUUCAGUAAGGUAGCAAAGUUCCUCCACGAAGGAGGAAGCUUAGUGAUGAUACCCCCGGCAACAAACUUGUCCGGUAAGAUACAAUUGAAGUGCUCAAGUUCUCUAGCAAAGGACUGUAUCUCAUGAUCCUGCUCAACCACGGAGCGCUCUUCAGUCAUCAUGUAAUCAUAGAAUUGCUCCAUGAUGUACAAUUCAGUGCCGGCAUCCGAGACCCCAAACUUGGCCUCAAGUGCGUCCCACAUAUCUUUUCUAUUGUCAAUUGACGCAUAAGCAUCAACUAUGUUCUCACCAAGAACACUCAAAAGAGCAGCCUUAAACAAGGUAUCCAUUUUCAGAAAAGCUUGUGCCUGUUGGGCAUCUUGCUCUCCUUCAGGUUUGCCAAGAGUGGCGUCAUAGCAACUCAUGGUUUGAAACCAUAAGACUGCUCUCACGCGCCACCUCUUAUAGUGGAUACCCUCAAACAUACGAGCUCUCAUGGAAGCAGCAAAACCACUCGGGGUAAAUUGCCUAUAAUAAGGUUUUUGGAUUGUUGGAAAUAUGAGCAAUUUACCGAAUGAUUUUAUUAACAAAAAUACUAGAUAAAGCAUGACUAAAAUAGCAAAUAUAAAACAAGUCAUGCAGUCUGACAGAGAGAAGGUAAACAUCGUCUGCAUAUAUGAACUUGAGCUAAACACAUCUAGAACAUACACUAGAUGAAGUUGCUUAUACGAAACAGAACCUAACAUACGUAGGGCAGAAACUAGAGCCAAGAACUGUAGCAGGACUUCUAACAGAAAGGAGAAGAACACGUACGGCAUAGCAGCAGCAGAAGCGCUGGACUUCGGGUCGGUGUCCUCGCCUGCCAUGUCGUCGAGGAGGUCGUGGACGUCGGGGAAGAAGUCGUCGUCGGGGAAGUAGUCGUCGGCGACCGGAUCGUCCGUGAUGAAGCAGCCAGUAGUCGCGCUGAGCGCUCCCCAAAAACCUUAUCACCCUUCUCCCGUACAGGACUCAAAAGGUGCGGUCUCGGAGGCCUACUAUCCCGACGUGCGGUGCACGCCGCAAGUCGGGAUGAGGAAGACAGCAGCAGCUCAGAGAUGGAACCGAUGGCGAGGGAAGGAGCAGUUCUGGUGCGUCUCUCUGAGAGGAGCGACCUCCCUUUUAUAGGCGCAAGAGAAGGAGGCGAGAGGCUGCGCCGGGAGCUGAAGGGAAUGCGGGAGACGAAACGAACAUGCAGCAGCCGAAGGGGCGCGCCUUCGGAUUCAGUGUCCAGGCACAGAAAAAAAUGUUUCAGCUUCCGAGUGACCUUUCGUAUACCCGUAGUGCGUGGCAAAAAUUUAGACAUCGGCUCGGCUCAUUCCCGCAACCCGCGGCGCGGCAUGACGAGGCGUGGUGAGGCGGGCGGCGGAGGAGGAGCGCGCGUGGAUGUCCCUCUUGUUCUCAUGCUCAUACAAGUGGAGAAGGAGCCUCCCUUAUAAAGAGGUCCAACUCCCUCUAAACUAGCAAGGUGGGACUAAACUUUAGUUCCACCUCUUGCCUUGCACGAAUGGGCUGCGUGGUCCUCUAGGAUUUAUUAGGAAUUUCUGAAACUGCUAUUGUGCUAGGCCCAAAUAGACAAAAAUUCCAGCAGUUUGUGUUCUUCAGGUCUCCACUUGCCAUGAUAUUGCGGCUGGGCUUCGGGUAUGUGUUACCACUGAUACAUCAUUCCAAACUACUAAUGAAUUGGUCUCUGAUGUCUUCUUCUCAAUUUUAACUAGGGCCUGCUUCUGUUUGCACCAAUUCGAGAUAGUGGUUGUGGAAUGCAGCAGCCAAGACAACAAGGUCAGGCUCGGCUUAGGUAUGAUGACAAACAAAAUUAGAUUCGGAUGGUUCCUUACAUCUUCCUCUCAGAAUCAAGAGUGAUAAUACUUUUUUGGUGCUCCGGCUUCUGCAGUUUCUGAAGAACUGAUUCGUUGUUCAGGCAUUUCAUGCAUUUGGAGUUCACAGGUAUCUAAGUUUCUCUGACUGUGUUUUCAAAUAAUUGAUACUUGACAUUAGGAUUUUUGGCUGAACAAAUCAUCUUAGACAUAAGUAGAACCCGGCAAAUUGUGAGACAGAGCUAAUUGAUACACAGUUUAGAAAAUAGAACUGAACAAUUCUUGGUAGUCACUAUUGAUUAGCUAUGUGCGUACCUUAAGUUCCUUACUACUUAUUUUAAUUGUUAGUACUUGAAGGUUUGAAUAAUUAUUAUUACCAAGUUACAUGUUGAUCACUACUUAUUAUGAAAAUGUAUGUCCAUGGUUUAAAGGAGCUUUAUUGUUUCAGUCUAUACUAAGUUAUUUGUCGGUUAUACUGGAGCUUAUAUUGUUCCCUCUUUGAUCUAGACAUCAAAUAUUCUAAGCUUCAUUUUUGUGAGCAAACGGUUCUAUGCUUCCUUUUUGUGAACAUUGCUCCAUAAAUAGUAGUGGCAUUUACUAUGCAGAUGAUACUGACAAAUUAUCAUACAAGUCCGCAUUAAUAUUCAGUCAGUAGGUUAUUGAAGAAGGCCGGAGAUCGCGUGGAGCACCAACAAUAACCUCAAGUAGAUGCAGCAGAGACAUGUGAUGAACUAUCAUAUGUUUCCUAAUCUGAAUGUUUGCUCCAAUCGCUUGAUUGUUUGAUCUGGUUUGUUGUGACAAUACAAUGAUUUUCUAUGUUCUUUUUGUGGUGCAAUCUCCGUUGAUUUGGAAAGAUGGGGACUUUCUGUUGAGCUAUUUCGAUCGGCCAUUGGCCAUAACAUUCCAAAUUCCUUAUUUUGUUUCCUCUUUUUCGCGGCUUCAUUUUACGUGUCUCACUAAAGGUGGGCAUGACUUGAAAAGGGAGGCAAACAAAACUGCCAAGAUGCAUCUCUUUUGCAGCAGAAGAAGAGGCACUGAUGAGAGGUGGAAAAGGAGGGGCAAAGAAGGAAGCCAUGGGCAUGUGCCGCCUACCGACCAUGAAUAUCAACAAUGACAAUGACGACUAGCUUGUGUGCGUGUGAGAGAGGGAGGGAGAGGGAGUCAAAACAAAAUGAUGUAUAUCUUUACUACAUUAUAAAAUGGGAUUUGGUGAGCUAUUUGUCCUUUAUGAUUCAUGAGAUUUUAAUUCUAUAGUGUUUUUUGCUCUUAAUAUAUUAUUGUGGUUAUAGAUUUAUCAUUGACACAAUAUAUGUAGAAACUUUUUUGAUCUAAAUAAGAAGAACAAAAGUUUACGGGAUGCUUUUUGAUCGUUCCCUUUACCUAGCUUCCAAUUUCUAUUGUCAGAAACACAUUUUUUUUGUUCCUAUAGGAAACAUAUGCAAAUAAAAGAUUUGCCGAAGCUUUUUGAGUCCCUGAUGCAUACUAAAUACAGUCCUAGAACAAUAUGCUUAUGCAUAAUAACAAGCUGGAAAAUUGCUCCAAAAUAACACUUAAAACAUAUAAAAGAACAAAAAAAUCCAUUCUGAAUUCUAAAAUGAUCUUUCAAUGUAUGCAGCAAACUGCUUCCUUUAUAAUCUGACAAAACUCGCAGGACUUAUCAUGACGCAUGAAAGGAUAUAGUAAACCAUCACACCGAAGCCGAGGUUGGCUUUGUUUCCUUAUUUUUGCGAGAAGGUGUCAUAGUUCUACUAUUUUGAUUAGCCAUCUAGAGGGAUGACAGUGCAUGCAAUCAUUUAAAUAAAAUAAUACAAAGAUGCUGCAUGAGUCAUCAAUUCAAACAAGAACUUGUUUCAUGUGAUUUUUUGUGUAAAGUGGAAACAAAUUAUUUUUAUAACAACUAAUUCGACAACACAAGUGCUACACCGUGAUCAGUAUAUGCAUAUGAUACGAUCUAGCUAUUUUCCUUUGCACGGGUGGUUUUUAUCAUGAGGUAGGAGGGUUCGUACAAGUCGACUAUCAGCUCUCAUGCAAUGCUUUAAAAAGAAAAACGAGAGGAAUUUGUGAAUUUUUGUAUAACAUUGCAAAUUAUAUGAAAAAACUUUUUAAUUUGUCAGAACUUUUAGGAGGGAGUGAGUGGCAAAUGUUGGAAGACAUUCAAAGUUAGGAUGAUGGGAAUGCCUAUGGCAAUUUGGAGAACUUGGAGAAAACAUAUGCGAACUUGAGCUAGGUAGCAAUGUAGAGCUUAAUUAAGCUAAAUGGUUCAUAUUCAUUUGUUAGUCCAUGAGUUCGAGAUGAUGGACUCAACAAUUGGAUAGAUUUGGAGGGAACACGAAUUUGGAGUAGUGUGACAACAUAGCGAAGUAAUGACACAAUGGUCGAAGGGCUGAAGUUGAGGGGCUUGUGAUAGAUCCAUUUGUUGGCCCGUGGCUGCGCACGGGCGUUCUACUAGUAAUCAUUGGUGGCUUCUUUGACCACCAGACGGCUUAUUGACUUCUUCCACUCGAGGAUCACCGUGGAGCAAUCCUUCUUCCCCUUCCUACAGAAGCACGCCAACCACAAACAAAUGCUCAAAAAGACCUUAGCAAAUGCCAUUGAACUAGAUUGUAGGCAAGAGGAAUCUUAUUAGUUGGUAGAUGUAGAUGUCGAGGCCUCAUCAUUGCUUGCCAGAGGCCUCAUGUGUAUGUCGUGCGUCCCACCAGAGGCCUCUUUUAAUUAGAGGAAGGGCGGUGCGGAGAAGACAUCAUUAGUCACCCUGGGAGAAGAAAGUUCGGUGGCGGUGCGUGUAAAGAGGAGACUUUGGUAGUUUCUGGUGGAGUUGUGGUAGCCGUAGGGACGACGAGAGUGAGAGAGGACUGGGGACGGAGGAGAGGUGAUGGAUGGAAAAAAAUUGGGUGAUUGAGGACGAAAACCAAGAUGAAAANNNNNNNNNNNNNNNNNNNNNNNNNNNNNNNNNNNNNNNNNNNNNNNNNNNNNNNNNNNNNNNNNNNNNNNNNNNNNNNNNNNNNNNNNNNNNNNNNNNNNNNNNNNNNNNNNNNNNNNNNNNNNNNNNNNNNNNNNNNNNNNNNNNNNNNNNNNNNNNNNNNNNNNNNNNNNNNNNNNNNNNNNNNNNNNNNNNNNNNNNNNNNNNNNNNNNNNNNNACUAGAUGUCUCUGUAGUGAAGUAAUAUGAGCAUAACUUAAUUGAUCAGUGUAAAACUUUGAAUUGGUUAAGUAUACUACACUAAAGUAAGUUGUAAAGCCUAAUUGCAAUUAUAUCUUUGAGGGCAAUGCUUAUGAGUUGCGUGACAAUCUUGUCUGUUCUGGAUCUUGCAUCUGAUUCUAAUUAAACAGUACAUGUUAGAUGUUUUUAAUGAGGUCCACGUUAGAUUUGAUUGUUAAUUUAUAGUGCGGGUGAAAGCGGAUUCUAUCCUUUUCGUCUGCCAUUUUUCCUUUCAUAAAAUGUGUCCAUGGAGUAAUUCUCCACAAAAACAAACUUAACUGGACAAAAUAUCCACGGCAAGUCGCAUAUCUUGUGCAACUGUUCACUGUUGAAAGCUUAUUGUGCCACUACCCAUCAUUGCAAGGAAAAAAUACAGAAGAUUUAUGUUCUACCAAAUACAUUCUUUUGUUCAGAUUUAGCCAGGUAUGAUCCUGGUUGCGUCAGCCAUUAGAGUACAUUGCGAUCGACUAGACAGUUUCAGUGCUCAUCUUGCCUACUUUUGCAGCACUAGAUUUGCGAUCAGGUAGAUAAACACAACAACAAAGGAGACGACAGAUGCCAGCGGCCCAUAUUUCCCAAGAAUUCUCUGUGGGUUAAUUCCAUAAUACGGAUUGAAUUCUCUACUGGCACGGAAUCCAGCAACAAGGGCCACACCAUGCUGACACUAGCAGCUAUGUGUUGCUCCCGUGGGCAAGACCUGCCCAAGGAGGAUAGGUAAGAGAAAUGGCUGAAGACACACCAACACCUGGCAACAUGUAGGUUCAUAUUUCACCCCCACCCUUGGAUAAAACCGUGAAUCAUUUGAAACAUAUUAAAACUUGAGUGCAUUUUUUAUUUUGGAGAAAUAUAUAUGCUCACAAGAGCUUAGGAGUCACACGUCGGUUCUAGGUAAUUAAACAAACAAGAACAUUCACUUGUUGAGAAAUUUUACCACCUCUUCUUGCUUCUUUUAUGACACUAGAACUUGACGGGCUUUGGGUCACCUCCUUUUCGGUUUAUAAGGCUUGCGCGUAUCUCUAGGUUGACAAAUAGACCAACUUAAUACAAGUUGUAUAUCACAAAAAAUAUAUAAUUAGGAACUUCAAAUCGUAUACUUUCUAAUGGUAUAAUUUUUAGACUAUACAACUCAUGUUAUGUUGGUCAAGUUAUAGAUCCAGGGAUAUGUACAAGCCUUAUAAACCGGAAAGGAGGUAUGUUAGUAGAUAAACAUGCCAAUUAAGGACUUCUUGACAAGUCUAUGCAGAUUAAAGGUAUGUUAGUAGAUGGUGUAAUAAAUACAUGCUUUUAGCUAUCUAAGGAUACAAAUAUGCCACUAUUUACUUUGUAAAUGCUCGAAAUCAUUCUCAGAAAUUUUAGUAACAACAGUUGUCAUGAACAACUUGGACUAAAUGCAUCAAAUGUUACAAAUAAUACAUAAAAACAUUCAAAUGUACUUAGAGUGAAUCAAUUAAGACGUGUAAAGCUAGUACUAAUCCAAUAUUUCUUAAUGACUUGCAUAUACUUACAACACUUGACGUAAAGAGUGAAUCAAUUAAGACGUGCAAAGCCAGUACUAAUCCAAUUUUAUUAAUAGCUUCCACAAAAUUACAACACGUGGCGUAAAAAGGGAAUAUGAUGAGUCAUGUAUUGAUAACGUGUACAACAUUACUACCCUUGACAUAAAAAGAGAAGUUGAUGAGUCAUGUCUUAAUAACGUGUACAACAUUACUAUCAGCUUGUUCAUCUUACCAUCAUACUAUACAACACUAUAAGUUAGUUUAAAAAAGAAUAAGAGUCCAGAACAAACAUCACAAUACUAGCCUGAUCUAUAUUAACAACAUGCACAAGGACACAAAUUUAGUUCCCCGCAAGCUAUGAAGAUUUGGUUUAUGUCUAACAACUUGUACAAUAUGACAAACUUAGAUCCAAAAGGAAUGCAAACCAGAUAAUUGUAAUGCAAUCCAGAUAAUUAUUUGACAUGCAAAGUGAAUAAGAUGAGUCACUACCAAUUAUCAAGUUUUCCUCACUCUUAGAUGAUAUGAACCAUAAAAAGGCAACUUUGAUGAUCACUCCAUAAUUACGUUUGUAUGUAGUGCCACCAAACACAACACACAAAAUAAUUAGUUCGAUAAGCAUCGAAUCACUUUAAAAAGGAAAGCAAAAAUGGAAAGAAACCUAACCAUGGGAGCUAUAAAAAGGCCUGCAAUAUGUAGACUCCAUACCAUCAUCCAUCCUUCACACAACUAGAGCACAAGUAUCAAAUCCAAGUACGUAGUGGUUAACGCAAAUUAACCAUGAAGACCUUACUCAUCCUAACAAUCCUUGUGAUGGCAGUAACCAUCGGCACCGCCAAUAUGCAGGUCGACCCUAGCGGCCAAGUACAAUGGCCACAACAACAACCAGUCCUGCUGCCUCAGCAACCAUUCUCCCAGCAACCACAACAAACAUUUCCCCAACCCCAACAAACAUUCCCCCAUCAACCACAACAACAAUUUCCCCAGCCUCAACAACCACAACAACAAUUUCUCCAGCCACAACAACCAUUCCCCCAACAACCACAACAACCAUAUCCCCAGCAACCACAACAACCAUUCCCCCAGACUCAACAACCCCAACAACUAUUUCCCCAGUCCCAGCAACCACAACAACCAUAUCCCCAGCAACCACAACAACCAUUCCCCCAGACUCAACAACCCCAACAACAAUUUCCCCAAUCCCAGCAACCACAAUAACCAUUUCCCCAACCCCAACAACCGCAACAAUCAUUCCCCCAGCAACAACCAUCGUUCAUUCAGCCAUCUCUACAACAACAGCUGAACCCAUGCAAGAAUUUACUCUUGCAGCAAUGCAGACCUGUGUCAUUGGUCUCAUCCCUCUGGUCAAUGAUCUGGCCACAAAGCGCUUGCCAAGUGAUGAGGCAACAAUGCUGCCAACAACUAGCACAGAUUCCUCAGCAGCUCCAGUGUGCAGCCAUCCAUAGCGUCGUGCAUUCCAUCAGCAUGUAGCAAGAACAACAACAACAACAACAACAACAACAACAACAACAACAACAACAACAACAACAACAACAACAACAACAACAACAACAACAACAACAACAACAAGGCAUGCGUAUCCUGCUGCCACUAUAUCAGCAACAACAGGUGGGUCAAGGUACUCUCGUCCAGGGCCAGGGCAUCAUCCAACCCCAACAACCAGCUCAAUUGGAGGCGAUCAGGUCAUUGGUGUUGCAAACUCUUCCAACCAUGUGCAACGUGUAUGUCCCACCUGAGUGCUCUAUCAUCAAGGCACCAUUUGCCAGCAUAGUCACCGGAAUUGGUGGCCAAUGAAAAACGCAAGAGCCAUACUAAUAGGUAGAUGGAUCAUCGUUGCUUAGCUGAUUUACCAAUCGAUGUAACGAUGCCAAAUAAACUGGUGUGCACCAUCAUGUGUCAUCCUGACCAGUGCUAGUUCAAGAUUGGGAAUAAAAGAGAAGAACGUUCAUGUUUGCCAACAUUGCUUGUCAUUGUUCCAUUCACUGUGUAUUUAUAUUUUCAUCCUGAACUGCAAUUCUAGUCUUACACAUCAAUAGCUAGUUGCUCAUGUCGGCAGGUUCCUAUGUAAUCUAAUGAUUAAUGGUCGACCUAUUAAUCUAGUUUAUCGGCCGAUUGAUCUAUUAAUUGGUGCUCCCAAGCCGACCGAGCAGCCAUCAGUUACCGAUUUCCUGAACAUUGCACACAAUAAUAAUUCAACGUAUUUCAAUGUCUAGAAGUAAAAGGGCCAUAUAAGCAGUAAAACAAGCGCCUGAUUAGAAACCAUCCAUCACUUUAAAUUAAUCUAGAUAUUUUUGUGUUGGUGCAAUUUUGAGUUGAUGGCACCGACACAUUCUUGAAAGAAAUUCUACAGGGAACUCCAAAGAGGUGAAAAUCAAACUAAAGUUGCCACAUGGUAAAAGAUAAAUCAUGCGGCAAGCAAGAGGAAAUAUUGAGUCACAAUAGCUAGCGCCAAACAUGUAAUUAAACUAUUCUUAUGGUUUCUUGCAAAGAGGGAAGUAAUUUACAGAUGACAAACAAAACGUAAUUAGCAUUAGUUCUAAUUGAUUGUAGAAAUUUCUUUUAUCGGUAGAAUAACUCAGUUGUUAUUUAUUUAAACAUGCACUGUGAUAUUGACUUAUCUCAAUCUAGGAACACAAAGCAAAUACUACAUUUGCUGCUAUGGACUCCAAACAGAUGAGAAAUCAUUAUGUGUAGAAGUUCCUUAGAAGGAUAUUUUGGCCUAAACAAAUUUAACAUUGUACUCGUGUCUUACAUAGUUAAAGCUGAAAAAUCAACAUAACCAGUGGACACUUUGUAAGACAAGUGUGGGAAACAAAUAGUAGGAUAUAAAUUUGAGUAGAAUGUUUGCUCAAAUGUUGAAAAAAUAACCCAGCAAACUAAAACUCAGCAAAACAGUCUAUUCUACCUUAUACGGACUGUCACAAUGAUAAUGCUAUGUUUUUUUGGAAUACAAAUUCAAAAAAAAUCAGCCACAGAUCCCUGAGCCCAUCCAACAGGAGAGCUUCAAUUGAAAGAAGUAUUAGUUCGAUUAGACCAUGUAGUACCUAAAGGAGGAUGGUGGCCCCAUGGAACAACUCCAGCCUUUCCAUUGUGUCCGGGCGCAAUGCGAUAAUGGAGUUAUGGUCAUUGGUGGCUUCGCUGGCCAUAGACGGCUUAUUGACUUCUUCCACUUGAGGAUCACCGUGAACCAGUCCUUCUUCCCCAUCCUACAUAAGCAUGCCAACCACAAAUAAAUGCUCAAAAAGACCAUCUUAAAUGUCAUUGAACCGGAUUAUGGGAGGCAGAAUCUUAUGACUCGGUGGAUGCAGAUAUCGAGGCCUCAUUUGUAUGUUGUGCCUCCCACCAGAGGUGUCUUCUAAUUAGAGUGGUGCGAGAAGACAAUAUAAGCCACCGUGCAAGCGAAACAAUUAGGAGGCACUGCUUGUAAAGCGGAGAAUUUGGCACUGUCUGGUGGCAUUGCGGUAGCCGCAGGGUGGAAGAGAGAGAGGGAGGGAGGGAGGGAGGAUGAAUCGGAAAACCAGGAGCAGGGGUGAUCAACGAUGAAAACCAAGAUGAAAAAACAAUGUGCAAGAGAGGAAGAGGAAUAGGCUAGCUAUUUCUGUAGUGAAGUAAUAUGAGCAUAACUUAACCCAUAGGUGUGGAACUUGGAUUCGGUUGAAGUAUAUACUAUACUAAAGUAAGCUGACUAAUUGCAAUUUAAAUCUUUGGUGGCAAUGCUUAUGAGUUGUGAGGCCAUCUUGACUAUUCUGGAUCUUGCAUAUGAUUCUAAUUAAACAGUAUAUGUCAGAUGUUUUUAAAGAGGCACACAUUAUAUUUGAUUGUUGAUUUACACAUUCUAAUUAAACAUUAUAUGUCAGAUGUUUCUAAUGAGGCCCACGUUAGAUUUGUAUGUUGAUUUACAAAGGGAUUGAUAAGUUGAUUCUAUCCUUUUUCCUCUGCCAUUCUUCCUUUCAUAAAAUGUGUCCAUCGAGUAAUUAUCCACAAUAACAAACAUGACUAGACAAAAUAUCCACGACAAGUUGCAUAUCUUGUGCAACUGUUCACUGGUGAAAGGCUAUUGUGCCACUAUCCAUCAUUGCAAGGAAAAAACACAAAAGAUUUAUGUUCUAUCAAAUAUAUUAUUUUGUUUGGAUUUAGCCAGGUAAGAUCCUGGUUGCGUCGGCCAUUAGAGUACCUUGCGAUCGACUAGACAGUUUCAGCAUAUCUUCUUGCCUCCUUUUGCAUCACUAGAUUUCGAUGGGCUUGCGAACAGGAAGAUAAACACGGCAACAAAGGAGACGAGAGAUGCCAGUGAUCCAUAUUUCCAAAUAAUUCUCUGCAAGUGAAUUCCAAAGAAUGCAUUGAAUUUUGUGCUGGCGUAGAAUCCAGCAGCAAGGGAAACACCAUGCUGACGCUAGGAGCUACGUGCUGCUACCGCGAGCUCCCAUGGCAAGACCUGCCCAGGGAGGACCGGCAAGAGAAACGGCUGAAGACACACCAAGACCCGGCAACAUGUAGGUUCAUAUUUCACCCCCACCCUCAGAUAAAAAUGUGAAUCAUUUCAAACAUAUUAAAACUUGAGUGGAUUUUUUUAUUUCGGAAAAAUAUGCCCACAAGAGCUCAGGAGUCAACGUCAGUUCUAGGUAAUUAAACAAACAAGAAGAUUGACUUGUUGAGCAAUUUUACUACAUUUUCUUGCUUCCUUUUACGACACUAGAACUUGAUGGACUUCCGGUCAGCUAGAUAAACAUGCCAAUAAAGGACUUCUUGACAAGUCUGUGCAGAUUAAAGGUAUGUUAGUAGGUGGUGUAAUAACACAUGAUUUUAGCUAUCUAAGGAUACAAAUAUGCCACUAUUUAUUUUGUAAAUGCUGGAAAUCAUUGUCGGAAAUCUUAGUAACAACAGUUGUCAUGAACAACUUCGACUAAAUGCAUCAAAUGUUAGGAAUAAUACAUACUAACUUAGUUCAAUAAAUUAACCUAUUGAAGCAAGAAAAGAAACCUUGAAAUGUACUUAGAGUGAAUCAAUUAAGACAUGCAAAGCCAGUACUAAUCCAGUUUUAUUAAUAACUUCCACAAAAUUACAACACGUGACGUAAAAAGGGAAUAUGAUAGGUCAUGUAUUGAUAACGUGUACAACAUUACUACCCUUGACAUAAAAAGAGAAGUUGAUGAGUCAUGUCUCAAUAACGUGUACAACAUUACUAUCAGCUUGUUCAUCUUACCAUCAUACUAUACAACACUACGAGUUAGUUUAAAAAGGAAUAAGAGUUCAGAAUGAACAUGACAGUACUAGCCUAAUCUAUCUUAACAACAUGCACAAGGACACAAAGUUUGUCUGCCACAAGAUAUGAAGAUUUGGUUUAUGUCUAACAACUUGUAUAACAUGACAAACUUAGAUCCAAAGGGAACACAAUCCAUAUAAUUGUUUGACAUGUAAAGUGAAUAAGAUGAGUCAGUGCCAAUUAUCAAGUUUUCCUCACUCUUAGAUAAUAUGAGUAGCAAAAAGGCAACUUUGAUGAUCACUCCAAAAUUACGAUUGUAUGCCGUGCCACCAAACACAACACACCAAAAAAUUAGUUCGAUAAGCAUUGAAUCACUUUAAAAAAGGAAAGCAGUGAUGAAAAGAAACCUAGCCAUGGUGGCUAUAAAAAGGCCUGCAAUAUGUGAGCUCCAUACCAUCAUCCAUCCUUCACACAACUAGAGCACAAGCAUCAAAUCCAAGUAGGUAGUAGUUAACGCAAAUCCACCAUGAAGACCUUACUCAUCCUGACAAUCCUUGCGAUGGCAAUAACCAUCGCCACCGCCAAUAUGCAGGCCGACCCUAGCGGCCAAGUACAAUGGCCGCAACAACAACCAUUCCUGCAGCCUCACCAACCAUUCUCCCAGCAACCACAACAAAUAUUUCCCCAACCCCAACAAACAUUCCCCCAUCAACCACAACAACAAUUUCCCCAGCCUCAGCAACCACAACAACAAUUUCUCCAGCCCCGACAACCAUUCCCCCAACAACCACAACAACCAUAUCCCCAGCAACCACAACAACCGUUCCCCCAGACUCAACAACCCCAACAACCAUUUCCCCAGUCCAAGCAACCACAACAACCUUUUCCCCAGCCCCAACAACCGCAACAAUCAUUCCCCCAACAACAACCAUCGUUGAUUCAACAAUCUCUACAACAACAGUUGAACCCAUGCAAGAAUUUCCUCUUGCAGCAAUGCAAACCUGUGUCCUUGGUGUCAUCCCUCUGGUCAAUCAUCUUGCCACCAAGCGAUUGCCAGGUGAUGCGGCAACAAUGUUGUCAACAACUAGCACAAAUUCCUCAGCAACUCCAGUGUGCAGCCAUCCAUAGCGUCGUGCAUUCCAUCAUCAUGCAGCAAGAACAACAAGAACAACUACAGGGUGUGCAAAUCCUGGUGCCACUGUCUCAACAGCAACAGGUGGGUCAAGGUAUUCUCGUCCAGGGUCAAGGCAUCAUCCAACCUCAACAACCAGCUCAAUUGGAGGUGAUCAGGUCAUUGGUGUUGCAAACUCUUCCAACCAUGUGCAACGUGUAUGUCCCACCUUACUGCUCCACCAUCAGGGCACCAUUUGCUAGCAUAGUCGCCAGCAUUGGUGGCCAAUGAAAAAAAACAAGAGCUAUUCUAAAAGUUAGAUGGCCAUCGUUGCUUAGCUUAUGCACCAAUCGAUGUAACGAUGACAAAUAAAGUGGCGUGCACCAUCAUGUGUGAUCCUGACCAAGUGCUAGUUCAAGAUUGGAAAUAAAAGACAAACUCAGUCCUUGUUUGCCAGCAUUGCCUGUCAUUGUUCCAUUCCAUGUGUAUUUAGAUGUCUGUCCCUAAUCAUAAUUCUAGCCUUGCACAUCAUUAGCUAGUUGCUCGUGUGGUUGUUGACAUGUUAAUCUAGUUAAUAGGCUGAUUGAUCUAUUAGUUGUUGCUCGCAAGUUGAUCGAGCAGCUAUCAGUUGGCAAUUUCCUGAACAAUGCAUACAAUAAUAUUUCAACGUAUUUCAAUUUCUAGAAGUAAAGGGUCAUUUCAGCAGAAAAACAAGUGCG